AAGAUUGGCUCCUAGUUUCGCACAUUCGCUGCACCGUGAUUGAGGGUGUGCUCGUCACAUGAUCGUAUAUCCUGCUUUACAAUCCCUCCUUUUACCAAGAUCUCACUCAGGUGUCUUCCUUGGCCCUCCACUAAGUAAGCCAUUUAUUUAUUCACGACAUACUUCAGUCGCUCUGUGAUCAAGCACUAAUAUUUGCUUGUAUUUGCCGCAUGCUACUCUAAUAAUGCUCCACAGUGGAGAUUGUUUGUAGUUUUACCGGCUUUUCAUUGUUGUUCCUACGAUUCGGCUUCGACGGCGCGUGCAAGGCGGUUCCUAGGCGACACACGUGCGAGCGGUGGAAACCGCAAGCACGUGCAACGCACGUGCAUGGUAACCGCACACGCGUGUGGCAACUGCUAGCGCAUGCCUUAUGUCAUUGUGACGUCGGCCGGCAGUUGCCCACGCACGCGCAGGGAACGUGCCGGUCGGUUCGUCCGACCGGCCCGACCGGCCUCACCAGUUCGACCAGAACCUGCGUUGACCACCAUUGACCGGCGUUAACCAAAAAAAAAAGGAAGGAAAAUUAUGUAUUUUCAAUUUGUUCACUGUAAAUUAUAAAUAAUCCAUUUUUGUUCUAUAUUUGUUGCAAGAACUAUGAUGCGUUAUGCACAUAUGCCUGUAUUUCCGAGAACGAAUGAAGAAAAUGCAAGAAUUAAAAGGCUAAUAACAUAGUUAGCUAAUUAUUAGUGGAAUGACGGUGAUGUGGUAUCACACGUGGUCAUGGUCAAUCAGACGAUACAAGAAAUCAUCUAGAGUGGUUAUCUUAUGCCGAAUUUUGAGAAUGUGCCGGCCUUGAUAAACACUCUUCCACCUAAAUGGCAAGCAGUGUUAGAUCGCCUAUGGGAGGUCAACGUGAUCCCAGAUUAUAGAAGGCUUGCAGUAGCUUUUGUAAGAGAGUAUUAUAAGAUCGAGUUAAGCAAAACUUUAACUCUUGGAUUGAGUGUCACAUGGCACAAAGUGAAUGCGCCUUGGAGGUGGCAUGAGAGCUCUCCAAAAGUUUUUCUAUGGUUGGCCGAUGUGUCUUCCGAUUUCUUAGAGAAUUUUACUGACAGAUUGGAUGAGACUUUCCCUACUUAUUUUUUAGAUUAAUUUGAGAUGUUUUAGGUGUAAAUAUCUCUUUCUAUGUUGAUAUUGUUUCCCGUGAAUAUAUUACUUAGGGAGGGGGGGACAUGAUUAAUUAUUGGAGAGAGGUAAUGUUAUUUAUUGUUGUAAAUUAGUAUGUUAAUUUACAAUUCGUUGUGGGAAGUUCAAGAAAGUUUUAGUGACUUUGCUGAACUUAUUUUGCAUAGAAGAUUAUAUUAAUGAUAGUCUUGAGUUAGGAUUUUUGCAUAAAGUUGUACAGUUUAACAAAUAUUCCAUGUCGACAUGUAGAAUUCUAAUCCAUGGAAUGUGAAAAUGAACGGUUCAAGAGAUACGAGUGACCCGGUUUUUUGUAGUGGCAUAUCCACUUUUGUCACUAAUUAUAUCAUGAUAUCAACUAAAUCCAUCAAACUGAAGGUCUAAAAAAAGUGUGAAAAAGUUAGGUUUUUAUUUUCUGAAGUUGAAAGUUUGCAUCUCAAAAUGCAAUUUGAUCAAACUAUAUGAACCUAUUGUAAUUUACCCUAUUUUGAGAUAAUAUAGUUUCUUUUGAGGGAAUUUAAGCGGUUUUAUGUGCACUAACUGUUGAGGAGCUUCUAUGGAUGGAGAUAGAGCUGGAAAUGUAUUGCUGGCUUUUAGCUCGAUUAGAGUAUCCUUUAGUUGUUAAUACUUGUCUUUCAAUCGUUGUAGGUGGAGUGCUUCUAGAUGGGGCUAGACUAACUAAUGUUCCAAAAAUACGUUAUGCAUCCACAAUUAGCAAUACAGGCACUUGCUUUAUUGAGAUGCAUGAAUGAAUUGUGUUAGAAAAAGUCGAAUGAUGUGGGAUUAGUAUUGGCAUGGAAUAAUUAAUAUAUCUUAGUUGGCCAUUGCCUUAAGAGUAAAAGUGGCCUAACUGGAUUUGUUGAAAGGUUUGGACUUGGGCUCUCUCUUGGCUUCCGCUACGCGCUCCCAAGCCAAUCAUUGAUUGGUGGCAACCUAUUGGUGCAAAAGAAUACUUGUAUUAAGGGGGAAGUAUACUGAACAUCGAGCUUACAUGUAAGAGGGAGAUAAGAACUGAUGUGGUGUGGACUUAAUAUAUCUUAGUUGGUCUAUGAUUCAUUGACUUAAGCUUUUGAGUAUAUGUUAGGUCCGACUAUAUUUAUUGACGAGGUCGAACCUGGGUUCUCUCUUGGUGAUCUCCUAUGUGAUGGCAUUGGGUUUUUGCUAGGCACUACCAACAUGCGGUGGUGGAUGGACCUAUUCUUCUCCCACGAUAUCAAGAUAGUUUCAGUAAGAGGGUUGUGGUGAGACAGUAAUGCUCAGUCCUCGCAAGAUGAGUGGAUUGUGAGGAUAUGGAGCAGCAUAGGCAAUGGGAUGGUGGAAAUUGGCAGGGAAACAAAAUCCAUUUUUCAUGCAGUCAACAAGCCAAGUGAUCAACUCCUGGAAAUGACCGAAUCAAGGUCAACUAGGAGUAUCGAAAUUUCAUUGUCAGUUUGCAACUUGUGAGAAAUUGUAUACCAAUGAGUGCGAGUGCAGGAGAGGCACUCCAAUGCGAUUGCAAUGUUUAGUUAAACACAACAACAUGCCAUGGGGAAGUACUUGCCUAAUGGUUUGGUUCGAUUGUUGUUUAUGCAAGUUGACACUUGUCGUAGUGGAGAAACAAUAAACCAUUCAAGGUAAAGCAAAUCCAAAGCAUGACUUGUAGUUGUGCAUCCCAGGCGUCGAUGUUGUAGCAUUGGAAGCAAGGAUCAUAUCGGAAACUAGAGGUGUUAAAUGGGUCAUUAACCCAUUUAUGGACCCAUUUAUAAUUAAAUGGGUCAAGCCUCAUUUUCCAAAACACUCAUAAUGGGUUUUGAAAAUAAAGAGGCUGAGAUAUAUGGGUUUUAAAUGGGUUUGAGAGCAUACCCAUUUAAGACCUAUUUAUCAACCCAUUAAAAAUGAACAGACUAUCUCUUCUCUAUUUAACUUUACAAAAUUAUUUUUUUUAUAAAGAUUGAAAUUAUAAUUAUUUUUUAUAUUUUAUUUUUUUUCUUUCUUCUUCCUUCGGUCGCCGGCACGGCGAUGGUCGGCGACCAGCUAGGCGAGGCUCGAGCUUGCCAGAUUUGGCGAGGUGGAGGCCUCGCCGACGUCUGGUGAGGGGCGAGCUCGAGCUCGCCCGACGGCCGGCGAGGCUCAAGUCUCGCCGAUCUGACGAGACUCGAGCUUGCCGGUGUCGAGUGAGCUCAAGGCUCACCUGGCCGGCGACCAACCUAACUGAUCCAACCAAACCUCAAAAACAGAAAUGGUUAUGGGUACGUACAGUCGUGAGGCAAAUUCCUAUUGGACAGUUCCAAAAUGACCACCUAGCUCAAUACAGUUCUCCAUAGUUUACCGUAUCACUUGAUCAAAUAUCGUUUAUCUUGGACGAAUGCACCUUGUCUUAAAGGGGAAAUGACUCUGCAUUUCUUCAAAAGCCUUCCAAACGCAAGUGCUCAUGUCGAUAUUUGCAUCAACAUUUCUAAUGUCUCUGUUUCAAAAAAUUACAGUUUUUCUUUUUUAAUAAUAAUAAAAUAAAAUAAAAUAAAAUUCUAAACCCAUGGCAGGAGUGUAAUUGAAUUUUAAAAUUUUAGAUAAUAUAAAUCAAAAUUGAAGAUGCUUAAAAUAUUACUCUAGUACAAAUCAUCAAUAUGUGUUGUGGUGAAUGCUAAGUGCGAAACAAAACCUGGAAGUGUGAUACCAUUCAUUGAUUGAGUAGAAUCACUUAGGCAUUAUUUUUUUUUUUUUUAUGGGCUCGAAAUUUAGGCAACAUUUCAAUAAGCGGAUUUGAUAAUUGUAAUGUCUCGGUAAUCGUUUCAUAAAAUAUGUGAUGGAUGGAAAGCGUAAAAAAGAAGUAAAAAAAAGAAUAAAUGCACACAACAAUUUUUUUCUUAGUGUGAUUGUUUAGAUAUAAUUGAACUUGUUGACCAAGAGCAACAUAAGUUUCCACCAGGUGUUCAGCUUGCGACGCUAAUGCUACUACAUGGCUACUACAUGUUCUCUUUAAGAGAAAAUAUUAAAUGUACAAGUUGCGUCAGCGCAACAAAUUGAAAAUUUAUCCAUUGAGCAACAUGUGUCCUUAAAAAGCACACUUGAAAUGGGAACGCUCAUGUUUCAAAAUGGCACAUAAGUCGCUCUUUCGAGGAAACCCUCUUCCUAAGUAGCACUUGGGCUGUCGAAUGGUGGAUUGGUUCAAAAAUAAUUAGACCCUAAUUGACCCAUGUGAUUUUGAUUAAAAAAUAAUAAGUAUAACUCGUUUUUACUCAUUUAUAUGAAAUACAAACUUAAUGUUCUAUAAUAGUGCCACAAUUUUGAGUGGUGGAAGUGAAAUUUUCACUAGUAUGCAUCUAAAUUUUUUAAUUGAUAUUUGUUACUAAUAGGUUGUCGCGACCAAUUUUUUCGGGUGUGAACCACCUAGGGUUUGGCUAAUAGAUUGUUAAGCCUAAACUUAACUCGGGCUCUCCCAAGCCCAUACCAAUUCGCGACUUAGGUUUGAAUUCUUAACAUGCAAAUUGAUUUUAUUUAGGAGUCGCCACUAAUCAGUUUAUGGUAGGUUGAUUAGACACCUAAGUAAAAUAAUGGGAGAAUUACUUUACUCCUACGAACCAGAGACUAAGGGUAAGGGGACUUGAUUACAUUAGAUUUCCCUAAUGCCCUUUCGGUACCAUUCUUUUUAUUUUCAAAAAUGUUUGGCAAUUGAAUUGAUUUUAAAUAAACUUCCUAACAUGUGAGGUGAUCAUACAUGUGCGAAUACCACCAAUUUAACACUCAAGAAAGCAAAUGAAUAAAUGAUGCAGAACUGACCUCAAAGCAACGAAAGCAUCUGCAAUGUUAAUUUAGAAUUCACAUCAGCAGUCCUAAAUAUGAUUUCUAAUUAACACGCAAUUUUUUUGUCUUGUUUUCACUUAAUUAAUGAAAAUCAUGCAAUAUGCAAUGCAUGCCACUAAUUUAAUAUGAAAUGUUAUGACAUGGCAACAUGACUUAGCUAUAUGACCUAAGCAAUAUGACAUAACUAAGCAUGUAAUCUAUCCUAAGCAUGAGAUGAUUUAUUCUAAAUAAUUUUUUUAUUUCCCAUGAGAUUCGAAGUUAAAGAAAUGCAACAUUUAAAUAUGCAAUCUAAAUUAAUCUAAUGACCUAAUUCUAAUGACGGGCAAUUUCUAAUUAAAUGCACCUAACAAAAAUCACUAAAUGACAUGCAUUGUAUGAAACUAAUUCUAUAUGACGUGCACAUGAUUUUUAUUUUUCUAAUAAGCAUGCAAUCUAUUUAGGAGAAAUUAUCUAAACCUAUAAUAUGCAAUCUUAGCAUGCAAUGACGUGCAAAGAAUGCUCUAAUUCUACAUGACAUAUGCAUAUGACAUUUUUUAUUAAAAAAAUGCAAUCUAUCUUAGAAAUUGCAACUAAUUUAUCCUAAGACAAAUUUUAUGAAAUUUCAAAUGAUCUAUAGCUAGAUUAAGAUUCUAUCUAAUUUAAACUAGGGAUUAAGUCAUAUUAAAUCCUAAUUUAAACUAAGACAUUAUCUAAAUUUAAAAUGCAAUUUAUUCUAAAAAAGAUGAUCUAAAUUUAAAAUGAAGCAUGCAAUUCUAAUCUAAUAUGCACAAUGAUUUUUUUAUGUUUUUCUUUAACCUCGAAAUUAAAAUUAAUACCUAAUUAACAUGCAAUUCAAAAAAAAAAACUAACAACCUAAAUGAAUGUACUUUUUUUGGAUUUUUUAUUUAAAAAAUUCAUAAUAAGAUUGCAAUCCUAAUAUGCAAGAUAACAAAAACAAACCUAGUCCUUACGGAUUUUUCUUUUUGAUUUUUUUAUUUAAAAAAUUCAAAAUCAGAUUGCGAUUUUAACCCUAAGACUAAGAAUAUUCUAAAACAUACUUAAUCCUAAUUUGAAAUUUUUUUUUGAUUUUUUCCUCUUAUGAAAAUAAAAUUGAUCCAAACACACGAUAUCAAAUCAAGCAAGAUAAUAUUGAUAUUUAAAAAUUGGCGAACCGUAUUUCGCGCAUGAGAUCGGGUUGACCAAUUUUAAUUUUAAAUCGCGAAUCAAAUCUCGGGCUUGAGAUUGGAUUGUCGAUUUUUAUAAGGGAUUGCGAGUCGGAUUUCGGGCGCGAAAAUCGGACUAUCAAUCCCUUGCUUGAGGGGGCACUUUCAUGUUGGAACAUAUUUAGGAAUAAUCCUACUAAAGGAAAAAAGUAAAUAAGUGAGAAUAACAUUAAAAAAUAAAUAUAUAAAUAAAGUAAAUAAAAAAAAUGAACUACCUAAAUGAUUUUUUUCCUUUUAUCCCUUUCAAUCUUCGUGUCCGUGCGGCUGGUCACCGGCUCCGGUGAGGGGCAGCAGAUCAGAGGUCCGGCAGGGAAGAAACUCCGGCGGCAGCAGGUGGCGGAGUUCGGAAAGGGGACUCGCGGGUCACUGGUGAUUGCGAACAGCAGGUGCUGUGCGGGGGGUUUGGAUCCGAGCGGCGUCGGCAAUCGGAUCGGCAACGGCAGCAGCUUCGAAGGCGAAGCAGAGGUGAUGCGGGUCCGCCUGGCUUCAAUAUGGGUCACUGAUCGGAGGCGGAGCAGUUGCUAGGCAAUCACGAGCAAGUGGCAGAGCAGGGCAGGAGCGGCGUCGGCGAGGCGUCGCGGGUUGCUCGCGAAGGAGGCGCGGCGAGGCUCGGUGUCGCGGUGGCGCGGGUCGUCGGGGCUCGUGGACGGAGACCGGCAGCUACGUUGGCGCGGGGAAGGCGCGGCGAGGCUCGGUUGUAGCACGGCUCGAGCCUGCUCGCGGAGGGUGGAACGUCGCAGGUCGUCGGGUUAAACGACGAGGCGUCCGAUUCCGAUCCAGUCGUCUGCACCUCCGCGUGCUCUGGGGCGGCGUUGGGUGAAUCAGCGUCGCGGGUCCUCCUGGCUUGCGGUCCAGGUCACUUGAUCGGAGGCGGGGAGGAAUAGACACAGACCGAUGCUCGGCGGGAGGCAAACGCGGGGUCGUCGGCAGCAAAACAGGAGGCGGAAUCGGGUCUGGGAGAUGGAGGGCAAAGCAGAGCGGCGAGUGUGAGGGAGACGAUGAACAGUAAACGUCCCCUCACCUCUGCUUUUUACUUUUACCUUUUCUCUCUCUCUCUCUCUCUCUCACACGUUCUGACUUUUCCUUUUUCUGCAGUUUUUUCCUUUUUCUGCUCUUCUUCUUUUCGCAUAAGCAAAACCUCUCUUGNNNNNNNNNNNNNNNNNNNNNNNNNNNNNNNNNNNNNNNNNNNNNNNNNNNNNNNNNNNNNNNNNNNNNNNNNNNNNNNNNNNNNNNNNNNNNNNNNNNNNNNNNNNNNNNNNNNNNNNNNNNNNNNNNNNNNNNNNNNNNNNNNNNNNNNNNNNNNNNNNNNNNNNNNNNNNNNNNNNNNNNNNNGUCGCAAUAUUUUUUCACACAUGUGCCAUAUCCAAAAGAUUCAUAUCUCGGAAUAAUUUCAAAAUUUUUAUUUUUCACGAGAUAAUUAAAACACAUGGGCUUGGGCCAACCAGUUUGCUUCGUGGGCUUAGUCCAACUAAUUUGAACCCAUUCGCACUGAUCCGAUAAAUGCAAAUAUAAAUCUAUAUGCUAUAAAGUUUAACUCCUAAUUUCCUAUGCAAUAAAUAAAUAAACUAAAUCGUCAAAAUUUAGGUGUCAACAUAAGUAUUUCAAAUAAAGUCAACUCAAUAAAUUUUCUUAUUUUUUUAUUAAUAUUUGUUAUAAAUACGUAUUUCAAAUGAGUCAACUCAAUAAGUUAGUAAAAAAAUUACAGAAAACCGAAAAAACUAACUCAACCAAAAUAGAAUAAGUACUCAAAGUAACUUUAUUUUAAAAUAUAAGUAAGAGUGCACAAAUUGCCAAAACAUCAUUACAACUGAUAAAUUGAAGAAUUAGAAAUGGAAAAUAAUUGAUACACCCCUUCCAUACGAAGAGUGCUCAGACCGUCAACUUUUAUAUUGAGAUUAGUGCAUUUAAAAUUCUAAACUCAUGGCAAAAGUGUAACUGAAUUUUAAAAUUUUAGAUAAUAUAAUCAAAUCUGAAAAUUUACCAAAUUGAAGCAAUCAAAAUUUAAGAUGCUUAAAAUAUUACUCUAAUAUAAAUCAUCAAUAUGUGUUGUGUUGAAUGCUAAACGAGAAAUUUCUGACCAAAAAACAAAAAAAGAUAAAUGAGAAACAAAUCCUUGAUGUGUGAUAUCACUCAUUGAUUGUGUAGAAUCACUUAGGCAACAUUUUUUUUGGGUCGAAACUUAGGCAACAUUUCAAUAAGUGGAUUUGAUAAUUACAACAAUCUCCAUAAUUGUUUCAUCAAUAUGUGAUGGAUGGAAAGUGGAAAAAAAAAACAAAAAAGGAGUAAAAAGAGAAUAAAUGCACAACUUUUUUUUUUCGUAGUGUAAUUGUUUAGGUAUUACUGAGCUUGAUGUUGACCGAGAGCAACUAAAUUUCCACCUGGUGUCCGAAUUGCAGCGUUAAUGCUACUACAUGUUCUCCUUGGGAGAAAAUAUUGGUUGUGUAGGUUGUGCCAAUGCAAUUAAUUGAAAGCUCAUAUCCAUUGAAUAAUAUGUGUUCAUCUCCUUGCCCUCUCUCUCUUCUCCGACUGCUUUCUUCACACUUUUUGCAAGCCACGGACGGCCUCUCUCCUCCGUAAACCCUUCUCCUCCUUGGACCCUCCCCCUCACUUGCACGGGGCACGACAACGUCAUUCAUCCCCCUCUCCUUCACUUAAGCUCGACCUUUGCAUCUUCCCCACCGACAACAGCUCCACCAUUGAAAUCGUCUGUUGCCCCUGCGGCCCCUGGAUCCAAGAACAAGCCCAAGUCUCCCGUGCUCAUUGUCAUCACUCACGACCCCAAGCCCCUACAUCCUCGAGAUCUUCUACGCUCCGAGUCAUCCCUCCCUCCACAACUUCCGGAUUUGACAAGGGCUUAGUCCUUGUCAGAUUCGGUGCGAGCGACCCUCGCCCUAGUCGGGAGAGUCGACCCUUGCCGAAUCCCCUCGUCAAAUUCAGUGAGGGCGACCUUGGCUUGUGGCCGGUCACUAGCCAAAGCCAAGUACUGGCCACGGGUCAAAGGGAAAGAAAAUAAUUGAAAAAAAGAAGGGAAAAAUGGCAAAGAAGAAGAAGAGAAAUGGAGGUGCGAGUCUGCGAGAGGAGAGAGACAAAGGAAGAAUAGUCUGACAAGUAAGCUUUUUAUAGACACAUUUCGCUUAAUAGAUGGCCUUUCAAUUUGUUGCGUUGGCACAACUUGUGUGGUCAAUAUUUUCUCUAUAUCUUGAUGGGGUUUAAAAAUAAGUAAAUGCUUGGCCCACGAGCGCAUGCAUAUCCAUACACGUCUUCAGAAUUUUAUUAAUAUCAGCUAUACGAGAUUGUGCUACAAAUAUAAUAACGCAAAGAGGCCUAAAAUCGGAAAAGCUCACCUAGAGAGACCCCGCAUUAUCUUGAAUCAAACCCCUGGAAUGGGAAUGGAAGCUUUCUUGGCAUCGUUUGGUUGAUUGGAGCGAGGUGGAAUGGAAAUAAAAAGGGGGAAUAAAAAUUGCUUCAUUACUGCAUUUUUCGUGAACACGUGGGAAAGUGGAAAUGAGCGAUAAGGCAUGGGAAUGAGUUGACAGUCAAGGGUAAAUUGACAUGUGCACUAAGCCUCGUAUUUGGUAACUAUUGUUUGGACAUAAUAUGGCAAGCAUACUUACCUAAUUUACUAUUAAAUAGCAAUUUAAAACGAUAAAAUUCCACCCAUUACUACAUACGUUCCAAUUCCGAUGUAUUACCAAAUGCGGUGAUCUUCAAAUCAAUCGCUAUUCUGAUUCACUACAAGCAAUUCCAUUCCCUUCAAAUUAUCUCUUGCUUAUGUAACAAAUGGGCCACAGAAACAAGUUAGAACUCGUAUGGGUGACAUCCUCAUCUAAAAUUAAGAACAAAUCAAAGUGCAUGAACCGCAAGAUUUAGGACCAUGAGCGCACGCAUGUCUAGUCUGUCUAAUUCUAUAUGUAUAUAGUAGUAUAUAUGUCCAAUAUGACCUCACUACAUACAUCCAAUUUCCACUCUGGAACAUGUAAUUAAUUGUUUAGGCUUGUUCUUCACUACUUAUUUUUCCUCCAAUUGCCUUCGUGUUACCUCUUUUGGAAGCAUUCAGUUGAUCUACAUGCAUUGUUUGGACAUGAAGGAAUGUUUUAAUAGUUCAGUUUUCAUAAAAAUAUACCAGCUCGAGAUUAUCAAUGGGGUGUGUGUAUGUAAUCUUGUGUACUCAAACUAGCUAAACUCGGAUGAUAUUCCAAUUUGGAUCUAAAAUACCAUUGCCGGAAGCAAUGGUAUUGCAUAACUUAGAUAUUUUUACCCAAAAUCAAUCUGAAAAAAAUAUAUCACGAAAAAUUCAGAAGUUUUAUAGGAGAUAAUCGUGGAUUAAUAUAGUUUCGUUCUAUUCUUAUUAGAACUAUUCAAAGGAAUUUAUUUCUUCGCGUGGGAAGCCAACUCUGCCUUUUUUAGUCAAUUGUUGACUUGGCUUUUGAUUAAUUAGACAUAACUAAAUUAAUUUUUGCUCAAGGUUUGCUGUUUGACAUAUAAUAUCAAAAAUAUAUUUCAAAACUUCACCACUACAUAUUUACAAUACCCGCAACAUUGCACGAGAAGUAGCAAGCUUGUGCGGUUCACAUUCCCGUCUGAGCACUUGGAAAGUCUACCGUCCCAUCUAAUACUGUAGAAUUAAAUUAGGUCAAUAUAUCCAACUUCCAUGAUUUUAGGUAUGCGAAUGUGAAUCCACCAGUUGCCAAAUGAAGGACACGAAAGAAAAAAGGAAAUAAAUUAACCACACGGGCAGGAUUGAGAGAUGUGUAUCUUUGCAAGCUACGUAAUGUCUCCGAAUAUAUAGUCAUGAGAUACGGUCCACAAACAAAUGUACGACCAUACAGUAUCCAUUUUCCCAUUUGGGACACAUAAUCAACUAGGCAUAUUGCUACAUUACUCAAUUGCAUUCAUUUAACCAUAUGGUAAUUCAUUGUGGGAUGGCAUACACAUUGCAUCGUAUAAUGUGUAUGGAAAUUUCAAUAUUGUUACCAAUACUCACAUGAUCUCAUGAGACAAUGUUUCAAACAAUCUUCUAAAUCUUCUUGAUAUAUAUGCCAUGCGCUCGGUACCAAACUAAAAAGCAUUCCGCAACUCUCCCGCUAUAUAAACAUAGUCGACUCGCUAUAUUACCAUCUUACGAGUUUUUGGAGAAUUGAAGUCACAAUGUCAUCCGAUGGCAGGGGAUGAAGGAGCAAGAAAAAUAUAUUUAGCAAAGCAUGGAACGUGCUCAGGGGGAAACGGGGAUCUCGGGAAGCCUCGUCAAGCAGGACCUAUCGGGACGCCGCCACGUGACCGGUGAGCUCACUAGCAGAGCCUCAACGGAACUAUCGGGACGCUACCACGUCCCCGGUGAGCUAGAGAUCCUCGAGCAAGUCCCAGUCACGAGCGAGUUCUCGGAAAAGCUCUAACAAGAGCUCACUGGUGGAGUCUCGGCGGAGAUCCUCGAGCGUCAGCCAAAGCGCCACCAUUAUCACAAUUCUAGUGAAGACGAUCCGUGGCGAGUAAGCUACAGGCAUGGCGCUCUCGCCUAUCGUGGUGAUUAUGAUCAAGGGCGAGUGAGUUCGUACCCGCGACCACUCCAGCAGGAAUAUGAUUAUUCUUAUCACACUAGCAGGGGACAGUAUUAUUCUCGGGGUCUUGACAAUGUCAAUAGUUACGUCCACGACGGCGCGUAUGUUCCAUCAUAUCUUCCCCCCGCAUACCUGUUAUGGUUAUUUCCGUCCAUCCGAGUCUCCCCCGAAUAAUUGUGCAGUAAUGUGAGAUGCCUAAUAUAGUGUGGCUAUAGUUGCUAUUUACUAAUAUCUGGUGAAGUACGUGAUGAGCUAGGGGCAUGGUUGAGCCAUUGGUUUGUUAGCUUUCGCUUGUGAAUCUCAGUGAAGUUUCUUGUUUUAGUUAAUGGUUUCGAACGUGAUGGAGAUUGAUUGAAAUGGCUUUGCCAGUUAAUGAAGGUUAUAUAUUUAUUUUAUGAAAUUUCAUCUAGUUCGUAGUUGCUAAAAAGUUCUAUUAAAAUUUUACUAAAAUUAAGGGCACUUAAUUCCAUCAAUUGUCUAGGGUUCUACUUCUAUGGACAGAUGUUCCCUCACCAAUCAUUUAUCACAAAAACUAAACCAAAUGAAAAACGAUUUAUAAAAAUAGUUUAAAAAAGAAAAAGAAAAUUGGCCACGCCAUUCUUGAAUAUUCUUCAUUCUUCAAGGAAGACCUCUAAGGAUCCAAGCUUUCUUGUGAUCCUUCGUGUUCAAACUUCAAGUAGCUUUGAAUGUGCAGAUAUACAUUGAAAUUCGUCUUUCCAGAUGCUUAUGGCAUCUCCAUUGAGAUGCAUAUACAUGGAGGAGAAACUUUUCAAGCUCAUCCAUUUAAAAAUUGGGCUCCUUGCUUGAUGAAAUUCAGUGGACGAAGACGAGAGAAAAUGUUUCCAAUUAAAAAGAUCAAAACCGAAAAUAAUUUCCACUCAGUCCGUCGGAAGUGAUUUUUUUUUUUUUUGGUCGAAAGUAGAUAUUGCAUUCAUUCAUGAAAAUAAGCGAGCCUUACAAGACAACUAUGGAUAAAAUUCUGAACAUAAAAUUUCCGAAAGGGGGGAGGAGGAUUAGUUACCCAAUUUAUAGGGAGAUUUUUGGCUCGGUGAGUUUUAGCAAGCCAAUCUGCCGCUCGAUUCGCCUCUCGCGGACAAUAUACUGCCUUUGCCGAUUCGAACAGGCGUAGCUCUUCUUUGCACUGGUCCACUAUUUCUUUUAGAUCCCAUGAAACUUCGGCCCGGCCCAUCACCAUUUCCAGCAAACUUGAACUAUCACUUUCGAACACCCAUCUCCUACUUUGACCUUUCUCUGAUCCCACGUGCGUCCCUUCUCUUUUCCUCAAGAACUUCAACCCGUUCAGCAAAGCUAGGGCUUCAGCUUGCUGGGGGGAAGACGCCCGCAGCUCUUUAACAAAACCCUCGAAGACGAGCCCUGACGGAUCGCGCAAAACCGCAGCAACUGAACAUAAAUAUUCGCCCGGAGUCCACGAUGCAUCAACAUUCAGCUUCAUCUCAUCUUUUCCCGGCGGCUUCCAUCUAAUCGGUAAGCUUCGAGCCGUGGGUCUUUGCUGUUUCUGAUUCGCCCAUCUGCUGAAAUUCUUUUGUUGUGCUUGUGCUAGAUCUACAAUAUCAACCGAUUGUGGAGGCUUUGCUCGGAAAAUAAAGUUAUUUCGGGUCUUCCAUAUGUUCCACAGCACCGCGGCCACGAGUUCUCUUUCAGGUAAAACAUCCCUUCCUUCGAAAACUUCCAUGAGCCACUUAUCGAACCUUGUGAUGUUGCAUGGGUUUCUGAUGAGAUUGAUUCGUGGGUCUGCCCAUAUUUUUUUCGUCCAUUUGCAGAGUAGAAAUAGGUGUUCUGUUGUUUCCAUAUGUGUGGUGCAAAGUGGACAGUAGGGGUCGGGUAGUAGCUUCCUUUUAUGCAAGUUCUCCCUCGUAGGUAUGGCGUUUUGACAUAGACUCCAUAGGAAAGUUCUCAUUUUCGGAGGGAUAGCUAGACUCCAAAUUCCAGUCCAAAGUGUUCUUGGUGGCUUGAACGAGCAAGAUGCUCUGUUUUGUUCUGUUCUCGUGGUAUUAGAAUAGGCCAUAUUGUACCCACUCUUCACAGUAUAUGUCCCCGAUUUAUUACCUGUCCAAACUAGACAAUCAUUCUUUGGGAUCGGGCUGAUGGGUAUCGCGAGUAUCUCAUUUGCUGCUUUAUCUUCGAAAAGAUUAAGGAUCAAACUUUCCUUCCAUGUCCUCGAGUCUUCAUUGAUCAGUUCAUCCACCAUAACUGGAUCAUUUUGGUUGGCUGGGCCACCAAGCACUCCAAACUUUAGCCAUUUGUCUUCUCGUAUAUUGAUAGACUUGCCAUCCCCCACUGACCAUUUAACCUCUGAUUCUAUGGCCUCUCGUCCUGUUAAAAUGCUUUGCCACCCCCAAGAUGGCCGCUGCCCUGUUUUCGCCUUCCACAAGUCUCCAUUUGGAAAGUAGAUGCCUUUCAAUAUUUUACUCCACAAAGCUGAAGGAUUCUUGGAUAAUCGCCAAGCUUGCUUGCCGAGCAUUGCUCUGUUAAAAUUUAUCAAAUCUUUGAACCCCAAACCUCCCUCAUCCUUUCUGGUUUUUAAAGUUUCCCAAUUCUUCCAAUGCAAACCUCUUUUUGAUUCACUUUUCUACCACCAAAAUGACGCAAUUCUUUUUUCUAUGGCUUUGCAAAUAGAGAUAGGCAAUUUAAAGACGGACAUCGCAUAAUGAGGGAGGGCUUGUACAACACUCUUUAUAAGAAUUUCUUUUCCUGCUUUGGACAAUAACUUUUCUUUCCAUCCCUCUAAUUUCGAGUUUACUCUUGCUAUAAUCCAGGCGAACAUCUCCUUCUUUGAAUGACCCCAUUCUGUUGGUAUUCCAAGAUAUUUCCCUGUUUUGUCUAUGAUUGGUACUCGAAGCUCUUGUGCUAGGUUUCUUUUCAGAGUUAGAGGAUAAUUACUACUGAAACAUACACCUGAUUUGUUUAAAUUAAUAGCUUGGCCUGUUGCAAAGCAAUACUGGUUGAGAAUAUUUGCUAAGUUUUGGCAUUCUACGAUAGUCCCAUUCAGAAAAAAUAUGGCAUCAUCUGCAAAGAGUAAGUGAGACAAUGUAGAGCAGAACCUGUUUAGCUUAAUCCCCUGAAUGCUUCCGUCUUCCAAGGCUUUGUUCAUCAUCCAAGUUAGAACAUUUGUUGUUAAGAUGAAUAAAUAUGGGGAAAGAGGGUCGCCUUGUCUAAUUCCUCUUGAAAGGGUGAAAAAUUGAGUAGGCUCCCCAUUUAUCUUCACACUUAGGGACACCGUCGAAACACAUUGCAUGAUUAAAGAUACCCACCUCUCACAGAAACCCAUUUUCAGCAUGCAAUCCCUCAAAAAAUUCUAUUCAAUUCUGUCAUAGGCUUUCUGCAUAUCCAGUUUCAAUAUCGCCUGAAACUUUUUCUUUCUUUUUGCUAUUCUCAACUGAUGUAGAACUUCCUGAACUAUGAAAAUAUUGUCUUGGAUUUGCCUCCCUUGUACAAAGGCACUCUGUUCAGGCUCUAUAAUUUCUGGAAGCCAGAUUUUUAGUCUAUUAGCCAUGACUUUUGAUAUGAUUUUGUAGCUGAAAUUGCAUAAACUGAUAGGUCUGAAUUGGCCUAUAUUUUCUGGGUUUUUAACUUUUGGUAUCAAGGAUAUGUGCGUUCUGUUUAGUAGAGGGUCGAUGAUACCUAUUUCAAAGAAGUUCUGCACUAAUUGGAACAAAUCAAGCUUGAUAUCCUCUCAAGACUGUUGAUAAAAAAGUCCAUUUAGUCCGUCGGGGCCAGGGGCCUUUAAUGAGCCCAGUUGAAAAACUGCAUCUUUCACCACUUCAAGGGUAAUAUUUGCCAUCAGAUGUUUUAUUUCCUCUCUAACUGGGCUGGGGCAUUGGUUUAGGAUUGGCUGAUAGUUCCUAGGACCCACUGAUUUAUAAAGGUUCCGGUAGAAGGACCUUAUGUGUUCUUUGAGUGCCGAUGGGUCCCUACACCAGCUUUGAUCUUCCAUUUGCAGCAUUGUAAUCCUAUUCCUCUGUCUUCUCUGUACCGUAGUAGCGUGAAAGAACUUAGUAUUCCUAUCUCCCCAUUGCAGUCAAUUGAUGCGAGAUCUCAUCCCCCAAAAUUUUUCCUCUUGUUUCCAGAGUUUAUCUAUCUGAUCAACGAUGUUCUGAGCUUCCUUCCUGCUGGAAUUUUUGGAAUUCUGGUUUGUAAUCUCUAUUAGUUCUCUGUUAAGCUCCCUGAUGCGACAUUGCGCAUUGGCAAACUUGUCUUUACUCCACUUUAGAAGCUCCUUGGACAUAUCAUUGACUUUCAUUGAGAAGCUCAUCUGGAUUAAAGGCGUUUUGUUCCAUACCCUUUUUAUAGUCUCUCCACACUCUUGGUCUUCUAACCAGUAUGCUUCGAAUUUAAAUUCUCUCUUUUCAUAAUUUCAGGAUGCAGCACAAGGAGAAGAGAGCUAUGGUCCGAACCAAUCGCUGGUAGCGCCUGAACUUCAGCAGCAGGAAAGGUAAUCCUCCAUUCCAUAGUGCAUAGAACUCUAUCUAGUCUUUUUUUAACAAGGGCCUCUCCUUCCCGGUUGUUUGCCCAAGUGUAGGCGCAACCUUUGCUGUCCAUGUCCAUUAGGGAGCACUCAUUUAAUAACUCUCGGAAUGCUGCUAUUCUGUGAUUAUCUGCUUCUCUUUUCUCCACCUUCUCCCAAACAUAUAAAAUUUCAUUAAAAUCUCCCAUGCAAAUCCACGGUAAAUGAGUUGUUGGCCGGGAAUCCUUCAAUUUUUGCCAUAGCUUUAGUCUCUCCCCGAAAUUCGUCGAAGCAUGAAGAAAAGUUAUUCUCAUUUGAUAACCACUUUCUGGAUCUUUACACUCCAAAUCAAUAAAAUCUUUAGAGCUAGCAUUUAUCUUUAACUCCACCUCCUCACUCCAUAACAUUGCUAAGCCUCCCGCAAUUCCUUCCGGGUUUUCUAGUAACAGAUUUUGGAAUUAAGUCUCCUUUUAACACCUUCCACCAUCGUUGCUUUGUUCUUUGUUUUCAUCAAGAAGAUGAGAUUGCGCCUUUCAAGAGCUACUAGAGCUCUUAGCUCCUGGAAUGUCGGGGGAUUGCCCAGCCCCUGACAAUUCCAACUUAUAAUUUUCAUAUCGUCUCCGGUGGCUUAUUAGGGCUAGCCACCACAGCCCAUUCAUUAUCAUCUUUGAUCAACUGAAUUGGGGUUUCCAAAAUCUCCGACUCCUCAAUUGUAAAAGGAAUCUGUUCUACUGUGCAUUUCUGUUUUUUUGCCCUAUGCACCUUCAUAUUUUUCUUGCUGCAUUUCCCAACCUUUGACAGGAGCGGUUUAGUAACUUCUAAACACAUAAUCUGUUUGCCAUGAUCUGUAUUUUUCAUAGUUGUAACUGCUGUAUCUUCUGGUGCCUCCUGUGUGUUUGAAUUUUCUGCUCUUUUCUUGUUGCGAUUUGGGGCGUCCCUAUGUCACUUUCAUCUCUAGCCACUAUAUCCAUUUCAUAGGUAAUAGGAGGAAUAUCUAGUGCCGUAUCUUCCUCAGCAACUUCUUCAUCUAGUUUGCCAUAAAACGCUUCCCAAUGGGGGCUAUGAUCUCGCACUUCUGCCUUAAGCCAUGGGCCAUAAUUUCCUGCUUUAUUUUCAGCCCAUGAUGUUUGCUCAUAAGGAAUUUCUUCACAAUUAGUAGCGUAAUGCCCAAUUUUUCCACACGAAUAGCAAUAGUGCGGUAAACGUUCAUAUUUAAACUCUACCUAUAACUUCUUGUUUCCUAUGUCCAGAAUAGCACCUGAUUUUAGUGGAGCUGAUAAGUCCACUUCCACUCUCACUCUUCCACCUUUCUGCGGUCCGUUUCCUUUUGAAUCCACCUGAAUUUCCAGCACUUUGCCUACCUUUUUUGCCAGGUCAGUGAACACUUCUUCCAUCAUCCACCCAGGGGGAAUCCCUCCAAUAUGCACCCAAAAAGCGCAUCGAGAAUAAUCAUAACAGUACUCUGGGAUAUCCGGUUCACAUUGUUUAAGUACUAGUAAAUUACUGGCAAAAGACCAGGGUCCGGAUUUCAUAAUUCUCUCUUUUUUCUGCUUCGAUUGAAAAACGAAAGAAAAAACCAGGUUCCUUUUGUGAGCAAGCCACCGCUUCUGUUUUCCAUGCUUUCUUCAUUACAUUUAGGAAAGCUGGAAAGUUGACAUUAAGUUUGGAGUAUAGCUUCCCAAAUAGGAUAUGAUGGCAUUCUUCCCUUUUUUCUGGGGGGAUCUCUUUCGUCACUUCUACUACAUCGUUCUCCGACCACAAGUGGCCUAGACUUUUACAUAAGGCAGCCAUUCGCAUUUCAUUCUCCUCUUUACCUUCCAUUUUUCUUUCCUGUAGGUUUGAGGUUUGGUAAAUCUGUAGAAAUUGCAGAUUGAAGGGGGCUCUGAGAUGGAGGUGAAUAGGUGAGUGGGCUGGUGGGUAUGGUAAUUAGAAGGUUGUGUAUCGAGUACAAGGAAGACACGGCAGCCAGAGAGUAUCCGCUUCCCCAGAAUCAUCCAUUUGUCUUAACAGCUCCGGACAAAUAACAAAAUCACUACAGAUCAAACAGUUGCCAUUCACUCGCUACCACUGCAUCCAAGGACUACUACUAUCUACGGUUCUCCAGUGAAGAUGGGAGCGUCAGAAUCUAUUCCACUGCAUCGAAAUCAGAGAGGCCAAAAGAAAUCCAUGAGAAUGACAACACAGCCAACCUUUUGCGAAGCUCGGAUUCUUCCAAACGCUACUUGGAUCCAUCCGAAGGGAGAGAACAGGACUCAAGACUUCUCAGAUGAGGGGAUUACGUGAUGGGUUUCAUUGUUCAAAAAGGGGUAAUCAUGAUUUUUGGGUAUCAGAAAUCUACUGGAUAUUUAGGGUUUUGGUUUUGGGGGGCAAGCUACCAAAAGGGUAGAGGGGAGCUCUCAGAGUCGAGAGAGAAAUACCGUCGUAAGUGAUUGAAUUGUUGAUAUAUCGUCAUAAUAAUGAAGCAGGAAAGAGAUUUAUUUAUUUCAAUAGCUUCUUUAGUGAAGAUUAUAGUAAUCUAUUUAUAAAUUUUAUGAAGUGACUAUCUGAAAAAACAAAUUAUUACACAUAUCAAUGACGAUCAAUGAAAACCAUUCGAAAAUAGGCAUAAAUCAAAUGAACAUAGUGCACAAUUAUGAGAGAUAUACAAAACCAAGGGAGAUUUAAAGAAUCUACUUUAUAUAAAGACAUAGAAGAAGUCAAUUGCAGAAUAUAUUAGCAGUCUUAUCAACCAAAGAAGUGGAGACAAGACGCACAAUGUCAUGAAGCACAUGAUAACACGUGAAACCAUAGUCUCUCUUUCAAUAUGUUUUGUGCUUUCAUAAAAAGACAUUAGUAUAUGCUGUUUGGGUCCAAUUGUCAUAAUAAAUAAGUAUUUCGCUGUUAAGAUGACACCUAUAUGUCUUUUAAUAACCAUUACAAAUACAGUAAUUUUGAUGUUGUAUUAGCAAAAGCAUGAUAUUAAGCUUUCAUGCUAGAUGAAGCGAUGGUCUAUUUAUUGUUAUGCUAUACGAUAAGUGAGUUACUUAGAAAGAAGCAGUAGUCUGUAGUGAAGUAAUAAUCAAGAGGGUCUCCUGCCCAAUGAGCGUCAGAUUUAGUUAAAAAGAUUGAACCAAAAAAUUAUCUCCAUUUAGUCCAUUGAAAGCAAGUGGAUCACUUAGUUCAAUGGAAGAAUCGCUACAUGAAUAAUGGGUAAGGGAGUCUGUCUCAGGAAAUAAACUACGAAUCCAUUAAGGCUCCCUUCGUUUUGUGAAAUGCAAUUUCCAGAAAAAGUAAUUUUUAGAUUUUCCGACAUUCCUUUCCUGAAAAAUGAACUAAUCGGGGAAAACAUUUUCCAUCAGCAAAAAAGAGUUUUCUAAAAUAGAGAAAUUUGUUUCCACCUUUCAAGAUAAAGAAAACAAUUUUUUUACUCAUUUUCUCUUAUCUCAUACCUAUGUUAACCUUUUCAUCUUUUUUCCUGAAAAAAUCAAAUUUUUAAUUAUUUUUCUUUUCUUUUUCUUGUUUUUCUCUUUCAAGCAUGAGACUCAUUGGAAUUUGGCGAGCCUUAAGCUCACCUACGGCCAGUUGCUGGCCAUCACCGUGGUUGAUCAAAGAAGAAGAAUAUGAAAAGAAAAUAAAAAUAAUUGAAAAUUCGAUUUUAAGAAAUAAAAUAAAAUAAAAUAUUGAAAAAGAGUGCAUGGAGGAAAACAUUUUCCUUACCAAAAAACAGAAAAUAUUUUAUAAUUCAUUUUCAAAUUUUAGCUGCAAACUACAAAAUAUGGCUACCUUCUUGAAAAAUGGCUUCCUAUAAAACAAUUUAUGGAUGCUAUAUUUUUCGUGAAACAAAUGGAAUCUUAAUUGAAAAAUGAUUUGUUUGACAUAGCCUGGAGCUAGGUUUGCCCUGUUUAGUUUAGCAUUCCCAAGAGGCUUUGAGGGCUCAAAGCCCCUUGAGAAAAAUAUUAAGCAUUUGGUUAACGUUUUUUAGGCUCCAUUUGCCAAAUGCUAGCAUUUGGAAUGCUAGGCUGAGGUUUAAUGAAUUUUUUUCUUUCCAAUAUUGCUCUUACUAAUAAUCAUGUUUUCCCCUUUUGCCCUCAAAAAACACUGUUCAUUGUCUUCUUCCUUGGAUUUGAACUUGCUGCUCUACCGCGAAGAUCACCAGGCGGGUGGCGCUCAACCACAAGCAGCCAGAUCUAUCUGCUGAGAAGCCUCGCCUGAGGUCGGGCGAUCUUGGGUAGCGCCUGGGUCGCGGAGGUCGAGCAACUCAAGCAACGCCGCCUCCCUCCCACUGCCACCAUAAUCGCCACCAGCCGCCUCCCCACCACCACCACCACCACUAUCGAGCCACUCCCCAAUGAUUUUCCCCUCUCCAUAUAGUUGCAUCUCCUCCUCCCUUUUCUUUUAUUUUUUUCCUUUUUCUUUUCACCUUAAAGUUGCUUUGCAAAAUAUACACAAAAAAUGAGUUUCCAAACACUUGCCUUCACAAAAUGCCAAUUCAUUCAAAGAUAUUGGGGAAAUGCAAAACAAUUUCCUUAAAGUUGAACCAAACGGACCUAGUCCAUUGGGCAACCAGGAAUGCAACCCUAAAGUGCCAUUAUUAUUAUUUUGCCCCCAAUUUCAAAUGCAAGUAGGUCUUCUAUUGAUUUUAGGGAAAAUUCCAAAAAAGGGGCUCGAAGUGUACAUAUUUUCUCAAAUAAAAGCUUGAAGUGAACCUUAUUUUAAAUAAACACCUGAAGUGCCAUCAUUUUAUACAAUAAGGGACUGAAGUGAAGAUUGUUUUAAAUAAGGGCCUAAAAUGGCUAUGCCAAUUUCAAAUAAUGGCCUAAAGUAAUUAUGUCUAUUUCAAAUAAGAACUUUCUCUUAUUCGUUUUCCCUUGCUUUUUUCUCUCCUUUUUUCUGGUUCUUCUUCUUCCUCUUCACCAGUGGCCAAAGGCUUGGGUGAGGGUCGCCCUUACUUGAUUUGAUGUGCACCACUCAUGUUGGCCACAAAUGAGGAACGACCUCACUUAGGCAAGGCCACCCUUGCCUAGGGGGAGGCUGCCCCUUGCGGCCAUCUACAAGGGCUCAGUGACCUCGUCGGCCACGGACGAGGGUUGCCUCGCUCACAACCGACGAUGGCUUGCAGGCCCUUGUCGGCUAUUCCUAGAGGCCAGCAAGAUUGUUGACCCCUUGCAAUGAAAAAAGAAAAGAAAAGAAAAGAAAAUUGGUAUGAAAACCCCUUGACCGGUUGGAAAAUUUAGCCGGCCAACAAUUGCUGAAGUCAGGCCCUUAUUUGAAACAACAAUGGCUACAUCAGACCCUUAUUUAAAACAACCAAUGCCACUUCAAGUUUUUAUUUAAAACAAUAUCUACUUCGAGUCUUUAUUUGAGAAAAUGAUGCACUUCAGGCCCUUUUUGAAAGUUUCUCUUUAUUUUAUUUUAGGAUGCAAUUCUUGCCCGUGGAUUGAACUAAAAUAUGAUUUUUUUUUCUCUCUCUUUUUUUUUUUCACUUAAAAAAGCCGCUUGAUCAAAUAUGAUUUAUCUUGAGCAAAUGCACCUUGAAUCAAGGGGGAAAUGACUUCACAUUUCUUCAGAAGUCUUCCAAACGCAAGUGCUCAUUUCAACAUUUGCAUCAAGAUUUCUAACGUUUCUGUUCGAAAAACUAUAGUUACCGCGAUUUUUCUUUUCGUUUUUUAUUUUAAAAAAAAGUCAAAGCCACACGGUGCAUCACGUUGACCCAUCAUCAGUCAAUGCAUGCCGAUCGGCAGGCGCUGUCCAUGUCCCGACCUCAUCGUCACAAGCGAAGAAUGUAAACCAAGCGAUCAACCAUCGAUCUUCGAAGGAGAAGACUUCACAGAUUGGCGCUUCUGCCGUCGGCGAUCGUCUUCACUUCCUCUCCAAUCGCUUCCGUCUUCUCCAGGCACCCUGAAAAUUCCCCAUGGCGACGGCGCUUGUCGGCGGAGCAUUUCUCUCGGCUUUCCUCCAGGUGCUCUUCGACCGGAUGGCCUCCCGCGAGGUCGUCGACUUCUUCCGGUCACGCAAGCUCGGUAAGGGGAGGCUCCUGCAGAAGCUGGAGGUCGCCCUCCGGUCCGCGAACGCCGUGCUGGACGACGCGGAGGAGAAGCAGAUGACCAACGACUCCGUCAGGAAGUGGCUCGACGAGCUCAAGGACGCCGUGUACGACGCCGACGACCUGUUCGACGAGAUCGCCGCCGAGGAUCUGGAGCGAGAAGCCGGGUCCGAGCCUCGGGCCCUCGCUUGUAAGAUCUGCAGCUUCGCUUCGGACGCUUGUGCGAGUGGACUAGGGGAUAAGUUAGAGAAGGUUCUGGAGAGAUUGGAGAGCGUGGUGAAGCAGAGAGAAGUGCUGGGCCUAAGGGAAGGUAUUCGCGAGAGGACGCCCAGAGCUUUGCCGACCACUUCGUUGGUCGAGGAAUCGGGCGUCUUAGGGAGGGAGAAGGACAGGGAGGCGGUGAUCGAGUUGCUCUUGUCGGAUCGGGGCGAAAAGAACACCAGCGUGAUGGCCAUAGUUGGGAUGGGUGGUGUUGGUAAGACCACGCUGUCCCAGCUCGUGUUCAACGAUAGUGCGGUGAAGGGGAGUUUCGAGUUGAGGUCGUGGGUUUGCGUGUCCCACCAAUUCGACAUCCGCAAGCUGACGGCGACGGCUCUCGAGGAAUUCUCCUCUUCCAAGAAGGAGACGGAAAAUCUCAACCAGCUUCAGCUCCAACUGAAGAACUUCUUGACAGGGAAGAAAUUCCUAAUGCUGUUGGAUGAUGUUUGGAAUGAGGACUCAAAUAUUUGGAAUGCGUUCCUAGUUCCUUUUAGCUAUGGAGCAAGAGGCAGCAAAAUCAUCGUGACAACAAGAAAUGAGGGCGUCGCAUCAGUUGCUCGUGCCUUCUCGACAUACUAUUUACAGAAGUUACAAGUCAAGGAAUGUUGGGACUUGUUCGCACAACAUGCAUUUGAAGAGCACAACUUCGAGGCGCGCACGAGACUUGUAGAUAUCGGGCAAAAAAUUGUAAAGAGAUGUGAUGGAUUGCCUCUUGCGCUGAAGACUAUAGGUAGCUUGUUACGCUGUGAGUCUGAUAGCAGGAAGUGGGAAAUAAUUGCAGAGAGUGAUAUUUGGGAUUUGGCACCUGGAAAGAAUGAAAUUCUCCCUGCGUUGUUGUUAAGUUAUCAUUACCUUCCUCCACAACUGAAACGAUGUUUUGCCUAUUGUUCAAUCUUCCCAAAGGAUUGCAGAUAUGAGAAGGACCAACUGAUCUUACUUUGGAUUGCUGAGGGCUUGAUAAAACAACCCAAGGACAGCCGGACAUUAGAGGAAGUCGGUGAUCAGUGCUUCUGUGAUCUAGUGUCUAGAUCUUUGCUUCAUAGAGUAAGCGACGUUGAAUCAACUUUCUGGAUGCAUGAACUGGUCAAUGACUUAGCAAGAUAUGUAGCUGGUCGAUCUUUUUAUAGCUUGGACGGAGUCGAUGCACACCAGGUGUCCUCAAGCACUCGCCAUUUGUCAUUUGUAAGAACUCGAUAUGAUGUCGCUUCUAGAUUCAAAGGUUUAGCCAGGGCAAUGAAUUUGCGUACCUUCCUGCCGCUAAACGUGGAUCAUGUGACAUCUAACGAGUACUUUUUCUUGACUGAUGAGUUACUGCAUGGUCUAUUGCCCACCCUGAGUCGGUUAAGGGUGCUAUCUUUGUCUCAUUAUCAGAAAAUCUCUACGUUGCCCAGUUCAAUUGGAUGUUUGAAGCAUCUGCGCUAUUUGAAUCUCUCCUAUAAUAGAAGUCUAAGCAGAUUGCCUGAUUCAAUUACUGCUCUAUAUAACCUGCAAACCUUAAUUCUUGCUUACUGUCAGUCUCUCAUUGAGUUACCAAGCAACAUGGGUAGCCUAACCUGUCUGCGUCAUCUUGAUAUAAGGGAGACAUUCCUAAAGAGAAUGCCGUUGGGGAUGAGCAGAAUGAAGAAUUUGCAGACAUUAACUAAUUUCGUGGUGGCCAAAAACAGUGGGACCAUGAUUAGGGAUCUAGGGGAGCUUGGGAAUCUUAUGGGUACACUCUCCAUACAAGGUUUGCAGAAUGUUGAUAGUUACCGAGAUGCCGAGAUAGUCAAUUUGCAGGGAAAGAGGUACUUGAAAAAGUCAGUACUGGAAUGGGGUUCUGAUAACAAUAUUAUGCAGCAAAAUUGCUUAAAUGUAUUGGACAAGCUGCAACCUCAUUGGAACUUGAGAGAGCUUAUCAUUAUAUUUUAUAGUGGUCAGUCAUUUUCCAAUUGGCUGGGACAUGGUUCAUUCUCUAAUAUGUCAGUCAUGCGUCUUGAAUCUUGCAAGCACUGUGUGUCAUUGCCUCCUUUAGGACAGCUACCAUCUCUAAAGAAGUUGAUAAUCAAAGGAAUUGAUGGAGUUACAAGUGUGGGUGCUGAAUUCAAUGGUAGUAACUGUAUACCUUUUCAGUCACUUAAGUACUUGGAAUUUGCUGACAUGUGCAGCUGGAAAGAGUGGGCUUCUUUUGGAAUAGGGACAGGUGGUCUUGCCUUCGCACAUCUGCAGGAGCUUUGUAUUAGAAAUUGCCCCGAGUUGAGUGGAGGUUUGCCCAGCCAUCUCCCUUCUCUAUCAGCCUUGUCCAUUGAAAAGUGUCCACAGCUAACGUCUUAUCUACCAUUUGCACCACUUCUCCGUAAGAUCAGUUUUGAUGAUUGUGGAAAGGUUUCUGGAGUGGAGCCUCUCCUAAAUGGCACUGAGUUACAAGAUAUGGAAAUCAAGAAUCUUUCAACCCUUCCCUUGAGGUUUCUUCCUCCUACCAUGACAAGACUCAAUCUUGAAGACAGUCAUGAAAUAGAGUUGCCAAUACAUAGAUGCCAUGAAUCUCUCCAAUAUCUAAAGUUGAAGCAGAGCUGCGAUUCACUUAUAUCCUUUCCUCUGGAAAUUUUCCCCUCACUUAAGAAUAUUCAAUUAGAGGAGAUUCAAAAAUUGGAACAUCUUUCAAAUUCAGAUGGUUCUCCACUUCUUCUCCAUUCGAUGAACAUUAGUGAUUGCCCUGAAUUUAGAUCUUUCCCUGCAGGAGGAUUGGUUGCCCCAUGCCUCACUUCAUUAGAGUUGAAUGACUGUCAUCAUCUAAAGAAUCCGCCAGAAAACAUGCAGGCUCUCCUUCCUUCACUUCGAUCAUUGACAAUAUCCUCAUGUCCACAACUCGAGUCAUUUCCCGAGCGGGGUUUACCCCCCAAGUUGGUCGCGCUUUCACUCUCUAAUUGUGACAAGCUCAUCACUAGCCGCAAGGAUUGGGGUCUUCAAUCACUAUGCUCUCUUAAAACUUUUGUCAUUGAGCAGGAGAAAAAUAUUGAGUCAUUUCCUGAGAUAGGGCUUCUGCCAAGCUCUCUUACCUCUCUGUAUAUCUUUGACUUUGCGAAUCUGACAUCCCUGAACUCCAAAGGGCUUCAUAGCCUGAGCUCCCUUGAAAAAUUGUUCAUUGGUGAAUGUCCUAAGCUCCAUUCCUUCCCAAAAGAGGGACAAAUUCUGCCUGCUUCUCUUACCACUCUGUUGAUUUAUGAUAUGGGUCUAAAAUCACUGGACAACUUAGGGCUCCACCACCUCACUUGUCUCAAAGAAUUUCGCAUAAAUAGCUGCCAAACUCUUCGAUCCAUGCCAGUGGAGGGCCUAUCAUCCUCCCUUUCCGAUCUAUUUAUCUAUGGGUGUCCUUUUCUGGAGAAAAGAUGCCAACGCAAGAAAGGGAAAGAUUGGCCCCUAGUUUCUCACAUUCGCUGCAUCGUGAUUGAAGAUGUGCUCAUCACAUGAUCGAAUAUCUUGCUUUAAAAGCCCUGCUUUUACCAAGAUCUCACUAGGGUAUCUCUGUUGACCCUACACUAAGUAAGCCAUUUAUUUAUUCACAACAUGCUUCAGUCGCUGUGUGGUCAAGCAGUACCAUCUGGCUGUAUUUGCCGCAAGCUACUCUGGUAACACUCCACAAUGGAGAUUAUUUGUAGUUUCACCGGCUUUCCAUUCUUGUUCCUACUAUCGGGCUGCAUGAUUUGUUUAUUGGUUGCCGAGUUAUUUAGCUGGAUCGUCUGCUUUUCCCCUUCUCCAUUCUCUCUAUAUAAAUCACACUCCCAUACUUCAGCUGAGCAUCUGUCACGGUCUUUAUACUCUCAACUGGAAAUGAUUAUUUCAUUGGUACUUUUUUUCGUCAUCAGGUUAUUUGGUUCCAACAUAUUCAGCUUUAAGAUCUCACUCAUAUCACGAUCGUCAACACCUACAAAUGCCAACUCGUGGAACUGUUUGUGCAUGAGCUAACUAAUGUAAAUAGAGCAAAGAGAUUCGUGGCCAUCUGAAGAAGGCCUAGCCUUGAUUAGGCUAUCCAGAUGAAUUCACAAACUCUAUGGCACGUCCUCAAGUUAUAGAGAGAGUAAAUUUGCUCUUAUUGACAGAUGCUUUAUGUCGUCUAAAGCCGUAUAAUAUUGCGAGGGAGACAUAAAUUCUUAAGGACAGGCAUGACUCAUGACUGACCUCUAUUCCACUUGCCAGAAAAGUGUGGUAUCGUGGGUGUAGUAUAUUUUUGUUUGCUUUGUAUUUUUAUUUGUCCAUUUCAGCUUAACAUCACUCUAAUGUUGUACAGUUUAACAAUUUCCCUGCUACACGUGGAAUUUUGAUCCAUAGAAUGUGAACAGUCUAACAGAUGCAAGUGACCCGGCACUUUGUAGUGGCAUAUCCACUUUUGUCACUAAUUAUAUCAUGACAUCAACUAAAUCCAAACUGAAGGACUAAAAAUACUAUGUAAAAGUUAGGUUUUUUUUCGUUGAAGUUGAAAGUUUGCAUCUCAAAAUGCAAUUCGAUCAAAAAAUAUGGACCUAUUGUAAUUUACCCUAUUUUGCGAGAAUAUUGUUACUUUCGAGGGAACUUAAGUGAUUUUAUGUGCACUAACUGUUGAGGAGCUUUUGCGGAUGGAGAUAAAGCUGGAAAUGUAUUGCUAGCUUUUAGCUCGAUUUGAGUAUCCUUUAGUCGUUAAUACUUGACCUUCAAUCAUCAUAGGUAGAGUGCUUCUAGAUGGGACUAGACUAACUAUUGUUACAAAAAUACAUGAUGCAUACAUAGUUAGCGAGAUGUACGUAUAAGUUAUGUUAGAAAAAGUCCAAUGACGUGGAAUUGCUAUGGUGCGGAAUAGUUAAUAUCUUAGUUGGCCAAAAAUUCAUUGCAUUAAGCUUUUGAGUAAAAGUGGUCUAAUUGGAUAUGUUGAAGAGCUUGGACUUUAGCUCUCUCUUGACUUUUGCUAUGUGCUCCUAAGUGAAUAGUUGAUUGGUGGCAACGUGUUGGUGCAAAAGUAUAAUCGGAUUAAGGGGGAAGUAUACUUAACAUUGAGCUCACACGUAAGAGGAGAUAAGAAUUGAUGUGAUGUGGAGUAGUUAAUAUAUCCUAGUUGGCCCAUGAUUUAUAGGUUUAAGCUUUUGAGCAUAUGUUGGUCCAACUAUAUUUGUUGAUAGGUCGAACUUGGGCUCUCUCUUGGUGAUCUCCUAUAUAAUGAUAUUGGGUUUCUACUAAGCGUUACCAAUAGUGGAUGUCGGAUGUAGCUUUGGAUGGACCUAUUCUUCUCCCACAAUAUCGAGAUAGUUUUAGUAACAGGGUUGUGGUGAGGAAAAAAAAUGGUGCUAAGUCUUCACAAGACAAGUGGAUUAUGAGGAUCGGGAGCAGCAUUGGCAAUGAGAUGGUGGAAAUCGACAAGGAAAACAAAUCCAUUUUUCACGCGGUCAGUAAGCCAAGUUAUCGACUCCUGGAAACGAAAGAAUCGAGGUCAAUUUAGAAGUUUCGAAAUUUCAUUGUUGGUUUGCAGCUUGCGAGAAAUUGUUUCUCGAUGAGCGCAAGUGCAAGAGAGGCACUCCAAUGCGAUUGCAACGUUUAGUGUAACACAUCGACACACCAUGUGAGAAGUACUUGCCUACUAGAUUGGCUGAAUUGUCGUUUUUGCAAGCUAAUACUUGUCAUAGUGAAGAAACAACAAACCAUUCAAGGUGAAACGGAGCCAACGCAUGAUCUGUAGUUGUACAUCCCAAGUGUUCAAUGUUGUAGCAUUGGAAGAAAGGAUCAUAUCUGAAACUGAUGAUGGGCAUGAGAUGAGUGGGUUAUGGAGAGAUUGUUUGAUACAGCUUUUCGAUGGUAGCUACGACCGUAAAACUGGAUGCUUCUGCUUUCGCAAGGUAACAUCUCAAAGCUAUCAUUUGGAACCAUGAAGCUGUCCCGUCUAGCUUUUAGCUGCUAUGUGUUACCAAAUGGUUGCAACUAUGAUUAUACCAAACGGGCCUAAGUUGAACUUCAUAGCCUAUACAGGAUCGGGAGGGAUUGGAGAAUUGCGUCAGUGAUACUUCUCUCUCUUCGGUUGAGUGAUUCAUCUCUUCUUCAAAAGGACCUCUAAUUCUCUAGGGGCAGACUUAAGCAAAGAGCGGAAUUGACUCCUGCAUGCAAGCGUGUACCAGUUUCGUGCUAUAGGAGGGUAUAACAUAUGCUGGAUAAGUGAAAUUUGGGAUCAUGUACAAGUCUCACUUAUUUAUCAUGUUCGAGGUGGAAGUCGUCAUAUGUACAUCAAAAGUGGCUGUGUAUGUAUAUAUAAGGACGAUCAUUCUGAUUUGUAUGUAUCGCAUAAUUGAGAAAGAUGAAUCAAAUAACCUUCAUUCCAACUUCAAAAUCUGUAAAGGCGUCAUUUCUCAAUAUGGAGAAAUAGUCCAGAAACCUUGUAGCUACGCAUUAUAGACAGUUAUUUUGAAAUGAUGUGGUGUAUUAUGCUAAUCAACACUGGCACAACUAGCAGUGGAUGCUGAUGCUGAUUUAACUCCCACAAAUUCGCUGAAUGAGAAGGCGAGUUAAAGCAUCUAAGACACAGAAAAACUACCUAGCUUGCUAAAUGAUUUGGACAUAUAGACCAACAAGAAUUGUGAUCGUCAUAUCACUAACGUUCAUCUAACCAAAAUAACAACAGCAACUUGGAUGGAUGCGGAUCGGGAAAAAAAGACCUACUGCGAGACAAGAUACAGGGCACAAGUCAUAUCUUGCAACAUAAUAUCUUCGGAGCAGUUAAAAAAUAGCAUCUCCUGGUCUUAACUCGCCCAACUGCGGAACAGCAUAGAACGAACACUAGGCUAGAUUCGUGCCCAAGGAAUGAAGUCGUGCAUGAUUGUGCCACAAACAGAGCACAACAAGAAAACCACCUAAUGAUCCAGCGGAACCUCAAAAACAAAGAAGGUUAUGAGUAUGUACAAUCAUGAGGCGAACUCCUAUCGGAUUGUUCAAAAACGUCCCUCUUGCUCGAUACAGUUUUAUAGUUUACCGUAUCACUUGAUGAACAGCAAUUUACAAACCAAUCUGUAUACCCUAUGUCCCCAGCAUUACCGUGGAAGAAAUGAAGAAAUCGUAUCCUGGCCCUAGCAUGAAAAACUGAGAAAUCCAUAUCCUACUGAAAGAAGCAUGGGGAUACAGCAUAGCAACAUGUCUUUGUCCACAAACUGCUAAUAUAGGUUUGUUACAACCAUUCAUCAUCAUGCAAAUUUCACAAGCUAAUGAGGGUGAAAAACGACACCCCCUUGUACAAAAAAGAGAGCCAAUCCAGUCAACAGACACGAAACUGACAUUUUACCACUGCCAACAAGAUGAAGUAAGAACAUCAGAGACAUCGGACAAUAUUCACAUCAAACACAGAGGUAAAGAGACUAAAAUCCAAAGCGCUAGUUCCACAUUUGCAACAGCAAUCGAUACAUCAGCACUCAAACAGGUCUGCGGACGCUAUUAUGGGUUGUAUCGGACAUGGGAUCUGCCAGGGCUUCAUCAACGGGUCGGGAAUCUCGGGAAUAUCAAUCACCAGCCCACUGACCACCUCCACGAUCUCGAGUACCGAGUUCAGGGACCGGAGCCUCUCAGUAAGCUCCAUGGCCUGGGCCCUGAGGACAUUGUUUGCCAACUCGACCUCGGCAUACUUCUGCGCAGCAGCAUUGAUACUCACCACGAGCUGAGCGUUAGCCUGCUGCAGUUGCCCCACUUCUCCGACCAAAUCCCCCAGCUGCUUCUGCCUCCUCAUCCGGGAGCGCCUGGCGGAUUCCCUGUUGGACUCCAUCCUCUUCCUCUUCCUUUCAUCAUCGGCCACCCCACCGAGCCUCGGGUCGCCAUCGGAUCCCGAGCUCGCCUGACGCCGAACCGAACCCAUUUUCGAGGGCCUUUCCCCGCGAUCAAUCAAUCACUCGAUUCGGAAAACGACCGAUCAGAGUGUCUCCGCGUGCCGGGAGUUAACAACGAAUUCCGAUGGAAUCAAAGGGAGGCACGAAUCGCGAUCAAUAGGAGAGAGAGAGAGGGGCGUUCAUGAGAAGACGUAGAACCAGUAGAGGAACACCACCGAGAAGGAGUGGACGAUCCGCACCCGGAACAUGAGGAUCGCGUAGUUCAUGACUCGGUUUCCCACAUCUGAAAAACCCUACACCAUCUACCACAAGCGCUCAACCAGUACCCUCCGAUUCUCAGCCCAACGCAACGAAGGGGAAAACGAAAACGGCGACAACGCAGCGGAAAGACAGCAGAGAGAGAGAGAAGGGGGACGUAAACUUAGCUGGCGGCGGCGGCGGCGGAACGCGCGAACCAGAGAGAGGUCGAAGAAGGUUAAGAAAGGAGGGGAGGAGGGGUUUAUAUAGAGGAGGCUCGCGGGCUUCGAUUGGUCUGCCGGGAAAACGAAUAUUCCCAGAAUCUUUUUUUUUUUUGGGUGUAAUUUAUUAGGACGGAUUUUGCUUAGGCGUGUCCCGAUUGCCCAAUCACAUUCGAAAGUGUAAGAUUAUAUUUCUUUCUUUAAUUAAAAAAAACCGAAAUUACCUUUUUAACGAAUCGAUAAAAGAAGAAAAUACACGAGAUGCUUGAGGAAUAAACAAAUGUGAAAAUUUAUAUCGGAGAUGUGGAGGAAUCUAGAGAUCCUCUUCUGAUUUUAUUUUGCCGGUGGUUUUUUUUAUCUUUUUAUUUAUCGAUGGACAACUAAUAUCUGACUUAAUCUAUUUAUAAAUCUCUUUCUUUACGCGACCGUGUAACCAUAAUACGGGGGGGAACAGAUGUUCUUAAAUUUAAAUUGUUUUUGGUGGGGGAGGGGAAGAAUGACGUCAUGGCGCACGUCUGAUGUGGCGUGGGAUUGGUCGGAUCUCAUCGUCGUCGCGGUAGUUGGUGCUGCCCAUGUUCAAUGUAAUGCGCACGUUGUUUGGGACCUUAUCCAGUAGCAUCACACUUUACAGAGCAGGCAAAACCGUGGGUUUGACCGGGUCAAACAUCGAACGUCGGAUCUUCUUGGAUACAUCCCCCCUGGAAAAAUGCACGCGAGCGCCAAGUUGUGAAAAGGAGAGAUAUUUAUUUUAAUGUUUUCUGUUUGGAGACAUUAAUUUCUCGAUACCUUUUUAUUUUCGUAAAAAAGGACUUGUGCAAUGGAAAUUAGUCGGGAUGCGUAAAAUACAGGCUAAAUCUUGGACUUCCAAAAUUGAAAUUGGAUGAAAAGAAUACAUAAGUGAUUUGGUGAAAGCAGAUAGCCGUUUGGAAAUUAAUGGUGAAAAUAUGUAGGUGGGCUCUUGGUGAGAAAAUAGGGAUAGAAAUCAAAGUGGAUAGUGGAUUUGGGGAUUGCAAACAUUGCAUCAUGAAAUAGUACUAGAAAAAUGAUCAUUGCAAUUUGUUUAUUCCACAAAAAAUGAAUGAUUUGAAAAAAAAAAAUUAUUACUGCAAUCCGUUUAUUUCACAAUAAAUGAAUAAUUUGAAAAAAAUGAACUCAAUGAACAAUACUAAUCACAACCAAGAGCCAACUAUCGGCUCCCAAGGAGCAAACCUAGGACACUGUGCCCAAACUUGCGAUCUUGACACUUUAAUCGAGAAUGACAUAUUUCAUAUUAAGGUUAAAAUUACAUGGUACCGGCACAAGAUGCAACAAACUCAAGAUGCAUAACAUAUAUAUAAGGUCGAACGACAUGAGAUUUGUAAUACCCUUUUUUUUUUCAGUCCAAUCAGAGUUAUAAUAUGUUGGCUAAUCAUUAAUGCUACAUCACAUUAAUGCUGCAUCAUCACUACCAAAUUUAGGGUCGAUGACUAGGCAAGGCUUGCCUCACCAGCCCUUGGUCAUAAGGAGAAAAUAUUAUAUACAAUUUUGAUGUCACUUCAGCAAAAUAUUAGUCCAUUCAUCUUGCGGCAUGUGUCACACGUGAGCCCACUUAUCUGUCACGAUCUCUCUCUCCCCUUCCUUUUGACCCAUUUUUCCUUCUCCAACUCUCUCUCUCCCCCUUCUUUUUGACCCCUUUUCCCUUCUCCAGCCUCAAGCCCAAGCCAUUGCCAUUGCCCACCAUGGCAAAGGGCAUGCUUGAAGUCUCCAACGAUGAGCUUGCUGCCAAUGGAUCCCUAUUUCUUUGUGCACCUUAUGGUGGGGAACCUUGAGUUGAAGAUCCCCAUCACUGCCAAGCCCAUUGGCUCUGCCGUUCACCCAUUGUCCUCUCCUCGCUUUUGCACCAACUUUGUUAAAUGAAUAGGAGAUGGCAAGAAAUUUUUCAGUGCGAAAAGCCUAAGACUUUUUGUUUUUGAAGUGAUUAUUUUUUAAUCGUGAAUGCAUGACGUGCCUGUGACACACCCGCAUUGAGAAAAUAUCAAGUGAGAGCAAGAUUUGAUGAAAAAUACUUCAUUAAACCUUUUAAGUUGCAUCCCAAAGAUACGAAAGCCCAAAAUAUGGGGGCAAAAACAAGAGGAAAUAGAAAGAAGCAGGAGAAAGAAGUCGAAUUUGUUCUUAUUUUUGAAAGCCCAUACCCUUAUGAAGCCCAUCGAUCCUCAUCUUGGGCCGUGAGAGACCCGCCGUUCCCCCGACCCGACUUGAUUUUCUUCCUCUCACGUUUUCCCGAGAAAACCCUUCUUCCCCACUCUAGCUUUCUCCGGGAAAAUUUUCCGAUCCGUUGCAAACCGUUCAUCAUCUUCCAUUCUACAACAGAUCUCGACGACCUGCGAGGCUGCGAUGGAGAUUCGCAUCAGAAGAGGCUACGCGUGGGCCAUCGCCGCCGGAUUCAUGGCCGCUAUUGCCGCCAUCUCCGCCAAGUUCUUCUCCUCUCAGGUAACUCAACCUCAUCCGCGCGCUUGUCCGUGCAAGCUAAUCCAUGAUUGUCCCCCGCCGUUCUGCUUUGUCACUCGAGAUUGUGCGAUUGUUCCAGCUAAUGCAAAUCGAAAUCUGGCGUGUGUGUUGGGCUGAAGCACUCGACGUCGCGUGGCGCGAUGUGAGCCGCAGCCGAUAGCCGGUGCGCGGCGAUAUGUCCAAUUUUUGGUUGUUUGAGGAUUAGCGGGACCACUAAUUGAGGAAAGCUCCUGUCAAUUCUACUACUUCUGUGGAGAAGAGUUGAAUAAAUUACCGAGUGGGCAAGAGGGAUGGCGGUGCGACUGCGCCUCGGUCCCAGACAUGCCCAGGGAGGGGUGGGAGUCCUGAGCUAGUUUAUCAGAUUUGAGUCCAUCUUGCCGUGAGGAUUUAGUAUUUAAAGCGGACAAUAUGUAUACAGUAGAGACCGGGGCGUUACAACAAUAUCAUCCAAUGACAGGGGAUCAAGGAGCAAGAAAAACACAUUUAGCAAACACAUGGAACGUGCUCAAAGGGAAACGGGUAUCGGGACGCCACCACGUCAUCGGUGAGCUCACUGGCAGAGCCUCAACGGAACAAUUGGGACGCUGCCACAUCCCCGGUUAGCUGGAGAUCCUCGAGCAAGUCCCAGUCACGAGCGAGUUCUCGGAAAAGCUUUGAGAAGAGCUCACCGGUGGAGUCUCGGUGGAGAUCCUCGAGCGUCAGCCAAGGCGACAACCAUUAUCACAAUUCUGGUGAAGACGAUCCAUGGCGAGCAAGCUACAGGCAUGGCGCUCUUCGCCUAUUCUGGUGAUUACAAUCAAGGGCGAGUGAGAUCGUACCCGCGACCACCCCAGCAGAAAUAUGAUUAUUCUCAUCACACUAGCAGGGGCAAUAUUAUUUAUCAUGAGCAAAUGCACAAGGGGAAAAUGACUUCGCAUUUCUUCAGAAGUCUUCCAAACGCAAGUGCUCAUGUCAACAUUUGCAUCAAGAUUUCUAACUUUUCUGUUUCGAAAAAGUAUAGUUACUGCGAUUUUUCUUUUCGUAUUUUAUAAAAAAAAAAAGUCAAAAACACACGGCGCAUCUCGUUGACCCAUCAUCAACCAAUGCAUGCCGAUCAGCGGGCGCUGUCCAUGUCCCGACCUCAUCGUCACAAGCGAAGAAUGUGAACCAAGCGAUCAACCAUCGAUCUUCGAAGGAGAAGACUUCACAGAUUGGCGCUUCUUCCGUCGGCGAUCGUCCUCAAUUCCUCUCCAAUCGCCUCCCAGCUUCCUCCUGCAUCCUGAAAAUCCCUAUGGCGGCGGCGCUCGUCGGCGGAGCAUUUCUCUCGGCUUUCCUCCAGGUGCUCUUCGAUCGGAUGGCCUCCCGCGAGGUCGUCGACUUCUUCCGGUCGCGCAAGCUCGACAAGGGGAGGCUGCUGCAGAAGCUGGAGGCUGCGCUCCUGUCCGCGAACGCCGUGCUGGACGACGCGGAGGAGAAGCAGAUGACCAACGACUCCGUCAGGAAGUGGCUCGACGAGCUCAAGGACGCUGUCUACGACGCUGACGACCUGUUCGACGAGAUCGCCAUUGAAGAUCUGAAGCGCGAAGCCAGGGUCGAGCCUCGGGCUUUCGUUUAUAAGGUCUGGAGCUUUGCUGCAGACGCUUGUAGGAGUGAAUUGGGGGAUGAGUUAGAGAGGGUUCUGGAGAGAUUGGAGAGAGUGGUGAAGCUGAGAAAAGUGCUGGGCCUAAGGGAAGGCAUUCGCGAGAGGACAGCUAGAGCUUUGCCGACCACUUCGUUGGUCGAGGAAUUGGGAAUUUUCGGGAGGGAGAAGGACAGGGAGGCGGUGAUCGACUUGCUCUUGUCAGAUCUGGGCGAAAAGAACACCAGCGUGAUGGCCAUCGUUGGGAUGGGCGGUCUCGGUAAGACCACGCUAUCUCAGCUCGUGUUCAACGAUGGUGUGGUGAAAGGGAGUUUCGAGUUGAGGGCGUGGGUUUGCGUGUCCGACCAAUUCGACAUCUGCAAGCUGACGGCCACGGCUCUCGAGGAGUUCUCCUCCUCGUCUAAGAAGGAGACCGAAAAUCUCAACCAGCUUCAGCUCCAACUGAAGGACUUCUUGACAGGGAAGAAAUUCCUAUUGGUGUUGGAUGAUGUUUGGAAUGAGGACUCAAAUCUUUGGGAUGCGUUCCUAGUUCCUUUUACCUAUGGAGCAAGAGGCAGCAAAAUCGUCGUGACGACACGAAAUGAAAGUGUCGCAUCGGUUGCUCGUGCCUUCUCGAAAUACUAUUUACAGAAUUUACAAGACAGGGAAUGUUGGGACUUGUUCGCAAAACAUGCGUUUGACCAGCAUAACUUCGAGGCGCGCACGAGACUUGAAGAAAUCGGGCAAAGAAUUGUAAAGAGAUGUGAUGGAUUGCCUCUUGCGCUGAAGACUAUAGGUAGCUUGUUACGCUGUGAGUCUGAUAUCAGGAAGUGGGAAAUAAUUGCAGAGAGUGUCAUUUGGGAUUUGGCACCUGGAAAGAAUAGAAUUCUCCCUGCCUUGUUGUUAAGUUAUCAUUACCUUCCUCCACAACUGAAACGAUGUUUUGCCUAUUGUUCAGUCUUCCCAAAGGAUUGCAUAUAUAAGAAGGACCAGCUGAUCUUACUUUGGAUGGCUGAGGGCUUGAUAAAACAACCUAACGCCGGCAGGACAUUAGAGGAAGUAGGUGAUCAGUGCUUCUGUGACCUUGUGUCUAGAUCUUUGCUUAAUAGAGUAAGUGAUGUUGAAUCGAGCUUCCCGAUGCAUGACCUGGAAGAAAGCGACGUCGCAUUGACCUUUUCGAUGCAUGACCUGGUCAAUGACUUAGCAAGAUAUGUAGCUGGUCGAUCUUUUUUUAGCUUGGACGGAGGCAAUGCACACCAGGUGUCCUCAGGCACUCGCCAUUUGUCAUUUGUAAGAACUCGAUAUGAUGUCGCUUCCAGAUUCAGAGUGUUAGCCGGGGCAAAGAAUUUGCGCACUUUCCUGCCGCUAAACGUGGGUCAUGUGAGAUUUCGCGGCACUGUUUGUUGACUGAUGAGGUACUGCAUGUCCUGUUGCCGACCCUGAGACGGUUAAGGGUGCUAUCUUUGUCUUAUUAUGAGGGAAUCUCUACGUUGCCCAGUUCAAUUGGACGUUUGAAGCAUCUGCGCUAUUUGAAUCUCUCCUAUAAUGAAAGUCUAAGCAGAUUGCCUGAUUCAAUUACAGCUCUAUAUGACUUGCAAACCUUAAUUCUUAGUUACUGUCAGUCUCUCGUUGAGUUACCGAGCAACAUGGGCAGCCUAACCUGUCUGCGUCAUCUUGAUAUAAGGAAGACAUCCCUGAAGAGAAUGCCGCAGGGGAUGAACAGAUUGAAGAAUUUGCAGAUAUUAACUAAUUUCGUGGUGGCCAAAAACGGUGGGACCAGGGUUAGGGAGUUAGGGGAGCUAAGGGAUCUUAUGGGUACACUCUCCAUACAGGGUUUGCAGAAUGUUGAUAGUUACCGAGAUGCUGAGAUAGUCAAUUUGCAGGGAAAGAGGUACUUGAAAAAGUUAGUGCUGGAAUGGGGUUGUGAUGACAAUAUUACGCAGCAAAAUAGCUUAAAUGUAUUGAACAAGCUGCAACCUCAUUGGAACUUGAGAGAGCUCAUCAUUAUAUCCUAUGGUGGUAGGUCAUUUUCCACUUGGCUGGGACACGGUUCAUUCUCUAAUAUGUCAGUUGUGCAUCUUGAAUCUUGCAAGCACUGUGUGUCAUUGCCUCCUUUAGGACAGCUACCAUCUUUGGAGAAGUUGACAAUCGAAGGAUUUGAUGGAGUUACAAGUGUGGGUACUGAAUUCAAUGGUAGCAACUGUAUACCUUUUCAGUCACUUAAGUACUUGGAAUUUGCUGACAUGUGCAGCUGGAAAGAGUGGGCUUUUUCUGCAAUAGAAACAGGAGGUCUUGCCUUUACACAUCUACAGAAGCUUUGUAUUAGAAAUUGCCCGCAGUUGAGUGGAGGUUUACCCAGCCAUCUCCCUUCUCUAACAGCCUUGUCCAUUAAAGAGUGCCCACAGCUAAUGUCUUCUCUACCAUUUGCACCGCUUCUCCAUAAGAUCAAUUUGGAUGAUUGUGGAAAGGUUUCUGGAGUUGAGCCUCUCCUAAAUGGCAUUGAGUUACGAGAUAUGGAAAUCGGGAAAUUUUCAACCCUUCCCUUGAGGUUUCUUCCUCCUACCAUGACAAGACUCUGUCUUCUAUACAGUCAUGAAAUAGAGUUGCCAAUGGACGGAUGCUAUGAGUCUCUCCAAAAUCUAAGCUUGAUGCGGAGCUGUGAUUCACUUAUAUCCUUUCCUCUCGAAAUUUUCCCCUCGCUUAAGCAUAUUUACUUGACGGAGAUUAAAAAAUUGGAACAUCUUUCAAACUCAGAUGGUUUAUCACUUCUUCUCCAUUCGAUGGACAUUAGAAAUUGUCCUGAAUUUAGAUCUUUCCCUGCGGGAGGAUUGACUGCCCCAUGCCUCACUUCAUUAUGGUUGGUUGAUUGCCCUCAUCUAUCUGCCAGAAAACAUGCAGGCUCUCCUUCCUUCGCUUCAGUCACUAGAUGUAUUCUCAUGUCCACAACUCGAGUCAUUUCCCAAGCGGGGUUUACCCUCCAACUUGGUCAGGCUUUCACUCUCUAAUUGUGACAAGCUCAUCGCUAGCCGCAAAGACUGGGGUCUUCAGUCACUAUGCUCUCUUGAAACUUUUGUCAUUGGGAAAGAGAAAAAUAUAGAGUCAUUUCCUGAGAUAGGGCUUCUGCCGACCUCUCUUACCUCUCUAAGGAUCGUUGGCUUUAAGAAUCUGACAUCCCUGAACUCCAAAGGGCUUCAUAGCCUGAGCUCCCUUGAAAACCUCUUCAUUAGCGACUGUCGUAAGCUCCAUUCCUUCCCAAAAGAGGGACAAAUUCUGCCCGCUUCUCUUACCACUCUGACGAUUCAUCAUAUGGAUCUAAAAUCACUGGAUAACUUAGGGCUCCACCGCCUCACUUGUCUCAAAGAAUUUGACAUAUUUAGCUGCCGAAGUCUUCAAUCCAUGCCAGCGGAGGGCUUGUCAUCCUCCCUUUCCAAUCUAUUUGUCCAUGGGUGCCCUUUGCUGGAGAAAAGAUGCCAGCGGAAGAAAGGAAAAGAUUGGCCCCUAGUUUCGCACAUUCGCUGCAUCGUAAUUGAAGGUGUGCUCGUCACAUGAUCGUAUAUCUUGCUUUACAAUCCCUCCUUUUACCAAGAUUUCACUCAGGUAUCUCCCUUGGCCCUACACUAAGUAAGCCAUUUAUUUAUUCACGACAUACUUCAGUUGCUUUGUGGUCAAGCACUAACAUCUGGCUGUAUUUGCCGCAUGCUACUCUAAUAACGCUUCGCAAUGGAGAUUAUUUGUAGUUUCACCGGCUUUCCAUUGUUGUUCCUACGAUUGGGCUGCAUAAUUUCUUUAUUGGUUGCCAAGUUAUUUAGCUGGAGCGUCUGCUUUUCCCCUUCUCCAUUUUCUCUAUAUAAAUCACACUCCCAUACUUCAGCUAAGCAUCUGUCAUGGUCUUCAUAGUCUCACCUGGGAAUGAUUAUUUCAUUGCUACCUUAUGUCGCCAUCAGAUUAUUUCAGCUUUAAGAUCUCGCUAUUGUCAACACCUACAAAUGCCAACUUAUAGAACUGUUUGUGCAUGAGCUAACAAUAGUAAAUAGAGCAAAGAGAUUCAUGGCUACCUAAAGAAGGCCUAGCAUUGAUUAGGUUAUCUAGAUGAAAUUAUUUUUUCUCGAACUCUGGCACUUCCUCAAGUUAAAAAGAGAGUAAAUUUGUUCUUAUCAACAAAUGCUUUCUGUUGUGUAAAGCUGUAUAAUAUUACGAGGGAGACGUAAAUUCUUGAGACUAGGCAUGACUCAUGAUUGACUUGUAUUACGCUUGCCAGAACAGUGUGGUAUCAUAGGUGGAGCAUAUUUCUAUUUGCUUUGUAUGUUUAUUUGUCAAUUUCAGCUAAAUAUCACUCUAAGGUUGUACAGUUUAACAAUUUCCCUCACUACAUGUAGAAUCUUGAUCCAUGGAAUGUGAAAAUGGAACAGUUUAAGAGAUGCGAGUGGCCCAGCAUUUUGUAGUGGCAUAUCCACUUUUUUCACUAAUUAUAUCAUGACAUCAGCUAAAUUCAUCAAACUGAAGGUCUAAAAAGAGUGAAAAAGUUAGGUUUUUAUUUGUUGAAGUUGAAAAUUUGCAUCUCAAAAUGCAAUUCAAUCAAAAUAUAUGGACUUGUUGUAAUUUACCCUAUUUUGAGAGAAUCUAGUUUCUUUUGAGGGAAUUUAAGCGGUUUUAUGUCCAUUAACUUUUGAGGAGCUUCUGUGGAUGGAGAUAGAGCUGGAAAUGUAUUGCUAACUUUUAGCUCGAUUAGAGUAUCCUUUAGUUGUUAAUACUUGUCUUUCAAUCAUUGCAGGUGGAGUGCUUCUAGAUGGGGCUAGACUAACUAAUGUUCCAAAAAUACAUGAUGCAUACACAAUAAGCAAUAUAGGCACAUGCUGUGUUGAGAUGCAUGUAUGGAUUGUGACGCAGGAUUAGUAUGGUGUCGAAUAGUUGAUAUAUCUUAGUUGGCCAAAGCGUUUGAGUAAAAUUGGCCUAACUGGAUAUGUUAAAAGGUUUGGACUUGGGCUCUCUCUUGGCUUUUGCUACGCGCUCCCAAGCCAAUUGUUGAUUGGUGGCAACCUGUUGGUGCAAAAGAAUGCUUGGAUUAAGGGAGAAGUAUACUGAACAUUGAGCUUACACAUAAGAGGGAGAUAAGAAUUGAUGCAGUGUGGAGUAAGAGAAAGACAAGAAUUGAUGUGGUAUGGAGUACUUAAUAUCUCCUAGUUGGCCCAUGAUUCAUUGACUUAAGCUUUUGAGUAUAUGUUGGGUCCAACUAUAUUUGUUGACAGGGUCGAACUUGGGUGGUUUCUUGGCGAUCUCCCAUGGGAUGGCAUUGAAUUUCUGCUAGGCACUACCAACAUGCCAUGGUGGAUGUUGGAUGCUGCUUUGGAUGGACCUAUUCUUCUCCCACAAUAUCAAGAUAGUUUCAGUUAGAGGGUUGUGAGGAAAAAAAAAUGGUGCUCAGUGGACGAGUGAAUUAUGAGGAUCAUGAGCAACAUAGGCAGUGGGAUAGUGGAAUUCGGCAAGGAAAACAAAUCCAUUCUUCAUGCUGUGAGCAAGCCAAGUGAUUGACUCUGGAAAUGUCAGAAUCGAGCUCAAUUAGGAGUAUCGAAAUUUCAUUGUCAGUUUGCAGCUUGUGAGAAAUUGUUUACCAAUGAGUGCGAGUGCAGGAGAGGCACUCCAAUGCAAUUGCAACGUUUAGUUGAAUGUAACGACAUGCCAUGUGAGAAUUAUUUGCCUAAUGGUUUGGUUGGAUUGUUGAUUUAGCAAGCUGAUACUUCUCGCAAUGGAGAAAUAAGAAACCAUUCAAGGUGAAACGGAGCUAACGCAUGGUCUGUAGAGGUACAUCCCAGGUGUUCGAUGUUGUAGCAUUGAAACCGAUGAUGGGCAUGAGAUGAGUGGGUUAUGGAGAUAUUGUUUGAUACAACUUUUCGAUCAUACCUGUGGCCGUAAAACUGGAUGCUUCCGCUUUCGCAAGGUAACAUCUCAAAGCUAUCAUCUGGAACCAGAAAGUUGUCCCGUCUAGCUUACAGCUGUCUCCGUGUGUUACCAAAUGAUCGCAACUAUGAUUGUACCAAAUGGUCCUUGAGUGGAGCUUCAUAGCCUAUAAAGGAUUAGGAGGGAUUGGAGGAUUGAUUGAGUGAUACUUCUUUCUCUUUGGUUGAGUGGUUCUUUUCUUCAAAAGCACCUCUAAUUCUCCGGGACACACUUAAGCAAAGAGCGGGAAUAACUCGUGCAUGCAAGCAUAUACCCGUUUCAUGCUAUUGGAAGGUGUAACAUAUAAGUGAAUUUUAAGGUCAUGUACGAGUCUUAUUUAUCAUGUUCAAGUUUGAAAGUCGUCAUAUGUAAAUCAACAGUGGCUGUGUAUGUAUAUAUAAGGACAAGCAUUCUGAUUAGUAUGUAUAACAUAGUCGAGAAAGAUGAAUCAGAUAACCUUCAUUCCAACUUCGAAAUCUGCAAGGACGUCAUUUCCCAAUAUGGCGAACCAGUCCAGAAACCUUGUAGGGAAAUGACGAACCAAUCCAGAAACCUUGUGGCUACGCAAUAGACAGUUAUUUUGAAAGGAUGUGGUGUAUUAUACUAAUCAACACUGGCACAACUAGCAGUAGAUGCCAAUGCUAAUUUAGCUCGCACAAAUUCGCUGAGCAAGAAGGGGAGUUGAAGCAUCUAAGACAGAAAAACUAACUCGCUUGCUAAAUGAUUUGGACAUAUAGAACAACAAGAAUUGUGAUCUUCAUAUCACUAGCGUUCAUCCAACCAAAAUAACAACAGCAACUUGGACGCGGAUUGGGAAAAAGACCUACUGCAAGAGAAGAUACAGGACACAAGUCAUAUCUCGCAACAUAAUAUCUUCAAAGCAGUCAAAAAAUAGCAUCUCCUGGUCUCAACUCGUCCAACUGCGGAACAGCAUAGAACGAACACUAGGCUAGAUUCGUGCCCAAGGAAUGAAGUCGUGCAUGAUUGUGCCACAAACAGAGCACAACAAGAAAACCACCUAAUGAUCCAACGGAACCUCAAAAACAAAGAUGGUUAUGGGUACAUAAAAUCAUGAGGCAAACUCCUAUCAGAUUGUUCGAAAAUGUCCCUCUCGUUCAAUAAAGUUCUACAGUUUACCGUAUCAAUUGAUGAACAGAAAUUUACAAACCAAUCUGUGUACCCUAGGUCCCCAGCAUUCCUGUGGAAGAAAUGAAGAAAUCAUAUCCUGGCCCUAGCAUGAAAAUCUGACAAACCAUAUUCUGCUGAAAGAAGCACGGGGAUACAGCAUGGCAACAUGUCUUUGUCCACAAACUGCAAAUAUAGGUUUCUUACAACCAUUCAUCAUCAUGGAAAUUUCGAAAGCUAAUGAGGGUGAAAACGACACCCCCUUGUACAAAAAAGAGAGCAAAUCCAGUCAUCAGACAGGGAACCGACAUUUUACAACUGCCAAGAAGUAUGAACAUCAGAGACAUCAGACAAUAUUCACAUCAACCACAGAGGUAAAGAGAAUCUAAAAUCCAAAGCGCUCUUUCCACAUUUGCGACGGUAAUCGAUACAUCAGCACUCAAACAGGUCUGCAGAUGCCAUUAUGGGCUGUAUCGGACGAGGGAUCUGCCAGGGCUUCAUCAACGGGUCGGGAAUCUCGGGAAUAUCAAUCGCGAGCCCACUGACCACCUCCACGAUCUCAAGCACCGAGUUCAGGGACCGGAGCCUGUCGGUAAGUUGCAUCCUGAGGACAUUGUUGGCCGAUUCAACCUCAGCAUACUUCUGCGCAGCCGCAUUGAUACUCGCCACGAGCUGAGCGUUAGCCUGCUGCAGUUGCCCCACUUCUCCGACCAAAUCCUCCAGCUGCUUCUGCCUCCUCAUCCGGGAGCGCCUGGCCGAUUCCCUGUUGGACUCCAUCCUCUUCCUCUUCCUUUCAUCAUCGGCCACCCCACCGAGCCUCGGGUCGCCAUCGGAUCCCGAGCUCGCCUGACGCCGAACCGAACCCAUUUUCGAGGGCCUUUCCCCGCGAUCAAUCAAUCACUCGAUUCAGAAAGCGACCGAUCAGAGGGUCUCCGCGUACCGGGAGUUAACAACGAAUUCCGAUGGAAUCAAAGGGAGGUACGAAUCGCGAUCAAUCGGAGAGAGAGAGAGACGGGCGUUCAUGAGAAGACGUAGAACCAGUAGAGGAACACCACCGAGAAGGAGUGGACGAUCCGCACCCGGAACAUGAGGAUCGCGUAGUUCAUGACUCGGUUUCCCACAUCUGAAAACCCUAGACCAUCUCCCACAAGCGCUCAACCAGUACCCUCCGAUUCUCAACCCAACGCAACGAAGGGGAAAACGAAAACGGCGACAACGCAGCGGAAAGACAGCAGAGAGAGAGAGAGACAAAGAUAGAGAAGGAGGACCUAAACUUAGCCGCCGCCGCCGCCGCCGCCGCCGCCGGCGGAACUCGCGAACCAGAGAGAGGUCGACGAAUGUUGGCCAAGGAGGGGAGAAAGGGAUUAUAUAGAGGAGGCUCGCGGGCUUCGAUUGGUCCGCCGGGAAAACGAAUACUUUCGGAAUGUUUUUUUUGGGUGUAAUUUGGGGGUUUAAUUUUUUUUUUUUUUUAUCGUAAGGGGGUUUAAUUUAUUAGGACGGAUUUUGCUUGGGCGUGUCCCGAUUGCCCAAUCACAUUCGGAAGCGUGAGAUUAUAUUUCUUUCUUGAAAAAAAACUGAAAUUACCUUUUUAACAAAUCGAUUAAAGAAGAAAAUACAUGAGAUACUCGAGGAAUAAACGAAUUUGGAAAUCUAUAUUGGAGAUGUGGAAGAAUCUAGAGAUCCUCUUCUGAUUUUAUUUUGUCAGUUGUUUUUUUUUUAAUCUUUUUAUUUAUCCAUGGGACAACUAAUAUCAGACUUAAUCUAUUUUUUACUUUUUAGUACUUUUUUUUUUUUUUUUUGUGUUACCCUCUUUCUUUACGCAACCGUGUUAACCACAAUACAUGGGGGAACAGAUGUUAUUAAAUUUAAAAAAAAAAAUUGGUGGGGGAGGGGAAUGACGUCAUGGCGCACAUCUGAUGUGGCCGUGGGAUUGGUCAGAUCUCGUCGUCAUCGUCGUAGUUGGUGCUGCCCAUGUAAUGCGCACAUUGUUUGGGACGUUAGCAAGUAGCACCACACCUCACAGAGCAGGCAAAAACCGUGGGUUUGACCGGGUCAAACAUCGGACAUCGGAUCUUCUUGGGAUACAUCCCCCUAGAAUAAUGCACGCGAGCGCCAAGUUGUGAUACGGAGAGAUAUUUAUUUUAACGUUUUCUGUUUUGAGACAUUAAUUUCGCGAUACCUUUUAAUUUUCAUAAAAAAGGACUUGCGCAAUGGAAAUUAGUCGGGAUGUGUGAAAUACGGGCUAAAUCUUGGAUUUCUGAAAUUGAAAUUGGAUGAAAAGAAAAUGCAUGUGAUUUGGUGAAAGCAGUGACCGUUUGGAAAUUGAUAAUGAAAAUAUGUAAGUGGGUUCUUUGUGAGAAAAUAGGGAUAGAAAUCAAAGUGGAUAGUGCAUUUUGGGAUUGCAAACAUUGCAUCAUGAAAUAGUGCUAGAAAAAUGAUUAUUGCAAUCGUUUUAUUCCACAAAAAAUAAAUGAUUUGAAAAAAAAAUUAUUACUGCAAUCUGUUUAUUCCACAAAAAAAUGAAUGAUUUGAAAAAAAUGAACUCAAUGAACAAUACUAAUCACAACCAAGAGCCAACUACUGGCUCCCAAGGAGCAAACCUAGGACACUGUGCCCAAAGUUGCGAUCUUAACACUUUAAUCGAGAAUGAUAUAUUUCAUAUCAAGGUUAAAACUACAUGGUAUCGGCACAAGAUGCAACAAACUCGAGAUGCAUAACAUAUAUAAGGCCGAACGACAUAAGAUUUGUAAUACUUUUUUUUUUCAAUCUGAUAAGAGUUAUAAUACAUUGGCUAAUCAUUAAUGCUGCAUCAUCACUACCAAAUUUAGGGUCGAUGACUGGGUGAGACUUGCCUCGCCAGCCUUUGGUCAUGAGGAGAAAAUAUUAUAUUCAAUUUUGAUGUCAAUUCAGCAAAAUAUUAGUCCAUUCAUCUCAUGGCACGUGUCACGCGUGAGCCCACUUAUCUGUCACGGCCCUGUUUGGUUCAGCUUUCUUAAGGGGGAAAAUAUUUUAUGUUUGGCAACAAUUUUCGAAAGCUACUUGGCCAAAUGUCAGCAUUCCCAAUGCUGAAAGCCCAAUGCUAAUGUUGGGGAGGACCAGCUUUGAGCAUUUGAUAUUUCGGAAAUGCUCGUUCACUAUUCAUCUUCUUCCCCAUUCUUCUCCGUUCGUCUUCUUCGUCUUCCUCGCCGCUUGAGAGUUCGGCUUCUCUGGCAGCCGCCAUCGCCACGUGGGGGUCUCGCGUCCUCGGUGACCAUCGCCUAGGGUGGCGGGAACCGCGACUUAGGCGGGGUCGCUUGGCAAGCGCGAGCCAAGCGACACCACCUGAGGUCCGAGUGACCAGGCGAUGCCACCUGAGGUUGAGAUCUGAGGCCGCCAAAUUUGGCUGUUCGGCAGCCAAAUCUGGUGGUCUUGAGGCCAGAUCUGGCCAUCAGAUGGCCAUAUCUAGCCUUCGCGACCUCAGGCCGUCAAAUCUGGUGGUCCGGCGGCCAAAUCCAGUUGGCUAGCGGUUGGCUGACCGUCGGAAUUUGAUUUUCUAACUUAAAUAUAAAAUAAAAAAUAGCAAAAGUCAAUUACAAAGGUGAAUUUUACCAAACGGUGUUUAUGCUAAGUUGCUUUUCAAUGUUACAAUUUACCAAACGGUGUAACAUUUCCGCAAACCUCUUUAUCUCAAAGGUAUUUGCAUUUUCCUAAUGGCAUUUCCUCAAAGCUGAACCAAACGGGCCCACUUAUCUGUCACGAUCUCUCUCUCCACUUCCUUUUGACCCCUUUUCCCUUCUCCAACUCUCUCUCUCUCCCCCUUCUUUUUGACCCCUUUUUCCUUCUCCAACCUCGAGCCCAAGCCAUCGCCAUUGCUGACCAUGGCAAAGGGCACGCUUGGAGUCUCCAACAAUGAGCUUGCCGCCAAUGGAUCCCUAUUUCUUUGUAAACCUUAUGGUGGGGAACCUUGAGUUGAAGAUCCCCAUCACUACCAAGCCCGCUGGCUCUACCGUCCACCCAUCGUCCUCUCCUCGCUUCUGCACCGACUUUGUUAAAUGGACGGGAGAUGGCAAGAAAUUUUUUUGAGUGCGAAAAGCCUAAGACUUUUUGUUUUCGAAGUGAUUAUUUUUUAAUCGUGAAUGCAUGACAUGCCUGUGACACAUUCGCAUUGAGAAAAUAUCAAGUGAGAGCAAGAUUUGAUGAAAAAUACUUCAUCAAACCUUUUAAGUUGCAUCCCAAAGAUACUAAAGCCCAAAAUAUGGGGGCAAAAACAAGAGGAAAUAGAAAGAAGCAGGAGAAAGAAGUAAAAUUUGUACUUAUUUUUGAAAGCCCAUACCCUUAUGAAGCCCAUCGAUCCUCAUCUUGGGCCAUGAGAGACCCGCCGUUCACUCGACCCAACUUGAUUUUCUUCCUCUUACGUUUUCCCGGGAAAACCCUUCUUCCCCUCUCUAGCUUUCUCCCGGAAAAUUUUCCGAUCCGUUGCAAACCGUUCAUCAUCUUCCGUUCUAUAACAGAUCUCGAUGACCUGCGAGGCUGCGAUGGAGAUUCGCAUUGGAAGAGGCUACGCGUGGGCCAUUGCCGCCGGAUUCAUGGCCGCUCUUGCAGCCAUCUCCGCCAAGUUCUUCUCCUCUCAGGUAACCCAACCUCAUCCACGCACUUGUCCGUGCGAGCUAAUCCAUGAUUGUCCCCCGCCGUUCUGCUUUGUCACUUGAGAUUGUGCGAUCGUUCUAGCUAAUGCAAAUCGAAAUCUGGUGUGUCUGUUGGGCCGUGUCCCUAAUGUAUCUCCGGCUGAAGCACUUGAUGUUGCGUGGCGCAAUGUGAGCCGCAGCCGAUAGCCGGUGUGCGGCGAUACGUCCAAUUUUUGGUUGUUUGAGGAUUAGCGGGAGCUCUAAUUGAGGAAAUCUCCUGCCAAUUCAACUACUUCUGUGGAGAGUAGUUGAAUAGAUUAGCGAGAGGGGAGGAGGGAGGGUGGUGCGUCUGCUCCUCGAUCCCCAGACAUGCCCGGGGAGGAGAGGGAGUUAUGGGCUAGCUUAUAAGGCUUUGGUCCAUCUAACUGUAUAUACGCGUUUUCUUGAGGUAAUAUGGGCUAGUUUGAGAAGAACAAAACCGUAAGGACUUAGUGUUCAAGGCGAAAAAUGUGUACAAUGGAGACCUAGCCAUUACAACAAUGUCAUCCAAUGGCAGGGGAUCGAGGAGCAAGAAAAACACAUUUAGCGAAGCAUGGAACGUGCUCAAGGGGAAUUGGGUAUCGGGACAUCGCCAUGUCACUGGUGAGCUCACUGGCAGAGCCUCAACGGAACUAUCGGGAUGCUGCCACAUCCCCAGUGAGCUGGAGAUCCUCGAGCAUGUCCCAGUCACAAGCGAGUUCUCAGAAAAGCUCUAAGAAGAGCUCAUCGGUGGAGUCUCAGUGGAGAUCCUCCAGCGUCAGCCAAGGCGACGACCAUUAUCACAACUCUGGUGAAGACGAUCCAUGGCGAGCAAGCUACAGGCAUGGCGCUCUUCGCCUAUUCUGGUGAUUACGAUCAAGGGCGAGUGAGAUUGUACCCGCAACCACCCCAGCAGGAAUAUGAUUAUUCUUAUCACACUAUCAGGGGGCAGUAUUAUUCUUGAGGUCUUGACAAUGUCAAUAGUUACGUCCACGACGACGCGUCCGUUCCAUCAUAUCUGCCCCCGCAUACUUCUUAUGGUUAUCACUGUCCAUCCGAGUCUCCCCCGAAUAAUUGUGUGGUGAUGUGAGAUGCCUAAUAUAGUGUGCCUAUAGUUGCUUUUACUAAUAUCUGGUGAAGUACGGGAUGAGCUAGGGGCAUGGUUGAGCCUUUGGUUUGUUAGCUUUCGCUUGUGAAUCUCAGUGAAGUUUCUUGUUUUAGUUAAUGGUUUCGAACGUGAUGGAGAUUGAUUGAAAUGGCUUUGCCAGUUAAUGAAGGUUUAUAUAUUUAUUUUAUGAAGUUUCAUCUAGUUCGUAGAUGCUAAAAAGUUCUAUUAAAAUUUAACUAAAUUUAGGGGCACUUAAUUCCAUCAAUUGUCUACGGUUCUACUUCUAUGGACAGAUGUUCCCUCACCAAUCAUUUAUCACAAAAAUUAAACCAAAUGAAAAACGAUUUAUAAAAAUAGUUUAAAAAAGAAAAAGAAAAUUGGCCGCGCCAUUCUUGAAAAUUCCUCAUUCUUCAAGGAAGACCUUUAAGGAUCCGAGCUUUCUUGUGAUCCUUCGUGUUCAAACUUCAAGUAGCUUUGAAUGUGCAGAUAUACAUUGAAAUUUGUCUUUCCAGAUGCUUAUGGCAUCUCCAUUGAGAUGCAUAUACAUGGAGGAGAAACUUUUCAAGCUCAUCCAUUUAAAAAUUGGGCUCCUUUCUUGAUGAAAUUCAGUGGACGAAGACGAGAGAAAACGUUUCCAGUUAAAAAGAUCAAAACCGAAAAUAAUCUCCACUCAGUCCGUCGGAAGUAAUUGAAUUGUUGAUAUAUCGACAUAAAAAUGAAGCAGGAAAUGUUAGAUUAAAUGUAAACUAAAACCUUAUGAUCCCGAUUAUCAAUCACAGAUAAAUUCGUACAGAAUUUGGGAUCGAUUUGCUGAAACGUAAAAAUCAACAUACCUCCAGUCAUCGAUAAAAAUUUGCAAAAGCGGAAAACUUCAAAACCUUGGACGGAUUCACGCAACACGAUCCGAUCUUCAAUAUGAAGAACACCAGAUCUGUACGUCAUGUUCUACUAGCCAAUACCCCUCAAAUCUGAUGGUGCGUUUUCUGUAAUGAUAGGGUUUGAAUUAGACGACUUGACAUUUUAUUCCGUUUAUUAUGUUAUAGACAUCUUCCAUCAAGACCGUUAUGGUAACAUAUUAACGAGCAAAUAUCAUGUAAUAGAUGUGGGUGAUAAACUGGGCAAUAAAUCGGAACUAAUUGAGAAUAUAAUAUUGGGAUCAUAUUUAGAAUAAUAAAUAUAUUACAACAUUCUCCCACUUGAUCCCAAUAUUCCAUUAAAUGAAAUAUUAACUCAAACCCACAUAAACUUCGUACUAAAAUAAAACACAUGAAUCAUGAUAAUGAGUCCUCUUAGAGUAAGUAUUAUCUUUCAUGUAUCACAAUGCAUUUCAUUAGCUCAUAUGCGAUCAAAUAACUUAAUGAAUAAAUCUUCUGUUUACUCUAGGUCAAAUGUAAUUGUUUCUCUCAGAAUAAUUGAAUGUAUACAAGUGUAUUGAGAAAAACAUUAUAAAUGAAUAAAAGUCUCACAAUUCUUUCAUAUAAUUUUUUUUUUACCUAAUUGGGCCAAUACCCAUUCUAAAUACAUGAUUCUUAUAACUCAUUGGUGGCAUGCCUUUAGUUAAAGAAUCAGCUAUCACCAGUCCAGUGCUUAAGUGUUCUAUGAUCACUUUCUUCUCUUUAACACGUUCUCUGAUGACUAAAUACUUGAUGUCGAUGUGCUUGCUUCAACUACCACUUUUGCGGUUCUUAGCCACAAAAACUGUAGCUGAAUUGUCGCAAAAUAUUCUUAAUGGCCUAGCAAUGGAAUCCACAACUCUAAGCUCCGAUAUGAAACUUUUCAAUCACACACCAUGUGAGGUGGUCUCAAAAUAGAAAACAAACUCUGCCUCCAUAGUGGAAGUGGCAACCAAGGUCUGUUUUGCACUCCUCUAGGAUACAGCUCCACCAACAAAGUUUGAAUUCGAGUAACCAACUACCUCCAAGGUGUUCGUCCGUCUAUACAUAAGUAUGUAUCCCUUUGUUCCUUGAAGGUACCUCAUUACCUUCUUUGCAGCUCUCCAACGGUCCAUACCUAGAUUACUUUAUAUAUACUCAACAUUCCCAUAGCAAAGGCUAUGUCAAAUCGAGUGCAAACUUAAGCAUAUAUCAAGCUUCUGACAGCAGAAGCAUAUGGAAUGUUCUUCAUUCGUUCCCUUUCAAAAUCGUCCUUUGGGCAUUGGUUUAAAUUAAACCUAUCACCUUUCACAAUCGGUGCUAUAUCUGGUGAACAAUCUUUCAUCCGAAACCUCUCUAAGACCUUAUUGAUAUAGGUUUCUUGAGAUAGUCCUAAUAUAUCUCGAGAUCUAUCUCUAUGGAUCUUAAUGCCAAUGACAUAAGACGCUUUAUCAAUAUCCUUUAUAUCAAAACUCUUAGAGAGAAAUUGUUUCCCUUCAUAUAACAACCCCUUAUCAUUGGUUGUAAGUAAAAUGUUAUCUACAUAUAGCAUAGGGAAACAAAUUUUGCUCCCAUUAACCUUUUGGUAUAUACAUUGAUCAAUGAUAUUCUCUAUAAAACCGAAUGAAGAGAUAACCUCAUGGAAUCUUAAGUACUAUUGGCGGGAUGCUUGUUUUAAGCCAUAUAGAGACAUUUUAAGCUUGCAUACCAAAUGUUCACCAAUAUUAGAAAAUAAUCAUUCUAGUUAUUUCAUGUAAACCACUUCUUUCAAUUUUCUAUUGAAGAACGCCAUUUUCGCAUCUAUUUGAUGUAACUUCAUAUCAAAAUGAGCAACUAAUGCCAAAAUAAUACGAAGAGAAUCUUUCUUGAAUACAGGAGAAAACGUCUCCGUGUAAUUGAUCCAUUCCUUUUUAGUGAAUUCCUUGGCAACGAAUUUGGCUUUGUAUCUCUCAAUAUUGCCUAAUGAAUCAUUCUUAGUUUUGAAGACUCAUUUACAACUAAUAGCCUUCACACCAUCGAGCAAUUCAACUAUAUCCCAGACUUCAUUUGAUGCCAUAGAAUUCAUCUCUUCCUUCAUGGCCUUGUACCAUAAAUUGGAUUUAUCACAACUCAUGACUUGUGAAAACGUCUCGGGAUCACUUUCAGCUCCAACAUUAUAGUCAAUUUUUUGUAGAUACACAAUGUAAUCAUUAGGGAUUGCUGAUUUCUUCAUUCUAGUAGACCUUCUUAAUGUUGCAUCAACAUCCUCCUGAGGAGUUUGUUGUUCAACUGAAAGUUCAAUAGUAUCUGGUAAUUGCUGAAUAGUUGGGUCUAUCGAAUCAACAUUAGUAAGUUAUGGAUCUUCAAUGAUUGAUUGCUCAACGAUCGGUUGAAUUGAAGGUGUAUUGUAAACAUUAACCAAUCAAGUACCUGAGGUAGAAGGUUGAGUAUCUAAAUGAUCUUCUUCGGGAACAAAGUCCCUGAAUUGAUCGUUCCCAUUAACCAGGGCAUUCUCAAGAAAUUUAACAUUUCUUGAUUCCACAAACCUAAUGGUGUGAGAUGGACAAUAAAAUCUGUAUUAUUUGGACUUUUCGGCAUAUCCAAAGAAAUACUCAUUUAUAGUCUUUGGAUCUAACUUUUUUUUUUCCUGUGGAUUGUAGACUUUUACUUCAGAUGAGCAUCCCCAAACACGUACAUGUCACAAACUCGGUUUUCAACAUUUGAAUAACUCAAAAGGCGUCUUUGGAACAGCCUUGGUUGGAACUCGGUUUAAUAUGUACACAACCGUUUUAAGAGCCUUAGUCCACAAAAAUUUAGGAAGUUUGGAGCUGCUGAGCAUACUCCGCACCAUGUCCAAUAAUGUUCAUUUUUUUUUCUGCGACACCAUUUUGGUCUAGUGAACUAGACAUAGUGUAUUGAGCAAUAAUCUCAUGCUCUUCAAAAAACUUCGCAAAUGAACCAGGUGCUUAUCCAUCUUCAAUGUAUCUACCAUAAUAUUCCCCACCUCUAUCUGAUCUUACGAUGCCGCAUUGUUUUUCUACUUCGGUUUUAAAUACUUUAAAGGCAUUUAACGCUUUGUGCUUAUUACAAAGCAUAUAAAUACAUGAAUCGUGAACAAUCGUCUAUGAAAGAAAUGAAGUAUCUGACCAUUUGAGUCCAUAUCCGGACUACAAAUAUCUGUAUAUAUGAUUUUUAAUAUUUUUGUAUUCCUCUUAGCACCUUUCUUUGACUUGUUGGUACAUUUUCCCUUUAUACAAUCCACACAAGUGUCAUAAUUAGUAAAAUCCAGAGUAUUAAGUACUUUAUCAUUUACUAGUCGCUUAAUUAUAUCAAUAGAGAUAUGUCCCAACCUCCGGUGCCACAACAUAGAUGAAUCCUCAUUUACAGCACAUCGUUUUAUACUAGCAUUAUCGUGAACAUGCAUCGCAUUAUUAAUUACAUUGUCUAGUAAAUUAAUUCGAAAGAGACCGUUAAACAAAAUACCACUCUCAACAAUUUCAGAUUUAUACGAUAAAUUGAAUGUUGAAUAUAAAAAUUCAAAGGAGUAUCCCUAAGGCACAAGUCUUGAAACUGAAAUUAAAUUCCUAGAAAAACUAGGAAUAUAAAAGGUCAUUUCUAAAAUUAAAACAAAACCACUACCGAGAACUAAUCUGCAUGUCCUAAUAGCUUCCACGCGCGAGCACAUCUUGUUUCUUGAAUAGAUGCUUUGUUCACUUUCCACUUGUUUCCACCGGUUCUAAAAACCCUACAAGGAAUUCGAAAUGUGGAUUGUAGAACCAGAAUCAAUCCACCAAGUGUUGUGACCCACAUCAACCAUAUUAGAUUCAUAACAAACAGAUGAGAGUUGGUUAUCUUUCUUUUUUAGCAGGCCUUAAAUUUGGCACAAUUCUUCUUCACGUGCCCCUUCUUUUUACAGAAGAAACGCUUGAAUUUCUUUUUAAUGCCAACUCGGGGAGGUAGAGGCAUGUUACCUUUUCCCUUUUGCUUGCCUUGCUCUUUAUACUUAUCAUGUGUUGUCAUAUGGUCAUGAGUUCAUUGAUUGACCAUUUAGUUUUAUGUGUAUUGUAAGAGAUUUUGAAAUGGGCAUACUCUUGUAGGAGAGUAUUUAGAAUAUAAUAUACAAGAAAAAAAUAUGAUAUCCCAACCUGAAGAUUUUUCAGCUGAGCUGCAAUGUCCCUCAUCUUCAUGAUGUGCUCACGCGCACCUCUUACACUGGUAAGUUUCAAAGAUGAGAACUUCAUAAUCAGGGUCAUGGCAUGCACCUUCUCUAAAGACUCAAAUUGUGCAUUAAUAGCCUCCAGCAAUUUCUUGGCAUUGUUAUGCUGAAUGACUAAACCACGAAUACUAGCAGAGAGUUUUAUCUUUAUGUACAUCACACUGAGACGGUUGGACCGCUCCCAUUGUGCAUAAUGUGUAUGUUCAAUAUGAGUACUAUUUUCAAUAGAUUCAGGUGGUUCGUCAGACCUUAGUACAUAAUCAAGAUCCAUGCACCCCAAUUGAAGAAGAAUCGAUUCCUUUCAUUCUUUAUAGUUAUUCCUAUUAAGCUUGGAAACAAUUAUACCAGAACUAAUCGUAGGUGGUAAAACUGCAUCAUAAUUAAAGAAAACUUAUGUAUCAACAUAUUUGAGGCAAAUAAACUUAAAUAAAACAUGUUAUAAAAUAUGGAUCACAUAACAUCAAUAACUAUCUGUGGGCUAAGUUUCUAAUUUAAAUUGAUUCAUAAUUACUUAAUGAUGAAACUAUCAAAUUAUAUUCUCUUCUUUAAUCCCUAUGGGUAACUUAAGAAAGAUAAAAUAAUAUUUCAUCAUAAUUAAUCACAUUAAUAUAUUGAAAAUUCCCGUGGGAUAAAAUUCAUAAUAUUAAUAUGACUAAUCACAAUUAUAAUAUUUGACUAUAUGUGAUCCAAAGGCUUUUAAUGUAUAUAACUUAAUAUAAUCAAAGAUGCUAUGGCUAAUCUUUAAUUAAUUAAAUAUAUACGGAUCACUAGACAUUUAAUUUUAUGAGAAAAUAUUCAUAAAAUUGCACGUUAGGGUAAAACGGUAAAAUCACGUGCAAAGGGGUAAAACUGGAAUUUUGCACGCAAGGCCGGAAUAGGAAUUUUACUUUUAAGGGGUAAAAUAGGAAUUUGCACGCGCCUAAAGCCUUCUUUUCGGGCUUUCUUCUUUUCCGCCGUUCCUUCCGCCGCGACUAACUUUGUUCUGCUGCCUGGAUUCCUCCCACAGCCCAUGUCCGACCAAAUUGAUUGAUGGGUUUCGAAGAGAACGUCGGGACGAACGAAUAAUUUCAAGAUCAGGCAAAAACGACCAACAUAUUGACUGGAAUUAAGCCUAAAACAAUCUGCCCUAAAAACCCUAACCACCAAAAUUUCACUGUUCGAUUAACCUCCGAUGAUCAAUAAUAUGCCGAAAAAUUUAAGGGCUUUUCUUCCUAAUGGCAGUGUGGCCAUGCAGAUCCAUUAUCGUGUGGUGGGUCGCCCAAAUUUGGCCAAAAUUUUAAAUUCUGUUCUAAGUCAUAAAAAUCCGAAUUUACCCAUACAUAAUUCAAUGAAAAUAAAUAAAAAUUCCAAAAAUUUCACCAAGGUAGAGAUUGUAAACAUGCUUUGAUACCAACUAUUAGAUUAAAUGUAAACUAAAACCUGACGAUCCCAAUUAUCAAUCACAGAUUAUUUCGUACAGAAUUCUGGAUCGAUUUGCAGAAACGUAAAGAUCAACAUACCUUAAGCUCUUCACCAAAAAAAAACAUACCUUAAGCCAUCAAUGAAAAUUUGCAAAAGCAGAAAACUUCAAAACCUUGGACGGAUCCACGUAGCACAAUCGAUCUUCAAUAUGGAGAACACCAGAUCUGUACGUCAUAUUCUAUUAGCCCAUACCCCUCAAACCUAAUGGUGUGUUUUCUGCAGUGAUAGGGUUUGAACUAAACGACCUGACGUUUUAUUCCAUUUCUUAUGUUACCGACAUCUUUCAUUAAGACCGUUACAGUAACAUAUUAACGGGCAAAUAUCACGUAAUAAAUGUGGGUGAUAAAUUAGGCAAUAAAUCGGAACUAAUUGAGAAUAUAAUAUUGGGAUCAUAUUUAGAAUAAUAAAUAUAUUACAACGGGAAAGAGAUUUAUUUAUUUCAAUAGCUUCUUUAGUGAAGAUUAUAGUAAUCUAUUUAUAAAUUUUAUGAAGUGACUAUCCGAAAAAACAAAAUAUUACACAUAUCAAUGACGAUCAAUGAAAACCAUUCGAAAAUAUGCAUAAUCAAAUGAACAUAGUGCACAAUUAUGAGAGAUAUACAAAACCAAUGGAGAUUUAAAGAAUCUACUUUAUAUAAAGACAUAGAAGAAGUCAAUUGUAGAAUAUAUUAGCAGUCUUAUCAACCAAAGAAGUGGAGACAAGAUGCACAAUGUCAUGAAGCACAUGAUAACACGUGAAACGAUAGUCUCUUUCAAUAUGUUUGGUGCUUUUAUAAAUAAAUAAAAACAUUAUUAUAUGCUGUUCGGGUCCAAUUAUCAUAAUAAAUAAGUAUUUUGUUGUUAAGAUGACACAUAUAUGUCCUUUAAUAACCAUUACAAAUACAGUAAUUUUGAUGUUGUAUUAGCAAAAGCAUGAUAUUCAGCUUUCAUGCUAGAUGAAGCGACAAUGGUCUAUUUAUUGUUAUGCUAUAAGAUAAGUGAGUUACUUAGAAAGUAGUGAAGUAAUAAUCAAGAGGGUCUCCUGCCCAUCAAAUUUAGUUAAAAAGAUUGAACUAAAAAAUGAUCUCCACCCAAUCCAUUAGAAGCAGGUGAAUCACUUAGUUCAAUGGAAGAACCGCUACAUGAAUAAUGGGUAAGGGAGUCUGUCUCGGGAAAUAAACUACGAAUCCAUUAAGGCUCCCUUCGUUUCGUGAAACACAAUUUCUAGAAAAAGUAUUUUUUGGAUUUUCCGACAUUCCUUUCCUGAAAAAUGAACUAAUCGAGGAAAACAUUUUCCAUUAGCAAAAAAGAGUUUUCUAAAAUAGAGAAAAUGUUUUCCACUUUUCAAGAUGAAGAAAACAUUUUUCUUACUCAUUUUCUCUUAUCUCAUACCUAUGUUAACCUUUUCAUCUUUUUUCCUAAAAAAAUCCAAUUUUUAAUUAUUUUUCUUUUUUUUGUUUUUUUAUUUUUCUCUUUCAAGCUCGAGACUCAUUGGAAUUUGGCAAGCCUUAAGCUCACCUACGGCCAAUCACUGGCCAUCACCGUGGUUGAUCAAAAAAGAAGAAUAAAAAAAGAAAGAAAAAAUAAAAAUAAUUUAAAAAUUGAUUUUAAGAAAUAAAAAAAAUUAUUGAAAAAGAGUGCAUGGAGGAAAACAUUUUCCUUACCAAAUAACAGAAAAUAUUUUAUAAUUCAUUUUCAAAUUUCAGCUGCAAACUACAAAAUGGCUAUCUUCUUGAAAAAUGGCUUCCUAGAAAACAAUUUCUAGAAAUGUUACAUUUUCCGUGAAACAAAUAGAAUCUUAAUUAAAAAAUGAUUCGUUCGACAUAGCUUGGAGCUAGGUCUCUCUGUCCAUUGGGCAACCAAGAAUGCAAUCCUAAAGUGCCAUUAUUAUUAUUUUGCCCCCGAUUUCAAAUGCAAGUAGGCCUUCAAAAAAGGGGCUCGAAAUGUUCUUAUUUUCUUAAAUAAGAGCUCGAAGUGAACCUUAUUUCAAAUAAACGCCUGAAGUGCCAUCGUUUUAUCAAAUAAAGGACUGAAGUGAAUAUUAUUUUAAAUAAAUGCCUGAAAUGGCUAUGCCAGUUUCAAACAAUAGCCUAAAGUAAUUAUGUCUGUUUCAAAUAAGAACUUUCUCUUCUUCUUCUUCUUCUUUUUUUUCUGGUUCUUCUUCUUCCUCUUCGCCACUGGCCGAAGGGUUGGGCAAGGGUUGCCUUACCCAAUUCGAUGAGCACCACCCAUGUCGGCCACAAAUGAGGAACGGCCUCACUUGGGCGAGGCCACCCUUGCCCUGGGGGAGGCUGCCCCUUGCGGCCAUCUACAAGGGCUCGUCGACCUCAUCGGCCACGGGUGAGGGUGGCCUCGCUCACAACCGGCGAGGGCUUGCAGGCCCUUGUCGGCCAUUCCUAGCGGCCAGCAAGAUUGUUGACCCUUUGCAAUGAAAAAAGAAGAAAAAAGAAAAGAAAAUGUGGAUGAAAACUCCUUGACCAGUUGGAAAAUUUAGCCGGCCAACAACCGCCGAACUCGGGCCCUUAUUUGAAACAACAAUGGCUACAUCAGACCCUUAUUUAAAACAACCAAGACCACUUCAAGUCUUUAUUUGAAACAAGGUCUACUUCAGAUUUUUAUUUGAAAAAAUGAGGCACUUCAAGUUAGGGGUGUGCAUGGUCCAGGCGGGCGGUUCCUGAUCUAGAACCGGGAAUCGCCUGCUAAAGACCGGUUCCGAAAAAUUGGAACCGAGAUUCACUUGUUUAUUGCAUGGAUCCACAUGGGAACCGGACUGGCCAGUCCGGUUCCCAGGUGGAUCCAUGGAACCGGUCUUGACGCGAAAUAAUUUUGGUUUUCAACAAAGAACGACUAUGUAACAUCAAGGCAAGCCAAAGAAAGAAAAACCAAAUUUAAGUACGUGGAGAUGCGGACGGUGGGAGAAAUAAACGCAGCAAAAUGGCGAUAGGAUUAGGAGCCGAAGACGAAGGGAGUGAGAUGAGAUCUACGAUUUAUUUUAGUAAUUUUUUUUUUAAUAUUAAAAAGGUUCCAGUCCGGUUCGGGUGGGCGGGCGGGCGGAUCCGCCCAUGGAACUGGGAACCGGACCAUUACCCACCGGUUCCCAUAAAUUGGAACCAGGAACCGGACCAAUUCUCUCAAGAACCGCAAGUUCCGAGCAGUUCCAGUCCGGUUCCGGGCGGUCCGGGCGGUUCCCGGGUAUUUUGCACACCCCUACUUCAAGCCCUUUUUUGAAAUUUUCUCUUUAUUUUAUUUUAGGUUGCAAUUCUUGCCCAUGGACUGAACUAAAAUAUACUCUUUUUCUCUCUCUCUUUUUCCACUUAAAAAAGCCGCUUGAUCAAAUAUGAUUUAUCUUGAGCAAAUGCACCUUGAAUCAAGGGGAAAUGACUUCGCAUUUCUUCAGAAGUCUUCCAAAUAAAGUCAACUAUUAUGCAUCUAAUUUUUUUAAUCAAUAUUUGUUACUAAUAGGUAUUCCAAAUAAAAUCAACUUAAUAAAUUUUCUUAUUUUUAAUUAAUAUUUUUUACAAAUAGGUAUUUCAAAUGAAGUCAACUCAAUAAAUUAGUAAAAAAAUUACAGAAAAACGAAAAAAUUAACUCAACCAAAAUAGAAUAACUACUCAAAGUACCUUUACUUUAAAAUAUAAAUAAGAGUGCACAAAUUGCCAAAACAUCAUUACAAAUGAUAAAUUGAAGAAUUAAAAAUGAUAAAAAUUGAUACACCCCUUCCAUACAAAGGGUGCUCAGACCGUCAACUUUUAUUUAGAGAUCACCGAAACAGUGCUUUACCCCUAGAUGUCCUAGUGCGUUUAAAAUUCUAAACUCAUGGCAAAAGUGUAACUAAAAUUUAAAAUUUUAGAUAAUAUAAUCAAAUCCGAAAAUUUACCAAAUUGAAGCAAUCAAAAUUUAAGAUGCUUAAAAUAUUACUAUAAUAUAAAUCAAUAAUAUGUGUUGUGUUGAAUGCUAAACGCGAGACAAAUCGUUGAUGCAUGAUAUCACUCAUUGAUUGUGUAGAAUUUAGGCAACAUUUUUUCUUUUUUAAUUUGAAACUUAGGCAACAGUUCAAUAAGCGGAUUUGAUAAUUACAACGAUCCCCAUAAUUGUUUCAUCAAUAUGUGAUGGAUGGAAAGUGAAAAAAAAAAUAGAAAAAGGAGUAAAAAGAGAAUAAAUACAUAACAUUUUUUUUCAUAGUGUGGUGUUACUGAACUUGAUGUUGACCGAGAGCAACUAAAUUUCCACAAGGUGUCCAGACUGCAGCAUUAAUUUUACUACAUAUUCUCCUUGGGAGAAAAUAUUGGUUGUGCAGAUUGUGCCAGCGUAACAAAUUGAAAGCUCAUCCAUUGAGCAACAUGUGUUCAUCUUCUUGCCCUCUCUCUAUUCUCCCACUUUUUUGCAAGCCACGGAUGCCUCUCUCCUCCAUAAACCCCUUCUCCUUCGGCCCUCCCCCUCACUUGCACGGGGCACAACAACGUUAUUCAACCCACCUCUCCUUCACUUGAGCUCGACCUUUGUGCCUCCCCCACCGACAACAGUUCCACCAUUGAAAUCUUCCACUGUCCCCGCAGCCCUUGGAUCCAAGAACAAGCCUAAGUCUCCCGUGCUCCUUGUUAUCACUCACGAGCCCAAGUCCCUCCACAUCUUCGGGAUUUGACAAGGGCUCAGUCCUUGCCAGAUUCAGCACGAGCGACCCUUGCCCUAGCUGGGGGCGUCAACCUCAUCGAAUCCUCUUGUCAAAUUCGGCGAGAGCGACCCUGGCUUGUGGGUCAAGUACUGGCCAUAGGUCAAAGGGAAAGAAAGUAAUUAAAAAAAAAGAAGGUAGGAAUGGCAAAGAAGAAGAAGAGAAAUGGAGGUGUGAUUCUGCAAGAGGAGAGAAACAAAGGAAGAAUAGUAUGAUAAGUAAGUUUUUUAGGGACACAUAUCACUCAAUGGAUGGGCUUUCAAUUUGUUGCAUUGGCACAACUUGUGCGGCCAAUAUUUUCUCCAUGUCUUGAUAUGGUUUAAAAAUAAGUAAAUGCUCGGCCCAUGAACGCAUGCGUGUCCAUACACAUGUUUUCACAAUUUUAUUAGUAUCAGCUAUAUGAGAUUGUGCUAUAAAUAUAAUAACGCAAAGAGGCCUAAAAUCGGAAAAGCUCACCUAGAGAAACCCCGCAUUAUCUUGAAUCAAUCCCCUGGAAUGGGAAUGGAAGCUUUCUUGGCAUCGUUUGGUUGAUUGGAGCGAGGUGGAAUGGAAAUAAAAUUGGGAAUAAAUUCAUUACUGCAUUUUUCGUUGACACGUGGGAAAGUGGAAAUGAGCGAUAAGGCAUGGGAAUGAGUUGACAGUCAAGGGUAAAUUGACAUGUGCACUAAGCUUUGUAUUUGGUUACUGUUGUUUGGACAUAAUAUGGCAAACAUACUUACCUAAUUUACUAUUAUAUAGCAAUUUAAAACGAUAAAAUUCCACCCAUUACUACAUACGUUCUAAUUCCAAUGUAUUACCAAAUGCAGUGAUCUUCAAAUCAAUCGCUAUUCUGAUUCACUACAAGCAAUUCCAUUCCCUUCAAAUUAUCUCUUGCUUAUGUAACAAAUGGGCCAAAGAAACAAGUUAAAACUCAUAUGGACAACAUCCUCAUCUAAAAUUAAGAACAUAUCAAAGUGCAUGAACCGCAAAAAUUAAGACCAUGAGCGCACGCAUGUCUAGUCUGUCUAAUUCUAUAUGUAUAUAGUGGUAGAUAUGUCCAAUAUGACCUCACUACGUACAUCCAAUUUCCACUCUGGAAAACGUAAUUAAUUGUUUAGGCUUGUUCUUCGCUACUUAUUUUUCCUCCAAUUGUCUUCAUGUUACCUCUUUUGGAAGCAUUCAGUUGAUCUACAUGCAUUGUUUGGAUAUGAAGAAAUGUUUUAAUAGUUCAGUUUUCAUAAAAAUAUACCAGCUCGAGAUUAUCAAUGGUUCGUGUAUAUGUAAUCUUGUGUACUCAAACUAGCUAAACUCGAAUGAUGUUCCAAUUUGGAUCUAAAAUACCAUUGCCGGAUAAUUUCAAUGGAAUGCCAUCAAAUUGUUUUCCCCUAAUGCUACGUUAAAGUACGUAUUGCAUAACUUAGAUACUUUUACCCAAAAUCAUUCCGAAAAAAAUAUAUCAGGACAAAUUCAGAAGUUUUAUAGGCGAUAAUCGUGGAUUAAUAUAGUUUCGUUCCAUUCUUAUAGGAACUAUCCAAAGGAAUUCAUUUCUUCACGUGGAAAGCAAACUCUGCCUUUUUUAGUCAAUUGUUGACUUGGCUUUUGAUUAAUUAUACAUGACUAAAUUCAUUUUUGCUCAAGGUUUGCUGUUUGACAUAUAAUAUCAAAAAUAUAUUUCAAAACUUCACCGCUACAUAUUUACAAUACCCCGCAACAUUGCACGAGAAGUAGCAAGCUUGUGCGGUUCACAUUCCCCUCUGAGCACCUGGGAAAGCCUACUCUCCCGUCUAAAACUGUACAAUUAAAUUAGGUCAAUAUAUCCAACUUCCAUGAUUUUAGGUAUGUGAAUGUGAAUACACCAGUUGCCAAAUGUAGGAAACAAAAGAAAAAGGAAAUAAGUUAACCACACGGGCAGGAUUGAGAGAUGUGUAUUUUUGCAAGCUACGUAAUGUCUCCGAAUAUAUAGUCAUGAGAUACGGUCCACAAACAAAUGCAAGACCAUACAGUAUCCAUUUUCCCAUUUGGGACACAUAAUCAACUAGGCAUAUUGCUACAUUAUUCAAUUGCAUUCAUUUAACUAUAUGGUAAUUUAGUGUGGGAUGGCGUACACAUUGCAUCAUAUAAUGUACAUGGAAAUUUCAAUAUUGUUACCAGUACCCACAUGAUCUCAUGAGAUAAUAUUUCGAACAAUCUUCUAAAUCUUCUUGAUAUAUAUGCCAUGCACUUGGUACCAAACUAAAAAGCAUUCCGCAACUCUCCCGUUAUAUAAACAUAGUCGACUCGCUAUGUUGUACUUAAUUAGUACGUCUAUAAUGGGGUGUGAUGAGAACGUACCAUUUCGUCUUGAUAUGCUACGAUGGAAAAACAUAUAAAAGACUCCUAAAGACAACCGUUAAGCGUGUUGACAGAACACCGUUGAGCAUGUUGGCAGAAUGUACGCUCAAAGAGAAAGUUUUCAUUUUCUUGUCCCAUUUCCAUCAAAAGAAAAAGAAGCAUUUCAUUUCUCUUUUACGAGAACAAUUGACAUUUACGCUGUGGAAACUUUCCUCGUGAUUGCAUUUAGACCAACGUGAAGUAUUUUUGUUCGUGAUUCAUUCGUAAUUUAACGAUUGUUCCGCAGUAAAUUGUUGACUGCACAUCGAGAAUAGGUAUGUCGUCUUCCGCUGACUUUCUUCCAACACGCUAUAUUACUAUCUUUACGAGAUUUUGGAGAAUUGAAGUCACAAUGUCAUCCAAUAGCAGGGGAUCGAGGAGCAAGAAAAACAUAUUUAGCAAAGCAUGGAACGUGCUCAAGGGGAAACGGGGAUCUCACGAAGCCUCAUCAAGCAGGACCUAUCGGGAUGCCGCCACGUCACCGGCGAGCUCACUGGCAGAGCCUCAAUGGAACUAUUGGGACGCCACCACGUCCCUGGUGAGCUGGAGAUCCUCGAGCAAGUCCCAGUCACGAGCGAGUUCUCGGAAAAGCUUUGAGAAGAGCUCACCGGUCGAGUCUCGGCGGAGAUCCUCGAGCGUCAGUCAAAGCGACGACCAUUAUCACAAUUCUGGUGAAGAAGAUCCAUGGCGAGCAAGCUACAGGCAUGGCGCUCUGGCCUAUUCCGGUGGUUACAAUCAAGGGCAAGUGAGAUCGUACCCGCGACCACCCCAGCAGGAAUAUGAUUAUUCUUAUCACACUAGCAAAGGGCAGUAUUAUUCUCGAGGUCUUGACAAUGUCAAUAGUUACAUCCGCGACGACGCGUCCGUUCCAUCAUUUCUGCCCCCGCAAACUUCUUAUGGUUAUCACCAUCCAUCCGAGUCUCCCUCGAAUAAUUGUGCGGUGAUGUGAGAUGCCUAAUAUAGUGUGGCUAUAGUUGCUAUUUACUAAUAUCCGGUGAAGUACGGGAUGAGCUAGGGGCAUGGUUGAGCCUUUGGUUUGUUAGCUUUCGCUUGUGAAUCUCAGUGAAGUUUCUUGGGAGAUUGAUUGAAAUGGCUUUGCCAGUUAAUGAAGAUUAUAUAUUUAUUUUAUGAAGUUUCAUCUAGUUCGUAGAUGCUAAAAAGUUCUAUUAAAAUUUUACUAAAAUUAAGGGCACUUAAUUCCAUCAAUUGUCUAGGGUUCUACUUCUAUGGAUAGAUGUUCUCUCACCAAUCAUUUAUCACAAAAACUAAACCAAAUGAUAAACGAUUUAUAAAAAUAGUUUAAAAAGAAAAAGAAAAUUGGCCACGCCAUUCUUGAAAAUUCUUCAUUCUUCAAGGAAGACCUUUAAGGAUCCAAGCUUUCUUGUGAUCCUACGUGUUCAAACUUCAAGUAGCUUUGAAUGUGUAGAUAUACAUUGAAAUUCGUCUUUCCAGAUGUUUAUGGCAUCUCCAUUGAGAUGCAUAUACAUGGAGGAGAAACUUUUCAAGCUCAUCCAUUUAAAAAUUGGGCUCCUUGCUUGAUGAAAUUCAGUGGACGAAGACGAGAGAAAGCGUUUCCAGUUAAAAAGAUCAAAACCGAAAAUAUCUCCACUCAGUCCGUCGCAAGUAAUUGAAUUGUUGAUAUAUCGACAUAAUAAUGAAGAAGGAAAUGUUAGAUUAAAUGUAAACUAAAACACGACGAUCCCGAUUAUCAAUCACAAAUAAAUUCAUACAGAAUUCAGGAUCGAUUUGCAAAAACGUAAAGAUCAACAUACCUCCGGCCAUUGAUGAAAAUUUGCAAAAACAGAAAACUUCAAAACCUUAGACGGAUCCACGUAGCACGAUUGAUCUUCAAUAUGGAGAACACUAGAUAUGUACGUCAUGUUCUACUAGCCAUUACCCCUCAAACCUAAUGUGUGUUUUCUAUAGUGAUAGGGUUUGAACUAGAUGAUUUUGUUCCAACUCUUAGACAUCUUCCAUCAAAACCGUUAUUGAUAACUCUAUAAAAAUAGAGUUAUUUGACCUAUUUUAGGCAACAAUUAAUGCAUUAUCUAUGAAAAAAUAUUUGGAUUUCCUUUUGAUUAUUUGAAUUUUCCUUGUUUAUGCAGAAUAAUAAGAUAUGGAGAAGAUAAGGAAAAGAAUGGCAAUUAUCAGUAAUUCAAAUAAAAGCGGUAGUGGAAAAGUGGAAAUAUCAAAUCAGGAAAUUCUUGAUUUUAUUCCCUAAUGUUAUCUAUAAGCAUUGGGAGAUAGAUAUUUUAGAUUUCCUAUAAAUAGGAAGAGAGACAGCUAGGGUUUUUAGGGUUGGAGUUAGAUCGUUUUUCAUUCUUCUGAGAGUUUUUUCAGAUCGUUUUUCAUUCUUCUGAGAGUUUUUUCAAGUAUUUUGAAGAAAAGACAAAAGUGGUGACAGAAUUCUUGUCCUUUGAUUCAAGAUGCUAGGUUUGAUCUAUAUUUUUAUUUUUAUUUCUUAUUCUACUAUGUUCUAAUUUUCUUUUGUUAGGGCUACGAUGUAGCCUAACCAUGAUAAUAUGAAUUUCAUGAUUUUUAUAUUUUACAAUUGAUUUUAUUCAUGUGAGUUAUAUAUUAUUGCGUUUAAUGCUUUUGAAUGACUGGCCACCACUUGAAUGAUUUGAUGUGCAUGUUUGAGACUGAGAGGUGAUAAUAUGCAAUUGCUCAUUAUAAUAUAUAACCAUGAAUUAAACGUGGAUAGAAAUAACCGCGUUAUUUGUGUAACUUUCGGUGAUAAGGUGAUCCAAAAGACUCAUUGUAAACCGGGAAUAUUCAUAGUUUUUAAUGCACUCAUGUUUAUUUUAAUUCACAUAGAGAUAUAGUGGAUUAAUAAGCUGAGUAGGUUUGCUAUACCUAGAGAUAGGAUAGUAAAUAGAUUAGGAAAUUCCGCUAUCACAUGUUUGAUAUCGUUCUUGUAUUCACAAUAAUCUGAAAUUCAUAUCUAGUGGUUAUGGUGAAAUCGGAUGCUUUAACAUAUUUAUCUGAUUGAUUUUAUUGCAUUUAGUCUUCAAGUUUUGUUUUUAAUUUAUUCUAAAUUAUAUUUUGAUUUGUUAGAUAAAUUUUAGAAUUAAUCUAUUUUAGUAUUUCAUUAGUUUAUUAAUCAUCGAUCUCCGUGGGACGAUACUUUUUCUCAUCAUUAUAUUACUUAUUCGAUACGUGCACUUGCGUUUAGAAUUUCACGAACAGUUAUGGUAACAUAUUAACGGGCAAAUAUCACAUAAUAGAUGUGGGUGAUAAAUUGGAAAAUAAAUCGAAACUAAUUGGGAAUAUAAUAUUGGGAUCAUAUUUAGAAUAAUAAAUAUAUUACAACAGGAGAGAGAUUUAUUUAUUUCAAUAGCUUCUUUAGUGAAGAUUAUAGUAAUCUAUUUAUAAAUUUUAUAAAGUGACCAUCCGAAAAAACAAAAUAUUACACAAAGUAAUGACGAUCAAUGAAAACCAUUUGAAAAUAUGCAUAAUCAAAUGAACAUGGUGCACAAUUCUGAGAAAUAUACAAAACCAAUGGCUAUGAAGCACGGACACGUUGCCCGUGCUUCUGUGUCGUGUCUGACAUGUGUCGGAGCGUGUCGGACACGUCGACAUGCUCGGACACGCUCGGACACGCGGUCAACUUUUCUUGACACGCGUGUCAAUGCGUGUCCGGAAGACUCCGGGUGGAGGCGAGGGAGGGGGAGGGAGCAAAGGCCGCGAGCAACGGUGAGAGAUGGCCAGAGAGAGGAAGAGAAGAGGAAGGGAUCGAGGCCCGAGGGGGCGGUGGCGGCGACGGCAUCUCCUCCUCCUCAGCGUCGCGUCCACUCCAUCGUCGGAAGUUGAGAAACGAUACGAGGUGCGAAAGAGGGGAGUGAGGUCUGCUGUCUGCGUGUUUGUCUUGGUCCAAUGUUUUUUGUGCGAGCAGUAGAAGGAGGAAAAAGAGGGUCGCUAGGGUUUGUGAUAAUGGAAUAAAAAAUAAUAAAAAGAGGGGGACGAUGGCGUGUCUUUUGAGUUUUGGGGGAGGGGAAGUGAGGCUAACAGCUUGUCUGUCAGUGGUUUCGGGAGGGAAAAAAGUAAAAUAAGUUUGGGGUGGAGGGAAAUGGACAAAGAAAAGAAAGAGUGGAUUUGGGAAUUUUUUUUUUAUAGAAAAAUUAAAUAAAUGAAAUUGAAAAAUAAUUUCGAAAAGUAAAAGUAUUGAAUUUUGAAUAAUCAUAAAUUUUGAUCAUUCUAAAAAAUCAUGAAUUUAUUAUUAGUUUUAUCAAUAACUUUUGUUAAAAUUAAAAACAUGUUUCGCCUUAAUUAUGAAUAUAUCUUUCGAAUUUUAAAUGAAUUGAUUUAUUAAUAUUAUUAGUAUAAAUUUAUUAUAGGCUUUUUUAAUUAAUUAAUUAUUUAUGAAUUUGAAUCAAAUUAAUUAAAAAUAAAAAUAUACAUUUAAUAUUUAACGCGUCGCAAUGUGUCGGAAUUUUCUAUUUUUUAUAAAUGACGUGUCGACGUAUCGUGUCGUGUCGGACACUCAUGUCGUGUCGCGUGUCCGUGCUACAUAGACCAAUGGAGAUUAAAAGAAUCUACCUUAUAUAAAGACAUAGAAGAAGUCAAUUGUAGAAUAUAUUAGUAGUCUUAUCAACCAAUGAAGUGGAGACAAGAUGCACAAUGUCAUGAAGCACGUGAAACGAUAGUUUCUUUCAAUAUGUUUGGUGCUUUCAUAAAAAAAUAUAUAUUAUUAUAUGCUGUUCGGGUCCAAUUGUCAUGAUAAAUAAGUAUUAUGUUGUUAAGAUGACACCUAUAUGUCUUUUAAUAACCAUUACAAAUACAAUAAUUUUGAUGUUGUAUUAGCAAAAGUGUGAUAUUCAGCUUUCAUGCUAGAUGAAGCGACGAUGGUCUAUUUAUUGUUAUGCUAUAAGAUAAGUGAGUUACUUAGAAAGAAACAAUAGCCUGUAGUGAAGUAAUCAUCAAGAGCGUCUCCUGCCCAAUGAGUGUCCGAUUUAGUUAAAAAGAUUGACUAAAAACUGAUCUCCACCCUAUCCAUUGAAAGCAGGUGAAUUACUUAGUUCAAUGGAAGAACCGCUACAUGAAUAAUGGGUAAGGGAGUCUAUCUCGGGAAAUAAACUACGAAUCCAUUAAGGCUCCCUUCAUUUUGUGAAACACAAUUUCCAGAAAAAGUAUUUUUUGGAUUUUUCGAUAUUCCUUUCCUGAAAAAUGAAUUAAUCGAGGAAAACAUUUUCCAUCAGCAAAAAAGAGUUUUCUAAAAUAGAGAAAAAAAUUUCUACAUUUCAAGAUGAAGAAAACAUUUUUCUUACUCAUUUUCUCUUAUCUCAUACCUAUGUUAACCUUUUCAUCUUUUUUCCUUAAAAAAUCAAUUUUUUAAUUAUUUUUCUUUUCUUUUUCUUGUUUUUCUCUUUCGAGCUCGAGACUCAUUGGAAUUUGGCAAGCCUUAAGCUCGCCUACGGCCAAUCGCUGGCCAUCACCGUGGUGGAUCAAAGAAGAAGAAUAUAAAAAUAAAUAAAAAUAAAUAAUAAAUAAUAAAAAUAAUUUAAAAAUCGAUUUUAAGAAAUAAAAUAAAUAAAAAAUUAUUGAAAAAGAGUGCAUGGAGGAAAAAAUUUUCCUUACCAAAUAAUAGAAAAUAUUUUAUAAUUCAUUUUCAAAUUUCAGCUGCAAACUACAAAAUAUGGCUAUCUUCUUGAAAAAUGGCUUCUAGAAAAAAAUUUCUGGAAAUGCUACAUUUUUCAUGAAACAAAUAGAAUCUUAAUUGAAAAAUGAUUCGUUCGACAUAGCCUGGAGCUAGGUCUCUCUGUCCAUUGGGCAACCAGGAAUGCAACCCUAAAGUGCCAUUAUUAUUAUUUUGCCCCCGAUUUCAAAUGCAAGUAGGCCUUCUAUUUAUUUUAGGGAAAAUUCCAAAAAAGGGGCUCGAAGUGUUCUUAUUUUCUUAAAUAAAAGCUCGAAGUAGACCUUGUUUCAAAUAUAACGCCUGAAGUGCCAUUAUUUUAUCGAAUAAGGGACUGAAGUGAAUAUUGUUUUAAAUAAGGGCCUGAAAUUACUAUGCCAGUUUCAAAUAAUAGCCUAAAGUAAUUAUGUCAGUUUCAAAUAAGAACUUUCUCUUCUUCUUUUUUUCUUUUUUCUCUCCUUUUUUUUUUGUUCUUCUUCUUCCUUUUUGCCAAUGACCGAAGGGUUGGGCGAGGGUCAUCGUUACCCGAUUCAAUGAGCGCCACCCAUGUCGGCCACAAAUGAGGAAUGGCCUCACCUGGGCAAGGCCACCCUUGCCUUGGGGGAGGCUGCCCCUUGCGGCCAUCUACAAGGGCUCGGUGACCUCAUCGGCCACGGGCGAGGGUGGCCUCACUCACAAUCGGUGAGGGCUUGCAGGCUCUUGUCGGCCGUUCCUAAUGGCUAGCAAGAUCAUUGACCCCUUGCAAUGAAAAAAGAAGAAAAAAGAAAAGAAAAUUUGGAUUAAAACUCCUUGAUCAGUUGGAAAAUUUAGCCAGUCAAUAACCGCCGAAGUCAGGCCCUUAUUUGAAACAACAAUGGCUACAUCAGAUCUUUAUUUAAAACAAUCAAAGCCACUUCAAGUUUUUAUUUGAAACAAUAUCUAUUUCGAAUUUUUAUUUAAGAAAAUGAGGCACUUCAAGUCAUUUUUUGAAAUUUUCUCUUUAUUUUAUUUUAGGUUGCAAUUGUUGCCCGUGGACUGAACUAAAAUAUACUCUCUCUCUCUCUCUCUCUUUCCACUUAAAAAAGCCGCUUGAUCAAAUAUGAUUUAUCUUGAGCAAAUGCACCUUGAAUCAAGGGGGAAAUGACUUCGCAUUUCUUCAUAAGUCUUCCAAACGCAAGUGCUCAUUUCAACAUUUGCAUCAAGAUUUCUAACCUUUCUGUUUCGAGAAACUAUAGUUACUGCGAUUUUUCUUUUCGUUUUUUAUUUUUUAAAAAAAAGUCAAAGCCACACGGUGCAUCACGUUGACCCAUCAUCAGUCAACGCAUGCCGAUCGGCAGGCGCUGUCCAUGUCCCGACCUCAUCGUCAUAAGCGACUAAUGUAAACCAAGCGACAACCAUCGAUCUUCGAAGGAGAAGACUUCACAGAUUGGGGCUUCUUCCGUCGGCGAUCGUCUUCACUUCCUCUCCAAAUCGCUUCCGUCUUCUCCAGGCACCCUGAAAAUUCCCCAUGGCGACGGCGCUUGUCGGCGGAGCAUUUCUCUCCGCUUUCCUCCAGGUGCUCUUCGACCGGAUGGCCUCCCGCGAGGUCGUCGACUUCUUCCGGUCACGCAAGCUCGGCAAGGGGAGGCUGCUGCAGAAGCUGGAGGUCGCCCUCCUGUCCGCGAACGCCGUGCUGGACGACGCGGAUGAGAAGCAGAUGACCAACGACUCCGUCAGGAAGUGGCUCGACGAGCUCAAGGACGCCGUGUACGACGCCGACGACCUGUUCGACGAGAUCGCCGCCGAGGAUCUGGAGCGAGAAGCCGGGUCCGACCCUCGGGCCCUCGCUUGUAAGGUCUGCAGCUUCGCUUCGGACGCUUGUGCGAGUGGACUAGGAGAUAAGUUAGAGAAGGUUCUGGAGAGAUUGGAGAGCGUGGUGAAGCAGAGAGAAGUGCUGGGCCUAAGGGAAGGUAUUCGCGAGAGGACGCCUAGAGCUUUGCCGACCACUUCGUUGGUCGAGGAAUCGGGCGUCUUCGGGAGGGAGAAGGACAGGGAGGCGGUGAUCGAGUUGCUCUUGUCGGAUCGGGGUGAAAAGAACACCAGCGUGAUGGCCAUAGUUGGGAUGGGUGGUGUUGGUAAGACCACGUUGUCCCAGCUCGUGUUCAACGAUAGUGCGGUGAAGGGGAGUUUCGAGUUGAGGUCGUGGGUUUGCGUGUCCCACCAAUUCGACAUCUGCAAGCUGACGGCGACGGCUCUCGAGGAAUUCUCCUCUUCCAAGAAGGAGACGGAAAAUCUCAACCAGCUUCAGCUCCAACUGAAGAACUUCUUGACAGGGAAGAAAUUCCUAUUGCUGUUGGAUGAUGUUUGGAAUGAGGACUCAAAUAUUUGGAAUGCGUUCCUAGUUCCUUUUAGCUAUGGAGCAAGAGGCAGCAAAAUCAUCGUGACACCAAGAAAUGAGGGCGUCGCAUUGGUUGCUCGUGCCUUCUCGACAUACUAUUUACAGAAGUUACAAGACAAGGAAUGUUGGGACUUGUUCGCACAACAUGCAUUUGAAGAGCAUAACUUCGAGGCGCACAUGAGACUUGAAGAUAUUGGGCAAAGAAUUGUUAAGAGAUGUGAUGGAUUGCCUCUUGCACUGAAGACUAUAGGUAGCUUGUUACGCUAUGAGUCUGAUAUCAGGAAGUGGGAAAUAAUUGCAGAGAGUGAUAUUUGGGAUUUGGCACCUGGAAAGAAUGAAAUUCUCCCUGCGUUGUUGUUAAGUUAUCAUUACCUUCCUCCACAACUGAAGCAAUGUUUUUCCUACUGUUCAAUCUUCCCAAAGGAUUGUAGAUAUGAGAAGGACCAACUGAUCUUACUUUGGAUUGGUGAGGGCUUGAUAAAACAACCUAAGGACAGCAGGACAUUAGAGGAAGUAGGUGAUCAGUGCUUCUGUGAUCUAGUGUCUAGAUCUUUGCUUCAUAGAGUAAGCAACGUUGAAUCAAGUUUCUGGAUGCAUGAACUGGUCAAUGACUUAGCAAGAUAUGUAGCUGGUCGAUCUUUUUAUAGCUUGGACAGAGUCAAUUCCCACCAGGUGUCCUCAAGCACUCGCCAUUUGUCAUUUGUAAGAACUCGAUAUGAUGUCGCUUCUAGAUUCGGAGUGUUAGCCGGGGCAAUGAAUUUGCGUACUUUCCUGCCACUAAACGUGGAUCACGUGACAUCUAACGCGUACUUUUUCUUGACUGAUGAGGUACUGCAUGUUCUGUUGCCGACCUUGAGUCGGUUAAGGGUGCUAUCUUUGUCUCAUUAUCAGAAACUCUCUAUGUUGCCCAGUUCAGUUGGAUGUUUGAAGCAUCUGCGCUAUUUGAAUCUCUCUUAUAAUAGAAGUCUAGCCAGAUUGCCUGAUUCAAUUACUGCUCUAUACAACUUGCAAACCUUAAUUCUUGCUUACUGUCAGUCUCUCAUUGAGUUACCAAGAAACAUGGGUAGCCUAACCUGUCUGCAUCAUCUUGAUAUAAGGGAGACAUUCCUGAAGAGAAUACCGUUGGGGAUGAGCAAACUGAAGAAUUUGCAGACAUUAACUAAUUUCGUGGUGGCUGAAAACGGUGGGACCAGGGUUAGGGAACUAGGGGAGCUUGGGAAUCUUAUGGGUACACUCUCCAUAUAGGGUUUGCAGAAUGUUGAUAGUUACCAAGAUGCAGAGAUAGUCGAUUUGCAGGGAAAAAGGUACUUGAAAAAGUUAGUACUGGAAUGGGGUUCUGAUAAAAAUAUUAUGCAGCAAAAUUGCUUAAAUGUAUUGGACAAGCUGCAACCUCAUUGGAACUUGACAGAGCUUAUCAUUAUAUCCUAUAGUGGUAAGUCGUUCUCUGAUUGGCUAGGACAUGGUUCAUUCUCUAAUAUGUCAGUCAUGCGUCUUGAAUCUUGCAAGCACUGUGUGUCGUUGCCUCCUUUAGGACAGCUACCAUCUCUAGAGAAGUUGAUAAUCAAAGGAUUUGAUGGAGUUACAAGUGUGGGUACUGAAUUCAAUGGUAGUAACUGUAUACCUUUUCAGUCACUUAAGUACUUGGAAUUUGCUGACAUGUGCAGUUGGAAAGAGUGGGCUUCUUUUGCAAUAGAGACGGGUGGUCUUGCCUUUGCACAUCUGCAUGAGCUUUGUAUUAGAAAUUGCCCCGAGUUGAGUGGAGGUUUGCCCAACCAUCUCCCUUCUCUAUCAGCCUUGUCCAUUGAAAAGUGUCCACAGCUAACGUCUUCUCUACCAUUUGCACCACUUCUUCGUAAGAUCAAUUUGGAUGAUUGUGGAAAGGUUUCUGGAGUUGAGCCUCUCCUAAAUGGCACUGAGUUACGAGAUAUGGAAAUCAAGAAUCUUUCAACCCUUCCCUUGAGGUUUCUUCCUCCUACCAUGAUAAGACUCAAUCUUGAAGACAGUCAUGAAAUAGAGUUGCCAAUACAUAGAUGCCAUGAAUCUCUCCAAUAUCUAAACUUGAAGCAGAGCUGCGAUUCACUUAUAUCCAUUCCUCUGGAAAUUUUCCCCUCACUUAAGAAUAUUCAGUUAGUGGAGAUUCAAAAAUUGGAACAUCUUUCAAAUUCAGACAGUUCUCCACUUCUUCUCCAUUCGAUGAACAUUAGUGAUUGCCUUGAAUUUAGAUCUUUCCCUGCGGGAGGAUUGGUUGCCCCACGCCUCACUUCAUUAGAGUUGAAUGAUUGUCAUCAUCUAAAGUAUCUGCCAGAAAACAUGCAUGCUCUCCCUCCUUCGCUUCGGUCACUGAAAAUAUCCUCAUGUCCACAACUCGAGUCAUUUCCCGAGCAGGGUUUGCCCUCCAAGUUGGUUGCGCUUUCACUCUCUAAUUGUGACAAGCUCAUCACUGGCCGCAAGGAUUGGGGUCUUCAAUCACUAUGCUCUCUUAAAACUUUUGUCAUUGAGCAGGAGAAAAAUAUAGAGUCAUUUCCUGAGAUAGGGCUUCUACCAAGCUCUCUUACCUCUCUGUAUAUCUUUAACUUUGAGAAUCUGACAUCCCUGAACUCCAAAGGGCUUCAUAGCCUGAGCUCCCUUGAAAAAUUGUUCAUUGGCGAAUGUCCUAAGCUCCAUUCCUUCCCAAAGGAGGAACAAAUUCUGCCUGCUUCUCUUACCACUCUGUUGAUUUAUGAUAUGGAUCUAAAAUCACUAGACAACUUAGGGCUCCACCACCUCACUUGUCUCAAAACCUUUCACAUAAUUGACUGCCGAAGUCUUCGAUCCAUGCCAGUUGAGGGCUUGUCAUCCUCCCUUUCCAAUCUAUUUAUCUAUGGGUGUCCUUUUCUGGAGAAAAGAUGCCAACGCAAGAAAGGGAAAGAUUGGCCCCUAGUUUCUUACAUUCGCUGCAUCGUGAUUGAAGAUGUGCUCAUCACAUAAUCGAAUAUCUUGCUUUACAAGCCCUGCAUUUACCAAGAUCUCACUAGGGUAUCUCUCUUGACCCUACACUAAGUAAGCCAUUUAUAUAUUCACAACAUGCUUCAGUCGCACUGUGGUCAAGCAGUACCAUCUGGCUGUAUUUGCCGCAAGCCACUCUGGUAACACUCCACAAUGGAAGUUAUUUGUAGUUUCACCAGCUUUCCAUUCUUGUUCCUACUAUCGGGCUGCAUGAUUUGUUUAUCGGUUGCCGAGUUAUUUAGCUGGAUCAUCUGUUUUUCAUUUGUUUAUUGGUUGCCGAUUUAUUUAGUUGGAUCAUCUGCUUUUCCCCUUCUCCAUUCUCUCUAUAUAAAUCACACUCCCAUACUUCAGCUGAGCAUCUGUCACGGUCCUUUAUACUCUCACUGGAAAUGAUAAUUCCAUUGGUUACUUUUUGGUCAUCAUCAAGUUAUUUCAGCUUUAGAACCUCACUCCAUAUCACCGAUUGUCACACCUACAAAUGCCAACUCAUGGAACUGUUUGUGCAUGAGCUAACUAAUGUAAAUAGAGCAAAGAGAUUCGUGGCCAUAUGAAGAAGGCCUAGCCUUGAUUAGGCUAUCCAGAUGAAAUUAUUUUUUCACAAACCCUGUGGCACAUCCUCAAGUUAUAGAGAGAGUAAAUUUGCUCUUAUUGACAGAUGCUUUCUGUUGUCUAAAGCCUUAUAAUAUUGCAAGGGAGACAUAAAUUCUUAAGGACAGGCAUGACUCAUGACUGACCUCUAUUCCACUUGCCAGAACAGUGUGGUAUCGUGGGUGUAGUAUAUUUCUGUUUGCUUUGUAUUUUUAUUUGUCCAUUUCAGCUUAACAUCACUCUAAUGCUGUACAGUUUAACAAUUUCCCUGCCUACACGUGGAAUUCUGAUCCAUAGAAUGUGAAAAUUGAACAGUAUUAGAUGCAAGUGACCCGGCAUUUUGUAGUGGCAUAUCCACUUUUGUCACUAAUUAUAUCACGACAUCAACUAAAUCCAAACUGAAGGACUAAAAAUGCAAUUCGAUCAAAAUAUAUGGACCUAUUGUAACUUACCCUAUUUUGAGAGAAUAUCGUUACUUUCGAGUAGACCUGUUAAACGGGUGGGUUGGGUCGGGUUUGGGUCGGGUCAUAAAUGGUCUGACCCAAAUCGACCCAUUUAACCCAUUUAUGACCCAUUUAUUAUAGUGCAAAAUUUUUGACCCAUACCCGACCCGAUCCAUACUCGACCCAUACCCGACCCAUUUAAUGAAACCUAAAAAAGCUUAUAUAUAUAUUUUUAAAAUGAUAUUGCUAAAAUGGUUUUAUACAACACAAAUUUAAUGGAUAAUUUUUAUAAUUUUUAAAAUAAUUAUUUUAAAAAAAUCGAAUUUUAAUUAUUUUUUAAUUUUUUAAAAAAUUAUUUUUUAAUUAUUUUUAAUUUUAUUUUUAAGAAUAUAAUAUUUCUUUUUCUUUUUUCUUUUUUCUUUUUUUUUCUUCUUCUUCGGUCAGCCGCCGGCCACGACGACUGCCGGCGGCCGGCCACAGGCGAGCCUCGAGCUCGCCCGGCUCGCCGACGACGCCGAGCUCAAGGCUCGCCAGAUCCAGCGAGCUCGAGCUCGCCCGACGCCGGCGAGCUCGAGUCUCGCCAGAUCCGGCGAGCUCGAGCUCGCCCGACGCCGGCGAGCUCGAAUCUCGCCAGAUCGGCGAGGCUCCAAAUCCGGCGAGCUCGAGGCUCGCCAGCAUCGGGCGAGCUCGAGCUCGCCCCUCGCCGGAUCUGGCGAGGCUCGAGCCUCGUCGGAUGUCGGCGAGGCCUCCGCCUCGCCAGAUCUGGCGAGCUCGAGGCUCGCCGGCGAGUUGGAGUCUCGCCAGAUCGGCGAGGCUCGAGCUCGNNNNNNNNNNNNNNNNNNNNNNNNNNNNNNNNNNNNNNNNNNNNNNNNNNNNNNNNNNNNNNNNNNNNNNNNNNNNNNNNNNNNNNNNNNNNNNNNNNNNNNNNNNNNNNNNNNNNNNNNNNNNNNNNNNNNNNNNNNNNNNNNNNNNNNNNNNNNNNNNNNNNNNNNNNNNNNNNNNNNNNNNNNNNNNNNNNNNNNNNNNNNNNNNNNNNNNNNNNNNNNNNNNNNNNNNNNNNNNNNNNNNNNNNNNNNNNNNNNNNNNNNNNNNNNNNNNNNNNNNNNNNNNNNNNNNNNNNNNNNNNNNNNNNNNNNNNNNNNNNNNNNNNNNNNNNNNNNNNNNNNNNNNNNNNNNNNNNNNNNNNNNNNNNNNNNNNNNNNNNNNNNNNNNNNNNNNNNNNNNNNNNNNNNNNNNNNNNNNNNNNNNNNNNNNNNNNNNNNNNNNNNNNNNNNNNNNNNNNNNNNNNNNNNNNNNNNNNNNNNNNNNNNNNNNNNNNNNNNNNNNNNNNNNNNNNNNNNNNNNNNNNNNNNNNNNNNNNNNNNNNNNNNNNNNNNNNNNNNNNNNNNNNNNNNNNNNNNNNNNNNNNNNNNNNNNNNNNNNNNNNNNNNNNNNNNNNNNNNNNNNNNNNNNNNNNNNNNNNNNNNNNNNNNNNNNNNNNNNNNNNNNNNNNNNNNNNNNNNNNNNNNNNNNNNNNNNNNNNNNNNNNNNNNNNNNNNNNNNNNNNNNNNNNNNNNNNNNNNNNNNNNNNNNNNNNNNNNNNNNNNNNNNNNNNNNNNNNNNNNNNNNNNNNNNNNNNNNNNNNNNNNNNNNNNNNNNNNNNNNNNNNNNNNNNNNNNNNNNNNNNNNNNNNNNNNNNNNNNNNNNNNNNNNNNNNNNNNNNNNNNNNNNNNNNNNNNNNNNNNNNNNNNNNNNNNNNNNNNNNNNNNNNNNNNNNNNNNNNNNNNNNNNNNNNNNNNNNNNNNNNNNNNNNNNNNNNNNNNNNNNNNNNNNNNNNNNNNNNNNNNNNNNNNNNNNNNNNNNNNNNNNNNNNNNNNNNNNNNNNNNNNNNNNNNNNNNNNNNNNNNNNNNNNNNNNNNNNNNNNNNNNNNNNNNNNNNNNNNNNNNNNNNNNNNNNNNNNNNNNNNNNNNNNNNNNNNNNNNNNNNNNNNNNNNNNNNNNNNNNNNNNNNNNNNNNNNNNNNNNNNNNNNNNNNNNNNNNNNNNNNNNNNNNNNNNNNNNNNNNNNNNNNNNNNNNNNNNNNNNNNNNNNNNNNNNNNNNNNNNNNNNNNNNNNNNNNNNNNNNNNNNNNNNNNNNNNNNNNNNNNNNNNNNNNNNNNNNNNNNNNNNNNNNNNNNNNNNNNNNNNNNNNNNNNNNNNNNNNNNNNNNNNNNNNNNNNNNNNNNNNNNNNNNNNNNNNNNNNNNNNNNNNNNNNNNNNNNNNNNNNNNNNNNNNNNNNNNNNNNNNNNNNNNNNNNNNNNNNNNNNNNNNNNNNNNNNNNNNNNNNNNNNNNNNNNNNNNNNNNNNNNNNNNNNNNNNNNNNNNNNNNNNNNNNNNNNNNNNNNNNNNNNNNNNNNNNNNNNNNNNNNNNNNNNNNNNNNNNNNNNNNNNNNNNNNNNNNNNNNNNNNNNNNNNNNNNNNNNNNNNNNNNNNNNNNNNNNNNNNNNNNNNNNNNNNNNNNNNNNNNNNNNNNNNNNNNNNNNNNNNNNNNNNNNNNNNNNNNNNNNNNNNNNNNNNNNNNNNNNNNNNNNNNNNNNNNNNNNNNNNNNNNNNNNNNNNNNNNNNNNNNNNNNNNNNNNNNNNNNNNNNNNNNNNNNNNNNNNNNNNNNNNNNNNNNNNNNNNNNNNNNNNNNNNNNNNNNNNNNNNNNNNNNNNNNNNNNNNNNNNNNNNNNNNNNNNNNNNNNNNNNNNNNNNNNNNNNNNNNNNNNNNNNNNNNNNNNNNNNNNNNNNNNNNNNNNNNNNNNNNNNNNNNNNNNNNNNNNNNNNNNNNNNNNNNNNNNNNNNNNNNNNNNNNNNNNNNNNNNNNNNNNNNNNNNNNNNNNNNNNNNNNNNNNNNNNNNNNNNNNNNNNNNNNNNNNNNNNNNNNNNNNNNNNNNNNNNNNNNNNNNNNNNNNNNNNNNNNNNNNNNNNNNNNNNNNNNNNNNNNNNNNNNNNNNNNNNNNNNNNNNNNNNNNNNNNNNNNNNNNNNNNNNNNNNNNNNNNNNNNNNNNNNNNNNNNNNNNNNNNNNNNNNNNNNNNNNNNNNNNNNNNNNNNNNNNNNNNNNNNNNNNNNNNNNNNNNNNNNNNNNNNNNNNNNNNNNNNNNNNNNNNNNNNNNNNNNNNNNNNNNNNNNNNNNNNNNNNNNNNNNNNNNNNNNNNNNNNNNNNNNNNNNNNNNNNNNNNNNNNNNNNNNNNNNNNNNNNNNNNNNNNNNNNNNNNNNNNNNNNNNNNNNNNNNNNNNNNNNNNNNNNNNNNNNNNNNNNNNNNNNNNNNNNNNNNNNNNNNNNNNNNNNNNNNNNNNNNNNNNNNNNNNNNNNNNNNNNNNNNNNNNNNNNNNNNNNNNNNNNNNNNNNNNNNNNNNNNNNNNNNNNNNNNNNNNNNNNNNNNNNNNNNNNNNNNNNNNNNNNNNNNNNNNNNNNNNNNNNNNNNNNNNNNNNNNNNNNNNNNNNNNNNNNNNNNNNNNNNNNNNNNNNNNNNNNNNNNNNNNNNNNNNNNNNNNNNNNNNNNNNNNNNNNNNNNNNNNNNNNNNNNNNNNNNNNNNNNNNNNNNNNNNNNNNNNNNNNNNNNNNNNNNNNNNNNNNNNNNNNNNNNNNNNNNNNNNNNNNNNNNNNNNNNNNNNNNNNNNNNNNNNNNNNNNNNNNNNNNNNNNNNNNNNNNNNNNNNNNNNNNNNNNNNNNNNNNNNNNNNNNNNNNNNNNNNNNNNNNNNNNNNNNNNNNNNNNNNNNNNNNNNNNNNNNNNNNNNNNNNNNNNNNNNNNNNNNNNNNNNNNNNNNNNNNNNNNNNNNNNNNNNNNNNNNNNNNNNNNNNNNNNNNNNNNNNNNNNNNNNNNNNNNNNNNNNNNNNNNNNNNNNNNNNNNNNNNNNNNNNNNNNNNNNNNNNNNNNNNNNNNNNNNNNNNNNNNNNNNNNNNNNNNNNNNNNNNNNNNNNNNNNNNNNNNNNNNNNNNNNNNNNNNNNNNNNNNNNNNNNNNNNNNNNNNNNNNNNNNNNNNNNNNNNNNNNNNNNNNNNNNNNNNNNNNNNNNNNNNNNNNNNNNNNNNNNNNNNNNNNNNNNNNNNNNNNNNNNNNNNNNNNNNNNNNNNNNNNNNNNNNNNNNNNNNNNNNNNNNNNNNNNNNNNNNNNNNNNNNNNNNNNNNNNNNNNNNNNNNNNNNNNNNNNNNNNNNNNNNNNNNNNNNNNNNNNNNNNNNNNNNNNNNNNNNNNNNNNNNNNNNNNNNNNNNNNNNNNNNNNNNNNNNNNNNNNNNNNNNNNNNNNNNNNNNNNNNNNNNNNNNNNNNNNNNNNNNNNNNNNNNNNNNNNNNNNNNNNNNNNNNNNNNNNNNNNNNNNNNNNNNNNNNNNNNNNNNNNNNNNNNNNNNNNNNNNNNNNNNNNNNNNNNNNNNNNNNNNNNNNNNNNNNNNNNNNNNNNNNNNNNNNNNNNNNNNNNNNNNNNNNNNNNNNNNNNNNNNNNNNNNNNNNNNNNNNNNNNNNNNNNNNNNNNNNNNNNNNNNNNNNNNNNNNNNNNNNNNNNNNNNNNNNNNNNNNNNNNNNNNNNNNNNNNNNNNNNNNNNNNNNNNNNNNNNNNNNNNNNNNNNNNNNNNNNNNNNNNNNNNNNNNNNNNNNNNNNNNNNNNNNNNNNNNNNNNNNNNNNNNNNNNNNNNNNNNNNNNNNNNNNNNNNNNNNNNNNNNNNNNNNNNNNNNNNNNNNNNNNNNNNNNNNNNNNNNNNNNNNNNNNNNNNNNNNNNNNNNNNNNNNNNNNNNNNNNNNNNNNNNNNNNNNNNNNNNNNNNNNNNNNNNNNNNNNNNNNNNNNNNNNNNNNNNNNNNNNNNNNNNNNNNNNNNNNNNNNNNNNNNNNNNNNNNNNNNNNNNNNNNNNNNNNNNNNNNNNNNNNNNNNNNNNNNNNNNNNNNNNNNNNNNNNNNNNNNNNNNNNNNNNNNNNNNNNNAAAUGGAUCAUAAAAUGGGUCAACUCUUUAACCCAUUUAAAAUCCAUAUAUCUUAGUAUUAACCCAUUAAAACUCAUAUAUGUGCUUUAUGAAAGAAAGCUUGACCCAUUAAUGACCCAUUUAACCAUAAAUGGGUCUAUAAAUGGGUUAUGCAACCCAUUUAACACCUCUACUUUCGAGGGAACUUAAGUGGUUUUAUGUGCACUAACUGUUGAGGAGCUUUUGUGGAUGGAGAUAAAGCUGGAAAUGUAUUGCUAGCUUUUAGCUUGAUUUGAGUAUCCUGAUACUUGUCUUUCAAUCAUCGCAAGUGGAGUGCUUCUAGAUGGGGCUAGACUAACUAUUGUUCAAAAAAUACAUGAUGCAUACAUGGUUAGCGAGAUGUACGUAUAAGUUAUGUUAGAAAAAGUCCAAUGAAGUGGGAUUGUUAUGGUGUGAAAUAGUUAAUAUCUUAGUUGGCCAAAAAUUCAUUGCAUUAAGUUUUUGAGUAAAAGUGGUCUAAUUGGAUAUGUUAAAAGGCUUGAACUUUAGCUACUUUAGCUCUCCCUUGGCUUAUGCUAUAUGCUCCCAAGCCGAUUGUUGAUUGGUGGCAACGUGUUAGUAUACUUGGAUUAAGGGGGAAGUAUACUUAACAUUGAGCUCACACGUAAGAGGAGAUAAUAAUUGAUGUGAUAUGAAGUAGUUAAUAUAUCCUAGUUGACUCAUGAUUCAUAGAUUUAAGCUUUUUAAGCAUAUAUUGGUCCAACUAUAUUUGUUGGCAGGUCAAACUUGGGCUCUCUCUUGACGAUCUCCUAUGCAGUGAUAUUGGUAAUAUUGGGUUCUACUAAGCGUUAACUAUAGUGGAUGUCGGAUGCAGCUUUGGAUGGACCUAUUCUUCUCCCACAAUAUCGAGAUAGUUUUAGUAACAGGGUUGUGGUGAGUAAAAAAAAUGGUGCUAAGUCUUCACAAGACAAGUGGAUUAUGAGGAUCGGGAGCAGCAUUGGCAAUGAGAUGGUGGAAAUCGGCAAGGAAAAUAAAUCCAUUUUUCACGCGGUCAGUAAGCCAAGUUAUCGACUCCUAAAAACGAAAGAAUCGAGGUCAAUUUAGAAGUUUCGAAAUUUCAUUGUUGGUUUGCAGCUUGCGAGAAAUUGUUUCUCAAUGAGCGCAAGUGCAAGAGAGGCACUCCAAUGCAAUUGCAAUGUUUAGUGUAACACAGCAACACACCAUGUGAGAAGUACUCACCUAAUGGUUUGGCUGAAUUGUCGUUUUUGCAAGCUGAUACUUGUCGUAGUGAAGAAACAACAAACCAUUCAAGAUGAAACGGAGCCAACGCAUGAUCUGUAGUUGUACAUCCCAGGUGUUCAAUGUUGUAGCAUUGGAGGAAAGGAUCAUAUCUGAAACUGAUGAUGGGCAUGAGAUGAGUGGGUUAUGGAGAGAUUGUUUGAUACAGCUUUCGAUGGUAGCUGCGACCGUAAAACUGGAUGCUUCUGCUUUCGCAAGGUAACAUUUCAAAGCUAUCAUUUGGAACCUGUCCCGUCUAGCUUUUAGCUGCUAUGUGUUACCAAAUGAUGCAACUAUGAUUAUACCAAACGGGCCUAAGUUGAGCUUCAUAGCCUAUACGGGAUCAGGAGGGAUUGGAGAAUUGUGUCAGUGAUACUUCUCUCUCUUCGGUUGAGUGGUUCAUCUCUUCUUCAAAAGGACCUCUAAUUCUCUAGGGGCAGACUUAAGCUAAGAGCGGAAUUGACUCUUGCAUGCAAGCGUGUACCAGUUUCGUGCUUUAGGAGGGUAUCACAUAUGCUGGAUAAGUGAAAUUUGGGGUCACGUACGAGUCUCACUUAUUAUCCUGUUCGAGGUGGAAGUCGUCAUACGAGAAAGAUGAAUCAAAUAACCUUCAUUCCAACUUCAAAAUCUGUAAAGGCAUCAUUUCUCAUUAUGGAGAACUAGUCCAGAAACCUUGUAGCUACGCAUUAUAGACAGUUAUUUUGAAAUGAUGUGGUCUAUUAUGCUAAUCAACACUGGCACAACUAGCAGUGGAUGCUGAUGCUGAUUUAACUCACACAAAUUCGCUGAAUGAGAAGGCGAGAUAAAGCAUCUAAGACACAGAAAAACUACCUAGCUAGCUAAAUGAUUUGGACAUAUAGACUAACAAGAAUUGUGAUCAUCAUAUCACUAACGUUCAUCUAACCAAAAUAACAGCAGCAACUUGGAUGGAUGCGGAUCGGGAAAAAAAGACCUACUGCGAGACAAGAUACAGGGCACAAUUCAUAUCUUGCAACAUAAUAUCUUCAGAGCAGUUAAAAAAUAGCAUCUCCUGGUCUUAACUCGUCCAACUGAGGAACAACAUAGCAUGAACACUAGGCUAGACUCGUGCCCAAGGAAUGAAGUCGUGUAUGAUUAUGCCACAAACAGAGCACAACAAGAAAACCACCUGAUGAUCCAACGGAACCUCAAAAACAAAGAAGGUUAUGAGUAUGUACAAUCAUGAGGUGAACUCCUAUCAGAUUGUUCUAAAACGUCCCUCUUGUUCAAUACAGUUCCAUAGUUUACCGUAUCACUUGAUGAACAGCAAUUUACAAACCAAUCUGUAUACCCUAGGUCCCCAGCAUUACCGUGGAAGAAAUGAAGAAGUCGUAUCCUGGCCCUAGCAUGAAAAACUGAGAAAUCCAUAUCCUACUGAAAGAAGCACAGGGAUACAGCAUAGCAACAUGUCUUUGUCCACAAACUGCUAAUAUAGGUUUGUUACAACCAUUCAUCAUCAUGCAAAUUUCACAAGCUAAUGAGGGUGAAAAACGACACCCCCUUGUACAAAAAAGAGAGCCAAUCCAGUCAACAGACACGAAAACGUCAGAGACAUGGGACAAUAUUCACAUGAAACACAGAGGUAAAGAAACUAAAAUCCAAAGCGCUCGUUCCAGAUUUGCAACAGCAAUCAAUACAUCAGCACUCAAACAGGUCUGCAGAUGCCAUUAUGGGUUGUAUCGGACAUGGGAUCUGCCAGGGCUUCAUCAACGGGUCGGGUAUCUCGGGAAUAUCAAUCGCCAGCCCACUGACCACCUCCACGAUCUCGAGCACCGAGUUCAGGGACCGGAGCCUGUCGGUAAGCUCCAUGGCCUGGGCCCUGAGGACAUUGUUUGCCAACUCGACCUCGGCAUACUUCUGCGCAGCAGCAUUGAUACUCGCCACGAGCUGAGCAUUAGCCUGCUGCAGUUGCCCCACUUCUCCGACCAAAUCCCCCAGCUGCUUCUGCCUCCUCAUCCGGGAGCGCCUGGCGGAUUCCCUGUUGGACUCCAUCCUCUUCCUCUUCCUUUCAUCAUCGGCCACCCCACCGAGCCUCGGGUCGCCAUCGGAUCCUGAGCUCGCCUGACGCCGAACCGAACCCAUUUUCGAGGGCCUUUCCACGCAAUCAAUCAAUCACUCGAUUCAGAAAACGACCGAUCAAAGGGUCUCCGCGUGCCGGGAGUUAUUUCGCUUUUGCUUCUCAGACAACGAAUUCCGAUGGAAUCAAAGUGAGGCACGAAUCGCGAUCAAUCGGAGAGAGAGAGACGGGCGUUCAUGAGAAGACGUAGAACCAAUAGAGGAACACCACCGAGAAGGAGUGGACGAUCCGCACCCGGAACAUGAGGAUCGCGUAGUUCAUAACUCGGUUUCCCACAUCUGAAAACCCUAGACCAUCUACCACAAGCGCUCAACCAGUACCCUCCGAUUCUCAGCCCAACGCAACGAAGGGGAAAACGAAAACGGCGACAACGCAGCGGAAAGACAGCAGAGAGAGAGAGAAGGGGGACGUAAACUUAGCUGGCGGCGGCGGCGGCGGCGGCGGAACGCGCGAACCAGAGAGAGGUCGAAGAAGGUGAGGAAAGGAGGGGAGGAGGGGUUUUUAUAGAGGAGGCUCGCGGGCUUCGAUUGGUCUGCCGGGAAAACGAAUAUUCCCAGAAUCUUUUUUUUUUGGGUGUAAUUUAUUAGGACGGAUUUUGCUUAGGCGUGUCCCAAUUGCCCAAUCACAUUCGGAAGCGUAAGAUUAUAUUUCUUUCUUUAAUUAAAAAAAAAACUGAAAUUGCCUUUUUAACGAAUCGAUAAAAGAAGAAAAUACACGAGAUGCUUCAAGGAUGAACGAAUGUGAAAAUCUAUAUCGGAGAUGUGGAGGAAUCUAGAGAUCCUCUUCUGAUUUUAUUUUGCCGGUGGUUUCUUUUUUUAUCUUUUUAUUUAUCGAUGGACAACUAAUAUCCGACUUAAUCUAUUUAUAAAAUCUCUUUCUUUACGCGACCGUGUAACCAAAAUACAGGGGGGGAACAGAUGUUCUUAAAUUUAAAUUGUUUUUGGUGGGGGAGGGAAAGAAUGACGUCAUGGCGCACGUCUGAUGUGGCGUGGGAUUGGUCGGAUCUCAUCGUCGUCGCGGUAGUUGGUGCUGCCCAUGUUCAAUGUAAUGCGCACGUUGUUUGGGAUCUUAUCCAGUAGCAUCACACUUUUUUUUUUUUUUUGAGCAACAGUAGCAUCACACUUUACAGAGCAGGCCAAAACCGUGGGUUUGACUGGGUCAAACAUCGAACGUCGGAUCUUCUUGGAUACAUCCCCCCUGGAAAAAUGCUCGCGAGCGCCAAGUUGUGAUAAGGAGAGAUAUUUAUUUUAAUGUUUUAUGUUUUAAGACAUUAAUUUCCCGAUACCUUUUAAUUUUCGUAAAAAAGGACUUGCGCAGUGGAAAUUAGUCAGGAUCUGUAAAAUACGGGCUAUAUCUUGGACUUCCAAAAUUGAAAUUGGAUGAAAAGAAUACGUAAGUGAUUUGGUGAAAGCAGAUAGCCGUUUGGAAAUUAAUUGUGAAAAUAUGUAGGUGGGCUCUUGGUGAGAAAAUAGGGAUAGAAAUCAAAGUGGAUAGUGGAUUUGGGGAUUGCAAACAUUGCAUCAUGAAAUAGUACUAGAAAAAUGAUCAUUGCAAUUUGUUUAUUCCACAAAAAAUGAAUGAUUUGAAAAAAACACCCCAUUACUGCAAUCCGUUUAUUUCACAAUAAAUGAAUAAUUUGAAAAAAAUGAACUCAAUGAACAAUACUAAUCACAACCAAGAGCCAACUAUCGGCUCCCAAGGAGCAAACCUAGGACACUGUGCCCAAACUUGCGAUCUUGACACUUUAAUCGAGAAUGAUAUAUUUCAUAUUAAGGUUAAAAUUACAUGGUACCGGCACAAGAUGCAACAAACUCGAGAUGCAUAACAUAUAUAUAAGGUCGAACGACAUGAGAUUUGUAAUACCAUUUUUUUUUCAGUCCAAUCAGAGUUAUNNNNNNNNNNNNNNNNNNNNNNNNNNNNNNNNNNNNNNNNNNNNNNNNNNNNNNNNNNNNNNNNNNNNNNNNNNNNNNNNNNNNNNNNNNNNNNNNNNNNGCAUUCUGAUUAGUAUGUAUAACAUAGUCGAGAAAGAUGAAUCAGAUAACCUUCAUUCCAACUUCGAAAUCUGCAAGGACGUCAUUUCCCAAUAUGGCGAACCAGUCCAGAAACCUUGUAGGGAAAUGACGAACCAAUCCAGAAACCUUGUGGCUACGCAAUAUAGACAAUUAUUUUGAAACGAUGUGAUGUCUUAUACUAAUCAACACUGGCACAACUAGCAGUAGAUGCCAAUGCUAAUUUAGCUCGCACAAAUUCGCUGAGCAAGAAGGGGAGUUGAAGCAUCUAAGACAGAAAAACUAACUCGCUUGCUAAAUGAUUUGGACAUAUAGAACAACAAGAAUUGUGAUCUUCAUAUCACUAGCGUUCAUCCAACCAAAAUAACAACAGCAACUUGGACGCGGAUUGGGAAAAAGACCUACUGCGAGACAAGAUACAGGACACAAGUCAUACCUCACAACAAAAUAUCUUCGGAGCAGUUAAAAAAUAGCAUCUCCUGGUCUUAACUCGCCCAACUGAGGAACAGCAUAGAACGAACACUAGGCUAGACGAGUGCCCAAGGAAUGAAGUCGUGCAUGAUUGUGCCACAAACAGAGCACAACAAGAAAACCACCUAAUGAUCGAACGGAACCUCAAAAACAAAAAAGGUUAUGAGUAUGUACAAUCAUGAGGCAAACUCCUAUCGGAUUGUUCUAAAACGUCCCUCUUGUUCAAUGCAGUUCCAUAGUUUACUACAUCACUUGAUGAACAGCAAUUUACAAACCAAUCUGUAUAGCCUAGGUCCCAAGCAUUGCUGCGGAGGAAAUGAAGAAAUCGUAUUCUGGGCCUAGCAUGAAAAACUGAGAAAUCCAUAUCCUACUGAAAGAAGCACGGGGAUACAGCAUAGCAACAUGUCUUUGUCCACAAAUUGCUGAUAUAGGUUUGUUACAACCAUUCAUCAUCAUACAAAUUUCACAAGCUAAUGAGGGUGAAAAACGACACCCAAUUGUACAAAAAAGAGAGCCUAUCCAGUCAUCAGACACGAAGUCGACAUUUUACCGCUGCCGAUGAGACGGACAUCAGAGACAUCGGACAAUAUACACAUGAAACACAGAGGUAAAGAGACUAAAAUCCAAAGUGCUCGUUCCACAUUUGCAACAGCAAUCGAUACAUCAGCACUCAAACAGGUCUGCGGACGCCAUUAUAGGUUGUAUCGGACAUGGGAUCUGCCAGGGCUUCAUCAACGGGUCGGGUAUCUCGGGAAUAUCAAACGCGAGCCCACUGACCGCCUCCGCAAUCUCAAGCACCGAGUUCAAGGACCGGAGCCUGUCGGUAAGUUCCAUGGCCUGGGCCCUGAGGACAUUGUUCGCCGACUCGACCUCAGCAUACUUCUGCGCAGCCGCAUUGAUACUCGCCACGAGCUGAGCGUUAGCCUGCUGCAGUUGCCCCACUUCUCCGACCGAAUCCUCCAGCUGCUUCUGCCUCCUCAUCCGGGAGCGCCUGGCGGAUUCCCUGUUUGGACUCCAUCCUCUUCCUCUUCCUUUCAUCAUCGGCCACCCCACCGAGCCUCGGGUCGCCAUCGGUUCCCGAGCUCGCCUGACGCCGAACCGAACCCAUUUUCGAGGGCCUCUCCCCGCGAUCAAUCAAUCACUCGAUUCAGAAACGACCGAUCAAAGGGUCUCCGCGUGCCGGGAGUUAAUUCCCUUUGUCUCAGACAACGAAUUCCGAUGGAAUCAAAGGAGGUACGAAUCGCGAUCAUCNNNNNNNNNNNNNNNNNNNNNNNNNNNNNNNNNNNNNNNNNNNNNNNNNNNNNNNNNNNNNNNNNNNNNNNNNNNNNNNNNNNNNNNNNNNNNNNNNNNNNNNNNNNNNNNNNNNNNNNNNNNNNNNNNNNNNNNNNNNNNNNNNNNNNNNNNNNNNNNNNNNNNNNNNNNNNNNNNNNNNNNNNNNNNNNNNCGAAGGGGAACACGAAAACGGCGACAACGCAGCGGAAAGACAGCAGAGGGAGAGAGAGAGAGAGAAGGGGGACGUAAACUUAGCUGACGGCGGCGGCGGCGGCGGCGGCAGCGGCGGCGGAACGCGCGAACCAGAGAGAGGUCGAAGAAGGUUGGGAAAGGAGGGGAGGAGGGGUUUAUGUGGAGGAGGCUCGCGGGCUUCGAUUGGUCUGCCGGGAAAACGAAUAUUCCCAGAAUCUUUUUUUUUGGGUGUAAUUUAUUGGGACGGAUUUUGCUUAGGCGUGUCCCGAUUGCCCAAUCACAUCCGGAAGUGUGAGAUUAUAUUACCUUUUUAAUGAAUCGAUAAAAGAAGAAAAUACAUGAGAUGCUUGAGGAAUGAACGAAUUUGGAAAUCUAUAUCGAAGAUGUAGAGGAAUCAAGAGAUCCUCUUCUGAUUUUAUUUUGUCGGUGGUUUUUUUUAUCUUUUUAUUUACCAAUGGACAACUAAUAUCCGACUUAAUCUAUUUAUAAAAUCUCUCUAGUUUUUACUUGUUAGUACUUGUGUUUCCCUCUUUCUUUACGCGACCGUGUAACCAUAAUACGGGGAGAACAGAUGUUCUUAAAUUAAAAAAAAAUUUCGUGGGGGAGGGGAAGAAUGACGUCAUGGCGCACGUCUGAUGUAGCUUGGGAUUGGUCGGAUCUCAUCGUCGUCGCGGUAGCUGGUGCUGCCCAUGUAAAUGUAAUGCGCACGUUGUUUGGGACAUUAGCCAAUAGCAUCACACUUUACAGAGCAGGCAAAAAUCGUGGGUUUGACCGGGUCAAACAUCGGAUAUCGGAUCUUCUUGGGAUACAUCCCCCCGAGAGUAAUGCACGCGAGCGCCAAGUCAUGAUAAAGAGAGAUGUUUAUUUUAAUGUUUUCUGUUUGGAGACAUUAAUUUCUCGAUACCUUUUUAUUUUCGUAAAAAAGGACUUGUGCAAUGGAAAUUAGUCGGGAUGCGUAAAAUACAGGCUAAAUCUUGGAUUUCCGAAAUUGAAAUUGGAUGAAAAGAAAACGCAAACGAUUCGGUGAAAACAAAUAAUUGUUUGGAAAUUGACGGUGAAAAUAUGUAGGUGGGCUCUUGGUGAGAAAAUAGGGAUAGAAAUCAAAGUGGAUAGUGGAUUUGGGGAUUGCAAACAUUGCAUCAUGAAAUAGUACUAGAAAAAUGAUCACUGCAAUCUUUUUUUUUUUUUUUUUUUUUUUUUUUUUGUGCAGGAAGAACCAGCUUGCACCGACAGUGCGCCGUAAACCCCCCGAUGACGCUAGUGGGGAAACCACCACCCCAACGUCACGCUUAAGUCACCAUGUAGCUAAGACUGCCUCCCUGCUUCGCAGGGGCUUCAAACCUUGGCCUCCACCGGGGAGGGCCAAGGAUCUACCAUCCACGCCACCUUGGUCGGUGGUAUCACUGCAAUUUGUUUAUUGCAUAAAAAAAUGAAUGAUUUGAAAAAAAUAAAAAUUACUGCAAUUCGUUUAUUCCAAAAAAAAGUGAAUGAUUUGAAAAAAAAAAUUAUUGCAAUCCAUUUAUUCCACAAAAAAUGAAUGAUUUGGAAAAAAAAGAACUCAAUGAACAAUACUAAUCACAACCAAGAGCCAACUAUCGGCUCCCAAGGAGAAAACCUAGGACACUAUGCCCAAAUUUGUGAUCUUGACACUUUAAUCGAGAAUGACAUAUUUCAUAUUAAGGUUAAAAUUACAUGAUAUUGGCACAAGACGCAACAAACUUGAGAUGCAUAACAUUUAUAAGGCCGAACGACAUGAGGUUUGUAAUACUUUUUUUUUCAAUCCAAUCAAAGUUAUAAUGCGUUGGCUAAUCAUUAAUGUUGCAUCAUCACUAUCAAAUUAGGGUCGAUGACUUAGUGAGGCUUGCCUCACCAGCCCUCGGUCAUAAGGAGAAAAUAUUAUAUACAAUUUUGAUGUUAAUUGAGCAAAAUAUUAGUCUAUUCAUCUUGUGGCACGUGUCACACAUGAGCCCACUUAUUUAUCACGAUCUCUCUCUCCCCUUCCUUUUGACCCAUUUUCCCUUCUCGAACAUCGAGCACAAGCCAUCGCCGUUGCCAACCAUGGCAAAGCGCACGCUUGGAGUCUCCAACAAUGAGCUUGCUGCCAAUGGAUCCCUAUCCCUUUGUGCACCUUAUGGGGGGAACAAUGAGCUUUGCUCAAGCGAUCUCUUUAUGACUUUAAGCAAUGCCAUAGUGGUGCAAGCGAUUUGACUCCAUUCAACGCUAUGAUAAGAGUGCUGAUAAAAAUUGCAUGUACUUUAGGAGGUUAUAUGAUGGUAGUUACAAAAUUUUAUACGGCCUUGCCUUGCUUCCACACCUAAGUCACCGGCAAACAAGGCUAGGUCCAUCAAGGUCGGGCCUGAGAACUCAAUGCUCCCAUCAAAGUCGCCAACGGUCCAUGCCCAAGACCUCGGUACUGGUCCAUGGGUCCUAGACCGCCAUGCUUGGGUAAGUGACUUCCACACCCAAGUCACUAGCUCCCAAGCUCCCUUAACAGCCAACCUCCCUCAAGACCGUGCCAAAGACCUAGGUAUCUAUGCCCAAGUCCUUGAUACCGUUGCUUGGAUAAUGCUCAUGCCGCCAGGACGCAGUUGGGUAUCUCUUAUAUACUAUGAAUAGUGCAUGACUUUUUAGGAAAAUAAAAUCAAGUUUUUCUUUCUAAAUGAUAUAAUUUUCAAUUCAUUUUUAAAUUUCAGUUAAAUACCAUAAAAUAUUCUUAUUGCUGAAGAUCCCCAUCACUGCCAAGCUCGCCGGCUUUGUCGUCCACCUAUUGUCCCCUCCUUGCUUCUACACCAACUUUGUUAAAUGGACGGGAGAUGGCAAGAAAUUUUUCUGAGUGCGAAAAGCCUAAGACUUUUUUGUUUUCGGAGUGAUUAUUUUUUAAUCGUGAAUGCAUGACGUGCCUGUGACACGCCCGCAUUGAGAAAAUAUGAAGUGAGAGCAAGAUUUGAUGAAAAAUACUUUAAACCUUUAAGUUGCAUCCCAAAGAUACUUAAGCCCAAAAUAUGGGGGCAAAAACAAGAGGAAAUAGAAAGAAGCAGGAGAAAGAAGUCAAAUUUAUACUUAUUUUUGAAAGCCCAUACCCUUAUGAAGCCCAUCGAUCCUCAUCUUGGGCCGUGAGAGACCCGCCGUUCACCCGACCCGACUUGAUUUUCUUCCUCUCAUGUUUUCCCGGGAAAACCCUUCUUCCCCUCUCCAGCUUUCUCCGGGAAAAUUUUCCGAUCCGUUGCAAACCAUUCAUCAUCUUCCGUUCUGUAACAGAUCUCGACGACCUGCGAGGCUGCGAUGGAGAUUCGCAUCGGAAGAGGCUACGCGUGGGCCAUCGCUGCCGGAUUCAUGGCCGCUCUCGCCGCCAUCUCCGCCAAGUUCUUCUCCUCUCAGGUAACCCAACCUCAUCCGCGCGCUUGUCCGUGCGAGCUAAUUCGUGAUUGUCCCCCGCCGUUCUGCUUUGUCACUCGAGAUCGUGCGAUCGUUACAGCUAAUGCAAAUCGAAAUCUGGCGUGUGUGUUGGGCCGUGUCCCUAAUGUAUCUCCGGCAGAAGCACUCGACGUCGCGUGGCGCAAUUUUUGGUUGUUUGAGGAUUAGCGGGAGCUCUAAUUGAGGAAAGCUCCUGCCAAUCCUACUACUUCUGUGGAGAGUAGUUGAAUAGAUUACCCAGAGGGAAGCUUGGAAGCUAUCCGAGCGGCCUGUCGUGGCAAUCAGCGACGCCUGCUCAGUAGCAGAGGAGAGUUUCGAAAGUUGAGGGGACAAGCUUAGGAAAUUCGUGAAAUUCGUGCAAAAUCUCAGUUUAUGAGAUGGGGAUGUGGACAGAGAUUCUUGGUGAAAUUUAAAAGAAGAUAGCAUAGGAAAUAGGAAACGCGCCAACGCCUAGCAGGCUAGCAGGCAGGCCAGGCGGGGCGGGGUUGGGGCAUCCGGAGAACUCUGACUGGAUAUUUAGAAGGGGUUACUAUUGUACAAGCAUCUUCUCGAAUGUGAGCUUCGCAGAAUGGGUUGUUAUCUGUCAGGUUUAUAUCUUCACUGGGACGAAGAAGAAUAGCAAAGAGAGAGAAAACAGAGAAUCUGUUGCUCUUCUUUUCCCCAGUGGGUAAGUGCAUCUGUUAUUUGUGGUGUCAUUAGCUGCGGUUGUCAGCAUUUCCUAGUCAACUCAGUCUGAGAUCUGGUGCUUUUGCAGUGAACUAGUUAAGUCCUACCAUAAAUGGAGUUCAUUUGGUCGUAUCUACCUUAAACGUUUGAUUCUCUUUGCGAGAAAAAUGUUUCAAUGUCUGAGUCCAGUUAAUUAGAUUCCUAUGACUUGACCAAUGAGUGGUUACUGCACUGCACUAAAGCCUGUUAUUUGACAGGAAUCUUUUCCUCAUGCUACUCCUUUUCCUCCAUUUCUUGACUGUAGGGGCAGAUUGUUUAAAGAUAUUUUUCAUGUGUUUACUGAUUGUCUAAGAUGCACAGUUAAGCAUUUAUUCUGUCAUGAUACAUCUUCGAUGAAUUUUCCCAGUAACUGUUGCCAUUAGAUGGGUGUUGUUAAUAAAUUGUGCAGUUCAUGAACUCGGACAUAUUUUUCCUGGACUAACACCCAGACAUCUGAAUUUGUUAACAGGUCAUUAAGUAUGGUUUUGUCAUACUGUUCAAUGUUACAAUGUGGGGAUGUUAUGUCAACAGCCUAAAGAGUCUCUCGUCUCUUCAAGCCACAGUUACGAACUUUGCGACAAAUUUCCUCACUUCUGGAUUAGCUGGGUUCUUUUUGUUUGAUGAGUCAUUGAGAUACCAGGUACUUUGAUUAACUAUUUUCCUGCCCUGUUCUGCAAAGUUAUAUACUUCAAGGUUUGAUUUUUUACUGUGUUUAAAAUAAGAGGCAAGCUCUUAUUGUUACAGCCGGAGCUGUCAAAAGUAUUUUUCACUGAUACAAGUAAUAUCAUGACUGCAUUUAGUUCCCUUGAGAGAUAAAUUCUCUCUAUGGAAUCGGAACUGGUUAUCUUGAAAGUGGCAAGUAGGCUAAAAUUUAGGAGUCAAGUUAUGCAAUAGAUAACUUCCGAGUUUAUUAUCUCAUGAAUGCAUUGAGGGUAAUUAUGCCAUCACAAACGGGGGAUAAUAAAAUGGAGGGUUUUAUAUUUCAGAUGAAAGCUUCUGAGAUCAAUGUGGUUGCCAAGGAAAAGAGCUAGUUUGCUUCAUGCAAACCUGUUGUUCAGGGAUUCUUGGCGUAGUCUCCACCUUGCGAUAAAAGGUGUCGAGUACUUCCUAGUUCCUGAUAAUGACUCGAGUUUUAGGUUUAAUCAUUGCUAUCUUGACUCACAUUAUGGUUGUGAUAUGGUUGUGAAAUUGUGAUUAAAAGGAUGCAGUGAUUCGAGAUUCUCACUCCACUUAGUCUAUGAAUGCAGAUUUCACAAAAUUCACAUGAAGUCCCGUUCUUAGUGGUUUGCAGGUGCACUUUUCAUAGUGAUUGGCGUGCUAAUUCUCAGCAAAUCAAGUAUUGAGAAGAAAACUAGAGUUGAUUGAAAGUUCUCAGUUUAUGAGAGAUACCGUACGCCAUGCUUGAAGGUUGCCCCCUUUUGCUACUGACAACAGUUGCUCUGCUGCUCUGGUUUAUGCUUUUCUUUCCCUUCUCCCUUUUAAGUGCCCGAACUGCCUGUUCUCAUUUUUUUUUUUUUUUGUGGAUUUGCAGGUGACUUAGUAGAGAUCAGAAGUUCCAUUCUUGUGCCACUCUCAAGGAAAGGAGAAUGAAGUUGAGAAUUGAGGAUAUAAAGGGUGUUUCCUUCCUGGCCGGUGAUUCCGUGUGAACGAUCACUACUUGUCGUGACUGGCAGCACCGAGGAUGCUAAGCCAGGAUUGCUAUGUUACUGUUAAUGGUGACUAUACAAUAUAGCUACAAGGCAAGCUGCAAAGAAGACAGAUUUGUGUUUAGAGAUGGGAUCCUAUGCUACCUUUUCACCAUGCCAAACGAGUAGGCUAAAACAUUGGUAAGUGAACCCUAAUUUAGGCGCUGUCGAAAGGCUGAAUGCGUCGUGCGCGCUUCGUGAGCGUUAAGCUAAAAGAUCAUCUUUACAUUGAUAUAAAUCAAGGCCUUGAUGUGAGCUUACGCCGACAUGUGCUAUAAUUUUUAUUUUAUUUUUUUGAAUGCGGAGGAUUUAAUGGACAUCGGGCAUUACUGGGGCAAGGUCGUCCUCUAACUUACCCCGAACUGCUCUUUCUUUAACACCGUCCAUUCUUUUUGCUCUUUAUUAAUUUAUAAAAUAUGAAAAAAAAUUGAUUUUAUUGUAUAAUUGAAAUUUUAUCGAGAAAAAGAUCCUUUUUUUUUCAAUUUCUGCUUUGACAAAAGAGAAAUACGCGAGUUGGAUCUUUCAAUUACUUUGUCGAAAAGGUAAUUACGUUAUAGCGUGUGGUACUCAUUGCUAUAAUUGGAUAACAAAAAUAUAUCCAUGGAUGUGGCUCUAUAGAUGAAAUCAUGCUGUUAUAUUGUUAUCGUGGUAAAGGAAAUAAUAGCUUUUCCUAAAAAAACUCGGUUAAAUGUGUGAUUUGAAACAUGACAAUUUGCGGCGAAAAUAAUAGCUUUUUUCAUCACCAACCUAAACUUAAAAUUCAUAACAUCAAUUUGGCGAAAAGAUCGGGAAAUUGUUAAACUGUACGACUUUUUGGGUCCAAUUGUUGCAAUAAAUAAUUAUUCCGCCGUUUAGAUGACACCUAUAUGCCCUCUAACAUUGCAAAUACAAUAAUUUUGAUGUCGUAUUAGCGAAAGCAUGAUAUUCAACUUUCGUGCUAGAUGGAGUGAUGAUGGUCUAUUUGUUGUUAUGCUAUAAGAUAAGCGAGAUACUUAGAAAGAAAUAGUAGCCUAUAAUAAAGUGAUAAUCAAGAGGGUCUCGUGACUAAUCAGUGUCUAAAUAUUUUGAUGAGUCCUUUUAGUUAAAAAGAUUGAACAAAAAAAAUGAUCUCCACUCAAUCCAUUGAAAGUAGGUGAAUCACUCAGUUUAAUGGAAGAACCGGUACAUGAAUAAUGGUUAAGGGACUUUUUCUCGGGGAAUACACUCAAAUCCAUUAAAUUACCAAUUUUUAUCCAUGUGUUUUCCUAUUUGUUUUGUUUUUUUUUUGGUAACUGAGGAGCCGUUAUGGGGUCGCCCUCCGAUGCCCGGUGGCACUAUUGGUCGUCGUCACAAGUCACUAUUUAGACGUAAAACCUCGGAAAGUUGGCCUAGUAAUCCACCCUAAGACCCCCAGUUAAGUCAUAGAAUGCAACGAGAGAGUUCAAACCCUCGACCUCGGCGAUGAGAAAAAGUAUGCACACCAUUUGCUCUGCCCAUGGGUGGGUAUGUUUUCCUAUUUGUUGAUCGUCAAUUAAUACAUUAUAUAUGUGCAUUACUAAUACUCACCAAUCUGCUUCUUCACAAUCCAUUUAUAACAUAUGACUUUAGCUAGCUACAUGUUGAGUCCUUGCUCAGGAGCACGAUGUAACUAAUAUUAAAUUUAUCCAUAAAUUUAUUAAAUAAUUAGGCAAAACUAAAUUGCUUGAUUAGGAUAGAUUGUUUUGUGCUAUAGGCUUUUUGUUGGCUUGGCAGUCGUUGGGCCACCAAACUUAUGAUUGACUUCAAUUCGAUUGAUCUGCGUGCCUCGUUUUGACAUGGAGAAAUAUUUUACAAGGUCAUCUUUCAUGAGAAUACACGAGCUCAAGAUUAUUAAAGGAGCGUCAAGUACUCUUAUAUGCUUGACUAGCUAUAUUUCCAUAAAUUUGCAAAUUGCAUUAAUGGUUGUUCGAUUUGUGAAUAAUCUAUCUUUAAUAAAGAAUCAUUUGUUUUAGCGUGCCAAAAUUAGAUCUGGCAAACUGGUAAGUCGAGGUUGAGUCGAAAAUGAUCCGAAUCAAAAUCAACCAAUUUUAUGUGUAAUAUAAAUUUAGUGAUUGGUAUGUGACUUAAGAUCAAUUCUAAAUUUAUUUUUUUCAUUAGAUUAUUGAUUUUUGAGAAAACGAGCGGUUUCAUAAAUCGACUCGUUGAAGAAGAAAAAAAAUUAAUUCUCGUUAAAAAUUUAAAAUUCUUUCUUGUUUUUGCUUCAAGUUCUCGUCCCGUGACCCACCGUCGGAACGAGGGCAUGAAAUUUGAUGAAAAGUCCAAGGAGAGAUAAGGGGCGAAGGAUUUAAACCUAACGUGCAGAUCGGACGGUCAGCAGGUUCUAAGCAAAUCGAAUCUAACGGAGGAGACAGCAGCGUCGGCUUAAAGCCAUGUUAGAUAGAAGAAAAAAAGAAAAAGGGAAAAUUAGCGUUGACCACUCCGCAUUUCUUCAAAAUUCUUCCAAAUUUGCAAAUUCCCUAUGGCGGGGGCGCUCGUCGGCGGGGCAUUUCUCUCGGCUUUCCUCCAGGUGCUCUUCGACCGGAUGGCCUCCCGCGAGGUCGUCGACUUCUUCCGGUCGCGCAAGCUCGGCAAGGGGAGGCUGCUGCAGAAGCUGAAGGCCGCGCUCCUGUCCGCGAACGCCGUGCUGGACGACGCGGAGGAGAAGCAGAUGACCAACGACCACGUCAGGAAGUGGCUCGACGAGCUCAAGGACGCCGUGUACGACACCGACGACCUGUUCGACGAGAUCGCCACUGAAGAUGUGAAGCGCGAAGCCGGGGUCGAGCCUCGGGCUCUCGUUUGUAAGGUCUGGAGCUUUGCUGCAGACGCUCGUGGGAGUAAAUUGGGGGAUGAGUUAGAGAGGGUUCUGGAGAGAUUGGAGAGCGUAGUGAAGCAGAGAGAAGUGCUGGGCCUAGGGGAAAUUAUUCGCGAGAGGACGCCUAGAGUGACGACUUCGUUGGUCGACGAAUCGGGAGUUUUCGGGAGGGAAAAGGACAGGGAGGCGGUGAUCCAGUUGCUCUUGUCAGAUCGGGGCCAAAAGAACACCAGCGUGAUGGCCAUCGUUGGGAUGGGCGGUGUCGGUAAGACCACGCUAUCUCAACUCGUGUUCAACGAUGGUGCGGUGAAGGGGAGUUUCGAGUUGAGGGCGUGGGUUUGCGUGUCCGACCAAUUCGACAUCUGCAAGCUGACGGCGACGGCUCUCGAGGAGUUCUCCUCCUCAUCUAAGAAGGAGACUGAAAAUCUCGACCAGCUUCAGCUCCAACUGAAGAACUUCUUGACAGGGAAGAAAUUCCUAUUGGUGUUGGAUGAUGUUUGGAAUGAGGACUCAAAUCUUUGGGAUGCGUUCCUAGUUCCUUUUAUCUAUGGAGCAAGAGGCAGCAAAAUCAUCGUGACGACACGAAAUAAGAGGGUCGCAUCGGUUGCUCGUGCCGUCUCGACAUACCCUUUACGGAAGUUGCAAGACGAGGAAUGUUGGGACUUGUUCGCAAAACAUGCGUUUGACCAGCAAAACUUCAAGGCGCGCACGAGACUUGAAGAAAUCGGGCGAAGAAUUGUAAAGAGAUGUGAUGGAUUGCCUCUUGCGCUGAAGACUAUAGGUAGCUUGUUACGCUGUGAGUCUGAUAUCAGGGAGUGGGAAAGUAUUGCAGAGAGUUAUAUUUGGAAUUUGGCACCUGGACCAAAUGGAAUUCUCCCUGCGUUGUUGUUAAGUUAUCAUUACCUUCCUCCACAACUGAAACGAUGUUUUGCCUAUUGUUCAGUCUUCCCAAAGGAUUGUAUAUAUGAGAAGGACCAGCUGAUCUUACUUUGGAUGGCUGAGGGCUUGAUAGAACAACCUCACGACAGGACAUUAGAGCAAGUAGGUGAUCGGUGCUUCGAUGAUCUUGUGUCUAGAUCUUUGCUUCAUAGAGUAAGUGAUGUCGAAUCGAGCUUCUCGAUGCAUGACCUGGAAGUAAGCGAUGUCGAAUCGAGCUUUUCGAUGCAUGACCUGGUCAAUGACUUAGCAAGAUAUGUAGCUGGUCGUUCUUUUUUUAGCUUGGACGGAGGCAAUGCACACCACGUGUCCUCAAGCACUCGCCAUUUGUCAUUUGUAAGAACUCGAUAUGAUGUCGCUUCUAGAUUUAGAGUGUUAGCCGGGACAAUGAAUUUGCGUACUUUCCUGCCGCUAAACGUGGGUCGUGAGAGAUUUUACGAGUACAAUUUGUUGACUGAUGAGGUACUGCAUGUUCUGUUGCCGACCCUGAGACGGUUAAGGGUGCUAUCUUUGUCUCAUUAUCUGAAAAUCUCUACGUUGCCUAGUUCAAUUGGAUGUUUGAAGCAUCUGCGCUAUUUGAAUCUCACUUGUAAUUGGAGUCUAAUCAGAUUGCCUGAUACAAUUACAGCUCUAUACAACUUGCAAACCUUAAUUCUUGCUUACUGUGAGUCUCUCAUUGAGUUACCGAGCAACAUGGGCAGCCUAACCUGUCUGCGUCAUCUUGAUAUAAGGAAGACAUCCCUGAAGAGAAUGCCCUUGGGGAUGAACAGACUGAAGAAUUUGCAGAUAUUAACUAAUUUCGUGGUGACCGAAAACGGUGGGACCAGGGUUAGGGAGCUAGGGGAGCUAAGGGAUCUUAUGGGUACACUCUCCAUACAGGGUUUGCAGAAUGUUGAUAGUUACCAAGAUGCCGAGAUAGUCAAUUUGAAGGGAAAGAGGUACUUGAAAAAGUUAGUACUGGAAUGGGUUUAUGAUAACAAUAUUAUGCACCAAAAUUGCUUAAAUAUAUUGGACAAGCUGCAACCUCAUUGGAACUUGAGAGAGCUUGCCAUUAAUUUCUAUAGUGGUAGGUCAUUUUCCGAUUGGGUGGGACAUGGUUCAUUCUCUAAUAUGUCAGUCGUGUGUCUUGAAUCUUGCAAGCACUGUGUGUCAUUGCCUCCUUUAGGACAGCUACCAUCUUUGGAGAAGUUGAUAAUCAAAGGAUUUGAUGGAGUUAGGAGUGUGGGUACUGAAUUCAAUGGUAGCAACUGUAUACCUUUUCAGUCACUUAAGUACUUGGAAUUUGUUGACAUGUGCAGCUGGAAAGAGUGGGCUUCUUUUGCAAUAGAGACGGGAGGUCUUGCCUUUGCACAUCUGCAGGAGCUUUGUAUUAGAAAUUGCCCUGAGUUGAGUGGAGGUUUACCCAACCAUCUCCCUUCUCUAACAGCCUUGUCCAUUGAAAAGUGCCCACAGCUAACGUCUUCUCUACUAUUUGCACCACUUCUCCGUAAAAUCAAUUUGGAUGAUUGUGGAAAGGUUUCUGGAGUUGAGCCUCUCCUAAAUGGCACCGAGUUACGAGAUAUGAGAAUCAAGAGACUUUCAACCCUUCCCUUGAGGUUUCUUCCUCCUACCAUGACAAGACCUAAUCUUGAAGACAGUCCUGGAAUAGAGUUGCCACUGCACAGAUGCCAUGAAUCUCUCCAAUAUCUAAACUUGGAGUGGAGCUGCGAUACACUUAUAUCCUUUCCUCUGGAAAUUUUCCCCUCACUUAAAGAUAUUCAGUUGUCGGGGAUUAAAAAUUUGGAACAUCUUGCCAAUUCAGACGGUUCAUCACUUCUUCUCCAUUCGAUGGCCAUUUGUAAUUGCCCUGAAUUUAGAUCUUUCCCUGCGGGAGGAUUGGCUGCCCCAUCCCUCACUUCAUUAGAGUUGUAUAAUUGCUGUCAUCUAAAGUAUCUGCCAGAAAGCAUGCAGGCUCUCCUUCCUUCGCUUCGGUCACUGACAAUAUCCUUAUGUCCACAACUCGAGUCAUUUCCCGAGAGGGGUUUAUCCUCCAAGUUGGUCGCGCUUUCACUCUCUAAUUGUGAUAAGCUCAUCACUGGCCGCAAGGAUUGGGGUCUUCAAUCGCUAUGCUCUCUUGAAACUUUUUCCAUUGGGGAACAGAAAAAUAUCGAGUCAUUCCCUGAGAUAGGGCUUCUGCCAACCUCUCUUACCUCUUUGCAUAUCUCUUUCUUUGAGAAUCUGACGUCCCUGAACUCCAGAGCGCUUCAUAGCCUGAGCUCCCUUGAAAACCUCUCCAUUAUCGGAUGUCCUAAGCUCCAUUCCUUCCCAAAAGAGGGACAAAUUCUGCCUACUUCUCUUACCUCUCUGUCGAUUUAUUUUACGGGUCUAAAAUCACUGGAUAACUUAGGGCUCCACCACCUCACUUCUCUCAAAGAAUUUCGCAUAGAUUUCUGCUUCAAUCUUCGAUCCAUGCCAGCGGAGGGCUUGUCAUCCUCCCUUUCCAAUCUAUUUAUCAAUAAGUGCCCUAUGCUGGCGAAAAGAUGCCAGCGGAAGAAAGGGAAAGAUUGGCCCCUAGUUUCGCACAUUCGCUGCAUCGUGAUUGAAGGUGUGCUCGUCACAUAAUCGAAUAUCUUGCUUUACAAUCCCUCCUUUUACCAAGAUCUCACUCAGGUAUCUCCCUUGGCCCUACACUAAGUAAGCCAUUUAUUUAUUCUGGACAUACUUCGGUCACUCUGUGCUAUCCUUCCAGCUAAUGCAAAUCGAAAUCUGGCGUGUGUGUUGGACCGUUUCCCUAAUGUAUCUCCGGCUGAAGCAAUCGACGUUCUUAUGGCGCAAUGUGAGCUUCAGCCGGUAGCCAGUGCGCGGCAAUACGUCCAAUUUUUGGUUGUUUGAGGAUUAGCGGGAGCUCUAAUUAAGGAAAGGUCCUGCCAAUUCUACUACUUCUGCGGAGAGUAGUUGAAUUACCAAGAGGGAAGCUUGGAAGCUAUCCGAGCGGCCUGUUGUGGCAAUCGGUUGACGCCUGCUCAGUAGCAGAGGAGAGUUUCAAAAGUGGAGGGGACAAGCAUAGGAAAUUCGUGCAAAAUCUCGGUUUAUGAGAUGGGGAUGCGGACAGAGAUUUUUGGUGAAAUUUAAAAGAAGAUAGCAUAGGAAGUAGAAAAUGUACCGAACACCUAGCAGGUGGGCCGGGUGGGUUUGGGGCAUCCGGAGAACGCAGACCGGAUAUUUAGAAGCAAUAACUAUUGUACAAGCAUCUUCUCGAAUGUGAGCUUUGCAGACUGGAUUGGUAUCUGGCAGGUUUAUAUCUUCACCGGGAUGAAGAAGAAUUGCAAAGAGAGAGAUCAUAGAGAAGCAUCAUUUGAUUAUUUACCUGUUGCUCUUCUUUUUCCCAGUGGGUACAUGCAUCUGUUGUUUGCAGUGUUAUUAGCCGGGGAUGUCAGCAUUUCCUAGUCAACUCAGUCUGAGAUCUGGUGCUUUAGCAGCAAACUAGUUAAGUUCUACCAUGAAUGGAGUUCAUUUGGUUGUAUCUACCUUAAAUGUUAAGUCGUCAUUCCCUGGCAGAAUUACGUGAAAAGAAGUAGAUGUUUGUUUCUCUUUGUGAGGGAGAAGUUUCAAUGUCUGAGUCCGGUUAAUUAGAUUCCUAGGACUUGACAAUGAUUGGUCACUGCACUGCACUGAAGCCUGUUAUUUGACAGGAAUCUCUUCCUCAUCCUCUUCUUCUUCCUCCAUUUCUUUGGACUGUUGGAGCAGAUUUUCUAGUGAUAUUUUUCAUGUGUUUACUGAUUAUCUAAGAUGCACAGUUAAGCAUUUAUUCUGUCAUGAUACAUCAUUGUGACGAAUUUUUCCAGUAACUGUUGCCGUUAGAUUGGUGUUGUUAAUAAAUUGUGCUGUUCAUGAACUUGGACAUAUUUUUCCUGGACUAACACUCAGAGAUCCGAAUUUGUUAGCAGGUCAUUAAGUAUGGUUUUGUCAUACUGUUCAUUGUUACGAUUUGGGGAUGUUAUGUCAACAGCCUAAAGAGUCUCUUGUCUCUUCAAGCCACAGUUACGAACUUCUCGACAAAUUUCCUCGCUUCUGGAUUAGCUGGGUUCUUUUUAUUUGAUGAGUCAUUGAGAUACCAGGUACUUUGAUUAACUAUUUUCCUGCCCUGUUCUGCAAAGUUAUGUACUUCAAGGUUUGAUUUUUUAUUGUGUUUAAAACAAGAGGCGAGCUCUUAUUGUUAUACCUGGAACUAUCAAAAGUUUUUUUCACGUACACAAGUAAUAUCACGACUGCAUUUAGUUCCCUCAAGAGAAGAAUUCUCUCUAUGGAAUCGGAACUGGUAAUCUUGAAAGUGGCAAAUAGGCCAAAAGUUGGGAGUCAAAUUAUGCAAUAGAUAACUUCCGAGUUUGUUAUCUCAUGAAUGCAUUGAGGGUAAUUAUGCCAUCAUAAGUGGGGAACAACAGCAUGGAGAAGGAUUUUAUAUUUCAGAUGAAAGCUUCUGAGAUCAAUGUGGUUGCUAAAGAACAGAGCUAGUUUGCUUCAUGCAAACCUGUUGUUCAGGGAUUCUUGGUGUAGUCUCCACCUUGCGAUAAAAGGCAUUGUGUACUUCCUAGUUCCUGAUAAUGACUUGAGUUUAGGUUUAAUCAUUGCUAUCUUGACUCGCAUUAUGGUUGUGAUAUGGUUGUAAAAUUGUGAUUGAAAGGAGGCAAUGAUUUUUGAGAUUCUCACUCCACUUAGUCUAUGAAUGCAGAUUUCACGAAUUUCACAUAAAGUCCCGUUCUUAGUGGUUUGCAGGUGCACUUCUUAUAGUGAUUGGUGUGCUAAUUCUCAGCAAAUCAAGUAUCGAGAAGAAAAGUAGAGUUGAUUGAAAGUUCUCAGUUUAUGAGAGAUACCAUACGCCAUGCUUGAAGGUUGCCCCCUUUUGCUACAGGCAACAGUUGCCCUGCUUCUCUGCUUUAUGUUUUUCUUUCCCUUCUCUCUUUUAAGUGCCCGAACUGCCUGUACUCAUUUAUCUUUUGUGGAUUUGCUGGUGACUUAUAAAUGAGAAGUUACAUUCUCGUGCCACUCUCAAGGAAGGAAAAAAAGGAAGCUGAGAAUUGAGGAUAGAAGAGUGUUUCCUUCCUGGCCGGUCAUUCCGCGUGAAUGAUCACUACUUGCUGCGACUGGCAGCACCAAGGUUGCUAUGUUGUUAAUGCCAGGAUUGCUAUGUUACUGUUAAUGGUGACGGUAAGAUAUAGCUACAAAGCAAGCUGCAAACGAGUAGGCUAAAACAUUGGUAAGUGAACCUUAAUUUAGGCGCUCUGGAAAGGCUGAAUGUGUCGUGCGCGCUUUGAGAGCAUAAAGCUAAGACCCAACAAAGAUCAUCUUUACAUUAAUAUAAAUCAAGGUCUUAAUGUGAGCUUAUACCGACAUGUGCUAUGACGUAAUAGAAAACUUGCGGAGGAUUUAAUGGACAUCGUGCGUUACGGGGCCGAGGUUGUCUUCUAACUCACCUCGACCCGAACUACUCUUGCUAUAAGACCCUCCAUUCCUUUUGCCCCUUAUUAAAAGUUUGUUACUUGUAUGAUCUAAAACACGACAACGCAUGGCCAAAGUAAUAGUUUUUCUCAUUACCAAUCUAAACUUAAAAUUUGUAAAAUCAAUUCGGUGAAAAGAUCGGUGCACCAAAUUGGUGUUCCCCUCAAAAUGUGGAUUUUUGGCUGGCACAAUAAAAUAAUCAAGUAACCUAACAUUAUAUAUAUAAAGCAUUUUUUGGGGUUAACUUAUUAGAUUCAUGUUUAAUGAGUUUAUAAUGCAGCAUCGUAGCACGACGUGAGAAUACAAUAAUUUUGAGUGUGUUUGUUUCGUGGAAAAAGAAUAAUUUGAAAAAUAUAUAUUUUUAAAUAAUCGCUUAAAAGAAUUAAUGAGUGGAAAAUAUUUUUCAUUGUUCAUGAAAAUAUUUAGACAUAAAAUUAUUAGUAAUAAAAAUAUUUUUAUUGAUUAAUGAUUAUAAGCAAUAUAAACGCAGGCCUUAACGAGAAAAUGUGGCUUAUUUUUUCAUUUCUCAUUGAACUGUCACUGUUCAGGUAAGGCUCCGCCCGACAAAUGGGCUCGAGGCGCGAAACUGAGGAUGAAUCAGGACCGUUGCUCAAAGGCGAAGGGCUCGCCGACUAAAAUGCGUCCGCGCACACCGGAUCGCGGCUCACCGUCUCUCUCCUUCGCAUUUUCCCGCCAGAAACCCAUCCCCGUCGACCUUCAUUUACCGCCAAGUCUCUCUCUCCCGCCCUCUUCCCUGACCUAAACCCUCACUCGCGAGGCUCUGCGCGUAAUUGAUCGGCGGCGUUAUGCGAAUCCGGGAUCCAAUUUGAUGUUGUGAUGAAGCCGACAGCAAUCGCGAAGGAUUUCCUCUCGAACUUCGCCAACGCGAAUGGAGAAGCCAAGUACAUGAACGUCCUCGUAAGUUCCUCCUCUCUCGGCUCUUGUUUUUAUACUCGGACAUCCUUUUAAGCGCUGUAGAAUUGAGGCGAAAUCAAUGUUAAAGGUGCGUGCUUGAUCGCACGUCGUGCCCUAUCCUUUUCUGUUGUCCAUGAACUGCGGCUGCGGAGUCUCUUCCGUGUGCAAUAAUGCUCCAGUACUUAUAAAAUGAUUAACCCUAGAUUUCACAUUUGAGUCGAGCGUAGUUCCCUUUUUAUUUGCAAUUUAAAUGGCUCGCAUGAGGGUCGCCAUUCCUGAUUUCAGCAAGAAGUUGCAAAUCGAAAAAUUCGUGAUAUCCGUUUUAUUAUUCCGUGAUAUCUUUCAUUCAUAAGCUAUAUGUUUAAAAUAGAUAGUAAUUAGCUAAAUAAUCGGUGACACCAAAUAUUAAAUAUUUACCUAACAUCAUCAUAUUAUAAAGUUACUUUCGAUUCCGAGUAAUAAAAGCAGCACACAUCCUCUCUCUCUCUCUCUCACUCACUAACACAGUGGUCGAGGCGUCAGACGUGGUUGAGGCCCCCCUCAUCGUUGCAUGGCUGCUCCCGCUGGCCUGGCUCGUGAGCCGGAUGAUAGGCGCCGCAAGAUGAAGCGGCUGCUGCGAUUGGCUUCAGAAGAAGCCGUGCGAGUCGAGCUCAAGGCGUGGAUCGAGGCGUGGAUCGUGGCGUGGAUAGGCCCGAUUGAGGCCCUCAUCCUCUGCAUCAUAUGACUGCUACCACUCGUGGCAUUCCUCAUCCAGAGGAGUCGGUGAUGAUCGGUCAAGAGGAGCCUCAAGAUUGAGCGGCUGAGGCUCCAUCGGGUACAUAAGGUCGUCUCCCCUUUGCUACUGUCACUGUCCCGUUUGCUAUGGACGUGAUACCUAUAGAUGCUCACUGUCCCGUUUGCUAUGGACGUGAUACCUAUAGAUGCUCGCACCACCAAGCGACGCGAUGCUAGUGAUUUCGAUAGUUUAAUCAAUCAGUCGUGGCAUCUGGUGUAUGGUCGAUGAACAAUCACUAGCGAAAAAUUUACUAUGCCUAAUUUGGUUAUGUACAUACUAGUCAUUUAGGAAGAAUCAAUCAGUCAUGGCAUCUGGUGUAUGAUCAAUGAACAAUUACUAGGGAAAUUUCCAUUGUUUAUUACAAUAUUUCCUAUAUACAUUCGCCGUACCGUCGUCGCUCUCGCCCGUGGUUGCCCACGGUCGCGACCAACUCUCGUUGCCAUGGAGGGAGAGAGAAGGGCCGUGGCGACUGAGGGGACUGUGGGGACAGCGCUCCUGAAUUCGAGCAAUUCUCGAGACGGAGUCUAAGCUCGAAUAUGUCCGCGAAGGACGCGAUUUUCUUCGCUGCUGCGGCUAACGAAGUGGAAUCCUUACGCGAAAUCGCGUCGGGAAGUCCCACCACCAAGUACGAACCUGUCUCUUCGCUGAUGGAUCCUCCCGAUCAGCGGAAGGAGUCGAAGUCGAAGUUCGUCGUCGCCCAUUGUUCGCGACCACCCCACUCUCAAGACUCUCCAUUCAGCCACGGGUCCAAUUCUUCGCUGCCUGCGAUCGUAACUCGUUCCUACCAAAAUCUCAAGGGAGAUUUGACUACCAACGUCUCUCUCGUCCAGCGGUCUGUGUCUCUCCCUCUUCCCUCGAGCUUGCUCUAUGAUCAUGGGAGAGCGUGCGGGCCGAUGCUUCGCUUCGCUCCUCCGCUCGUAAGAAGGAAAGGAAAAAAAGAGCGAAAAAGAGAGGGAAAAUCACAAAAAAAAAGGAAAAAAAGAGGGGAAAAUAGGGAAGUUCCCAGGUUUGGUAGUUUGUUAGGGGCGUUGGCGGAUGAUAUGCCCACUUAACAUUUUGGAUCAUCAUCUCUACUGCGGUGAAUCAUUCAUCAUCGAAUGAGGAUUCACCAUCGAAUGAGGAGAGACUUGUGUCUGUGGAGACAUACAUGACAUUCAUGAUCUAAUCUACUUAAAAUAUGCUUGAUGAUUGUGCAUUUCUUCAAGCUUUAAUGUGAUGAUAUCUACAAAGGACAUAUAUGUUUCACCAGGGGAGCUCCAAAUAUGCAAAUGUCAAUGUUAACUACAAAAUCUUUCUGCUUGGAGAGCCUGCUAGCCAUCACUAGCCAAAAUGAAAAGAGGAAAAAAUUUUAAAAAGAAUUAAAAAAUUUCCACGUCAAUGCGAAUCACACCUUAUAAGAUAGCUAACUUUCAAAUCAAUGGAUUGGACUCAAUUGUCACAAAUAUAAAAAAUCAAUGAUUAAAUUAAUCUAAUCUAAAGAUUUAAAAGUGAAUUAGUAUUAAUAUAGUAUGUUUAAAUAUUGAUAAAACACAAAAUUGUACCAUGAAAUGUCACAUCACAAAAUUGAAGAACACUACAAAUAAGUAAAAAUCAUAAAAAUUGAAAAACACUACAAAUAAGUAAAAAUCAUAAAAAUUGAAAAAUAAACAUCAAAUAUGAAAAACAAAAAACAAAGAAAAAGAUGAAGUUUGCAGGGUUUAUAUGUCGUCCCAAUAAGGGUUGGCGAUCCUCAUCGAGGUCCAAUUGAGGGCAGUGAGCCCUCACACAAUAGUAGUUGCAAUAACCAUCAUUGGGCCCCAACAAGGGUCUAUCCAACAAAUUGUGCCCCACUGCUGCAAGGGGCAUUACCUCCGUCCAUCUCUAGGUGAGUCACCCUCACGGAUGCAAAGCCGCCCCCUUAUUGCCCCUAACAUUUUUUACUUUUCUGAAAUCAUUUCAAUCCUUUUUUUUUUUAAUAUUUAUGCUAUUUCGUCCUCUUUUUUUUUUUUUUUUUUUUUUCCUUUUUAGCAUUUGUCUUUUUGACGCGGUGCCUAUUCGACAGCGAGAGAGGAAGAGUGAACUCUCCAUUUUUGGGUCCACCGUUGGCUUUCUUUAUGAUUAUCUUAGGAUGGUUUGACAGUCCCAUUAACUCAAUGAGAGAGAGAAACUCUCACUCUUCACCUUAUAUGAACUUAAUUUGACCAAUCUUUUUUGCCUCUCUUUCUUUUUCCACUUUUUCCAAGAAGCUUCGCGGAAGCAUCUCGGGUCAUUAGUUUCGUCGAAUUUAAUGUCUGAAAAGGAAACUCCACGGCUUCUUGCAAUACCCGUCCUUGAUUUCCUUUGAAAUGAAGUUGCUCUCUUGAGCAAACCCUCUUCGAAGUAGUACUCAGGGCUGUCAAAUGAUUGGUUCGAAAAUGGUUAAGCCCUAAUUGAUCCAUGUAAUUUUGAUAAAAAAUGACCUAUAUAACUUCUUUUUUUUACUCAUUUAUAUGAAAUACAAAGUUAAUGUCCCAAUAUAGAGCCAUAAUUUUGACUGACGGAAGUGAAAUUUUCACUGUUAUGCAUCUUAAUUUUUUUUUCUAAUAUUUGUUACUAAUAGGUAUUUCAAAUGAAGUCAACUCAAUAAAUUAGUAAAAAAAAUUACAGAAGACUGAAAAAAAUUAACUCAACUAAAAUAGAAUAACUACUCAAAGUACAUUUUUUUAAAAACAAAAGUAAGAGUACCAAAAUUGCCAAAACAUCAUUACAAAUGAUAAAUUGAAGAAUUAAAAAUGGCAAAAAUUGAUACACCCCUUCCGUACAAAGAGUGCUUAGGCCCUUUCAACCUUUUCUUUUAAUUGAGGAGAGUGGGGAAGCAAUAACACUUAGACCGCCAACUUUUUUGAGAUUAGUGCAUUUAAAAUUUUAAACUCAUGGCAGAAGUGUAACUGAAUUUUAAAAUUUAAGAUAAUAUAAUCAAAUAUGAAAGUUUGCAAUCAAAAUUGAAGAUGCUUAAAAUAUUACUCUAGUACAAAUCAUCAAUAUGUGUUGUGUUGAAUGUUAAACGCAAACAAAACCUGAAAGUGUGAAACUCAUGGCAGAAGUGUAACUGAAUUUUAAAAUUUAAGAUAAUAUAAUCAAAUAUGAAAGUUUGCAAUCAAAAUUGAAGAUGCUUAAAAUAUUACUCUAGUACCAAUCAUCAAUAUGUGUUGUGUUGAAUGUUUGCUUUGUUGAUUUGAUAAUUGUAAUGUCCCCAUAAUCGUUUCAUCAAAUAUGUGAUGGAUGGAAAGUGUAGAAAAGAAGUAAAAAAAGAAUAAAUGCACAUAACAAUUUUUUUCAUAGUGUGAUUGUUUAGAUAUAACUGAACUUGUUGACCGAGAGCAACAUAAGUGUCCACCGGGUGUCUGGAUUGCAACGCUAAUGCUACUACAUGGCUACUAGAUGUUCUCUUUGAGAGAAAAUAUUGAAUAUACAAGUUGUGUCAGUGUAACAAAUUAAAAGCUCAUCUAUUAAGUGACAUGUGUUCUUAAAAAAUGCACUUGAAAUGGGAAUGCUCAUGUUUCAAAAUGGCGUGCAAGUCGCUCUCUCGAGGAAACCCUCUUCCUAAGUAGCACUUGGGCUAUCGAAUGGUGGAUUGGUUCGAAAAUGAUUAGACUCUAAUUGACCCAUGUGAUUUUGAUUAAAAAAUAAUCAAUAUAACCUGUUUUGACUCAUUUAUAUGAAAUAUGAACUUAAUGUUCCAUAAUAGCACCACAAUUUUGAGUGGUGGAAGUGAAUUUUUCACUAUUAUGCAUCUAAAUUUUUUAAUUAAUAUUUGUUACUAAUAAGUAUUCCAAAUAAAGUCAACUCAAUAAGUUUUCUAAUUUUUCAAUUUAUAUUUUUACAAUAGGUAUUUUAAAUAAAAUCAACUCAAUAAAUUUUCUUAUUUUUAAUUAAUAUUUGUUACAAAUAGGUAUUACUAAAAUGAAGUCAACUCAAUAAAUUAGUAAAAAAAAUUACAGAAAACCGAAAAAAUUAACUCAACCAAAUUAGAAUAAGUACUCAAAGUACCUUUAUUUUAAAAUAUAAGUAAGAGUGCACAAAUUGCCAAAACAUCAUUACAAAUGAUAAAUUGAAGAAUUAAAAAUGAUAAAAAUUGAAACACCCCUUCCAUACAAAGAGUGCUCAGACCGUCAACUUUUAUUUAUAGAUUAGUGCAUUUAAAAUUCUAAACUAAUGGCAAAAGUGUAACUGAAGUCUAAAAUUUUAGAUAAUAUAAUCAAAUCUGAAAAUUUACCAAAUUGAAGCAAUCAAAAUUUAAGAUGCUUAAAAUAUUACUCUAAUAUAAAUCAAUAAUAUGUGCUGUGUUUAAUGCUAAGCGCAAAACAAAUCCUCAAUGUGUGAUGUCACUCAUUGAUUGUGUAGAAUUUAGGCAACAUUUUUUUUUUGGUCGAAACUUAGGCAACAUUUCAAUAAGUAGAUUUGAUAAUUACAACGAUCCACAUAAUUGUUUCAUCAAUAUGUGAUGGAUGGAAAGUGAAAAAAAAAAGGAGUAAAAAGAGAAUAAAUAUGCAACAUUUUCUUUUCAUAGUGUAAUUGUCUAGGUAUUAUUGAACUUGAUGUUGACCGAGAGCAACUAAAUUUCCACCAAGUGUCUGGAUUGCAGCAUUAAUGCUACUACAUGUUCCUUGGGAGAAAAUAUUGGUUGUGCAUGUUGUGCCAGCGCAACAAAUUGAAAGCUUAUUCAUUGAACAACAUGUGUUCAUCUUCUUGCCCUUUCUCUGUUCUCCCACUGCUUUCUUCGUUCUUUUUGCAAGCCACGGAUGGUCUCUCUCCUCCGUAAACCCCUUCUCCUCCUUCGGCCCUCCCCCUCACUUGCCCGGGGCACGACAACGUCAUUCACCCGGCCUCUCCUUCACUUGAGCUCGACCUUUGUGCCUUCCCCACCAACAACAGCUCCACCAUUGAAAUCAUCCGCUGCCCCUGCGGCCCUUGGAUCCAAGAACAAGCCUAAGUCUCCCGUGCUCAUUGUCAUCACUCAUGAUCCCGAGCCCCUGCAUCCUUGAGAUCUUCUGUGCUCUGAGUCAUCCCUCCCUCCGUAGCUUACGGAUCUAACAAGGGCUUAGUCCUUUAUAGAUUUAGCGCAAGUGACCCUUACCCUAGUCGGGAGAGUCAACCCUCACCGAAUCCCCUCAUUAGAUUCGGCGAGAGCAACCCUAGCUUGUGGCCAGUCACCGGCCACAACCAAGUACUGGCCAUAGGUCAAAGGGAAAGAAAGUAAUUUAAAAAAAAAAAAGGAAGGGAGAAAUGGCAAAAAAGAAGAAGAGAAAUGGAGGUGCAAGUCUGUGAGAGGAGAGAAACGAAGGAAGAAUAGCUUGAUAAGUAAGGGCGCGAUUGGUAAUGUUUCUGUUCAAAAAUUGUUCCAGGGAACAGAAAAAAAAAAGUGUUUAUGUUCCGAGGAACAGUUUUUGAACAAAAGAACGCGUUUGGUAAGUGUAAAAAAAAACUGUUCUUGAAAUUAAAAAAAAAAAAAAAACAGAAACACGUUUGGUAACUGACUUAAUUUCUGUUCCUAGAAUAGAAAAAGAACAGAAACACGUUUGGUAACUGUACAAAAUUUAUGUUUUAAAUUUUUCAAAAAAUGUUUUUUUUUAAUAAAAUUUAAACUUGAUAUUGAAUUCUCAUUCUCAUGAAAUGCUCAUUAAUUUAAUUUUAUUCAUGGUGAAUAAAGACAAACAUUCUGAACAUGAUCACAUGACAUACUUGGUAGAAAAUUUUGUAAAUAAAGUUUGUAUCAAAUUUUUAUCAAAUACUUUAUUUUUUAUUUUUUAUUUUUUAUUUUUAUAUCAUAUCUAAAUGUUCAUAAACAAUCUCCAUUAUCCAAUCUGUUCCCUAGGAAGUUAAUUGACGUGAAAAUAAUCAAAAUCUAGAUGAGUUCUAGAUUCAGACUUUCUUUUGAAGGCUAAACUCACUGUUCUUGAUAAUAUAGCCCCCUUAUUCGGAAUCACUCAAACUGCAGGUGGGUGAUUGAAGCCUACAUCAGUCUUCGUUAUAAAUUUCGACCAUCACAUUCUAUAACAGAAUUUCUUUUAGGUAUGAGUCAUUUUAUAUCAUACCAAUUACUUGAUACGAAAUAACGUUGUCUUAUAGACAUAUAAUUAGAAUGACACAACAACAUUAGAACUACAUCGGCAAAGCCGCAAAGUUGAAAAUAUUCUAGAUUAUAUUGAAACACCUACAAUGAAUAAAAGACUGAAUUAAUAAUUUCUCUUUGGUGACUGCACUAAGAGUCUUAAAAUUUGCACUGCAAGUGUACUCAACGGGCUCAACGCAGAGCCAUGCAGACUCUGCAUCUUCAAGCUCGCUCUCUUGCGGAGUUAUCCCUGAGACCGCAUUGAAUUGGAUGUCCACGGGAGUUAAAAUCAUCGGAAUCCUGAGCCGGCCAUCCCCCACCGACCUGUCUCAAUGAAAGCUCCCCUUUUCCGUUCUUCGCUUCCAAAAUCCUCAACGUUUUCGACUUCCCACGGACAACCUCUAGCCCCUUCUUUGAGUACUUGGGUGCCACCAUAAUCUCGCAGAACAUCCGAGUUUCACCAUCCGUUGGGCUUGUGAACUCCUGGACUUCCCUCGCCAAGUUCUAUAUGCACAAUAGGACAUUGCAAGGUUAGUGUUGACAUUCAACUCAAUCAACUUUAUCAAGUGAAGCAUUACAAUACUGACUCAGCAAUAGGAGACCCGCACCUACACCAGUGUUGUUUCAAUUUUGAGGGAAGCCCGUGCUGAAUGAGGCUUAAAGUUUUAAAAGCUCACGCCCCUUUUUAUUUAUCAGAGAAUUAUAAUAUAUUAUGGAAUGUGACCAUGGCAUAACAUUUAGCCUAAUUUGCUCAAACUAGUUGACUCAAGAAUGAGCUUCAAUAUGGAACUCUAUGGAUUUAAAAAAUGAGGAGCCUUUUUCAGUUUAUUAUAUUUGGACUCGGUGGGUGUACUAUAUAAGGAAAUUCGAAUUUUCACUUUGUAACUUGCAUAAUGAAAUAAGCAUAUACCUCAUCAAUUUCUAUGUUGAAGGCCACGAUAUCACCAAAUGCACUGACUGGAUCUGCUUUGACUGCUAAUCUGAAUGCUUGAAGAAUAUCGGCGGGGGAAGCCACCCCAUGAGGAUUUGUAUGCUUUAUGACGAUGCAUGUAGGUCACUAAACUCGGAUACACGAUUCCAGGCAGCAUCAACAUCCAGAUAGUUAUUAUAUGACAUUUCCUGCAGCACCAAUACAUAAUUCACAACAAAUGAGAGAUAGAUAUGCUAUUGUUACCACGAUCUGUCAAUGGUUUAAACGAACUUUGCAGAACAAACUACUAUUGCAGUUGCUCAGAGACUUCUAAACAGCAUCCAGUCUCAUCUCAAAAACACAUGGUUAUGAUACUAAAAGGCAGCCAAUUAGUCCCCUGUAUCGCUAAUCUCCUUUGCAAAACAUUGUUAGUGUUUCAUUAUACCUAAACCUUUUGCACGCUCAAAUACACAGAUAGUUAUGUUGAAGAAGCAAAUAAAGUGCCAGAGAGAUUUGAAUUGAGUACCUCCUGUUCUAAUAACAUAUUGACUUCUUGAAGCCUUUGUUAAUUUAUCAAAAAGCUUUAGCUAUAACAUGAAGAUACUAUCUAUUAUUUAGAUUUAAUAACAAGAUUCCAUUUUAGAAACUGCCUCCUCUAUCUAAUGAAGUUUUCAAAGCUAGAUAAUUACUAGAUCCGCUGCAAUUUCAACUUCCUCAAAAGAUUGACCUUGAUGUAAAAAUAUGACAUCAAGGAAUCGCCUUCCAUGAUGUUGGAUUGCAGUUGCAAUACCACCUCCAUUAACCUUAGCAAGACUCUUGUCCACAUGUAGCCUUAUGGUGGGGAUUUUCACCAAUAUGAAGAGAACUUUUAAGAGAUAGAGGCAAUGUUAAGCUAGGAGGGAAUUUCUCUAUCAAAAGGAAGAGUCGUCAACCUCCACAUUUUCGGUUAAAAAACUAAUAGGGUAACAGAACCUACUGAAAUUACUGAUUUCCAAAAGAAACAAACAAAAGGAUACCAUCAGAACCAAGUCUCUAAAAAGCCCCUUACUUGCAUGUGUUUAGACCUACAUGCAUUUUUAAUUGCCUUAGUGGCUAUGACAUCAAUUGAGAACACGAACUAGACGAAUACCUCCAGUUGUUUGUCUCCAUAGCCACUCUGACACUGCAGAAUCAUAGGAAGCAACACUUUGAAAGGCCUUUCAAGCAAGUUUUCUACGGAACUGUUGAUCAUCUCCAUUACUCUUCAGGAACUCUAGCAGUGCAGGGUAGUCGUGUGAAUCAACCACAACAAGGACAUCUGAUGAUUCUGUUAGAAGACAAAUGCCAACAUCAAUUCAAAUUAAGGGCAUAUAAUGGUUCUUGACGCAAAAUUACAGAAAAAUUUACCACAUGCAUAUUGAUACAUAGAGGCGCAAAGCCAGCAACAAUUCUACAAAAAAAGUGCAACAUAUUGGACAUACCUACUUUAGUUUAUAAUUUAACAAGCAUCACAAGAGCAAUUGUUUAGUUUUAGCAUAAAAGCAUGAGAGAAAUCAUUACCCAAAUAGUAAGAAGAUAAUCUGGAGCCGCAAUCUCAAUGUAAAAGUUAACAUACUUUCAGUCAAUUACAUGCCUCGGUUACAAGUGCCGUUGUAGCAAAGUUUGCAUGAUAUCCGUGAGCCUAGAGUGACAGAAGACACCAAUACAAUCAUAAUCCCUCACAUGUCCAAAUUUGGGCGAGCAACGCUCGCUUGGGGCUCGAGCACGAGGGCUCGCUCGAGCGAGCGUCGUUGCUCUGCCGAGCGACCAAAGCAGCUCGAGCUCGGCAGAGCAGCUCCAACGAGCAACGCUCGCUUGGGGCUCGAGCACGAGGGCUCGCUCGAGCGAGCCUCUCGCAGAUCUGGGCAAGCGCUGGAUCGAGCGAGCUGUCGCGCUCGAGCCCCGAGCAGCCGUCGCCCAGAUCUGUGAGGGGUGGCUCUCGCUGAAGCCCUCGUCGAACGGAGAAGGAGGAGCAGCAGAAACUAACCUCGAUUCAGAAGCUUCAGCCGGUAGGAGCAGCAGCUGUCGGCGCCGGAGAGUCAGCCGAGUGGGGAGGCGCCGGAGAGUCAGCCGAGUGGGAGGCGCCGGAGAGUCAGCUGGUGGUGAACUUGUGAGAGACGCCGGAAAAGGGAGAGCGUUGUUUCGGGUAGGGCAUGAACGAAAGAGAAAGGGCACGAACGAAGGAGAAAGGGCACGAAAACGAAGCCCGAAGUGUUCCGGUUUUGUUCUUUUUAGGGCUUCAAGAAGUGUUUCUGGACUCCAGAAGUAAGUUUUUUUUUUUUAUUUAUCUUUUUUAUGUUUCAAUUUUGCUCUAGGAACCAAGGGUGCGAAUGGUAACGGAAACGUUAAAUAAACACGUUUCUGUUCUUUUUUGUUCCCAGGAACAAAAAAACCAAAAAACUGUUCAUAAACACAUUUCAGAAACAAAAACAUACAGGGCCUAAGCUUUUUAUGGACACAUAUUGUUCAAUAGAUAGGCUUUCAAUUUGUUGCGUUGGCACAACUUGUGUGGUCAAUAUUUUCUCCAUGUCUUAGUAGAAUGUAAAAAUAAGUAAAUGCUCAGCCCACGAACGCAUCUAUGUCCAUACACAUGUUUUCAGAAUUUUAUUAAUAUCAGCUAUACGAGAUUGUGCUAUAAAUAUAAUAACGCAAAGAGGCCUAAAAUCGGAAAAGCUCACCUAGAGAAACCCCGCAUUAUCUUCAAUCAAAUCCCUAGAAUGGGAAUGGAAGCUUUCUUGGCAUCGUCUGGUUGAUUGGAGCGAGGUGGAAUGGAAAUAAAAAUGGGGAAUAAAAAUUGCUUUAUUACUGCAUUUUUCGUUAACACGCGGGAAAGUGGAAAUGAGCGAUAAGGCAUGGGAAUGAGUUGACAGUCAAAGGUAAAUUGACAUGUGCACUAAGCUUCGUAUUUGGUAACUGUUGUUUGGACAUAAUAUGGCAAACAUACUUACCUAAUUUACUAUUAUAUAGCAAUUUAAAACGAUAAAAUUCCACCCAUUACUACAUACGUUCCAAUUCCGAUGUAUUAUCAAAUGCAGUGAUCUUCAAAUCAAUCGCUAUUCUGAUUCACUACAAGCAAUUCCAUUUCCCUCUAGUUAUCUCAUGCUUAUGUAACAAAUCAGCCAAAGAAACAAUUUAGAACUCGUAUGGACCACAUCCUCAUCUAAAAUUAAGAACAGAUCAAAGUGCAUGAACCGCAAAAAUUAGGACCAUGAGCGCACGCAUGUCUAGUCUGUCUAAUUCUAUAUUUAUAUAGUGGUAGAUAUAUCCAAUAUGACCUCACUACAUACAUCCAAUUUCCACUCUGGAAUACGUAAUUAAUUGAUUAGGCUUGUUCUUCAUGACUUAUUUUUCCUCCAAUUGCCUUCAUGUUACCUCUUUUGGAAGCAUUCAGUUGAUCUACAUGCAUUGUUUGGACAUGAAGAACUAUUUUAAUAGUUCAGUUUUCAUAAAAAUAUACCAGCUCGAGAUUAUCAAUGGUGUGUGUAUAUGUAAUCUUGUGUACUAAAACUAGCUAAACUCGAAUGAUAUUCCAAUUUGGAUCUAAAAUACCAUUGCCGGAUAAUUUAAUGGAAUGCCAUCAAAUUGUUUUCCCCUAAUGCUACGUUAAAGUACGUAUUGCAUAACUUAGAUACUUUUACCCAAAAUCAUUCCGAAAAAAAUAUAUCAGGACAAAUUCAGAAGUUUUAUAGGAGAUAAUCAUGGAUUAAUAUAGUUUCGUUCCAUUCUUAUAAGAACCAUUCAAAGGAAUUUAUUUCUUCACGUGGGGAGCAAACUCUGCCUUUUUUUAGUCAAUUGUUGACUUGGUUUUGAUUAAUUAGACAUAACUAAAUUCAUUUUUGCUCAAGGUUUGCUGUUUGACAUAUAAUAUCAAAAAUAUAUUUCAAAACUUCACCGCUACAUAUUUACAAUACCCCGCAACAUUGCACGAGAAGUAGCAAAGCUUUUGCUGUUCACAUACCCGUCUGAGCACCUGGGAAAGCCUACUCUCCCAUCUAAUACUGUACAAUUAAGUUAGGUCAAUAUAUCCAACUUCCAUGAUUUUAGGUAUGUGAAUGUGAAUCCACCAGUUGCCAAAUGAAGGACACGAAAGAAAAAGGAAAUAAGUUAACCACGCGGGCAGGAUUGAGAGAUGUGUAUUUUUGCAGGCUACGUAAUGUCUCCGAAUAUAUAGUCAUGAGAUACGGUCCACAAACAAAUGUACGACCAUUCAGUACUCAUUUUCCCAUUUGUCAACUAGGCAUAUUGCUGCAUUACUCAAUUGCAUUCAUUUAACUAUAUGUAAUUUAUUGUUGGAUGACGUACACAUUGCAUCGUAUAAUGUACAUAGAAAUUUCAAUAUUGUUACCGGUACCCACAUGAUCUCGUGAAACAAUAUUUCGAACAAUCUUCUAAAUCUUCUUGAUAAAUAUGCCAUGCACUUGGUACCAAACUAAAAAGCAUUCCGCAACUCUCCCGCUAUGUAAACAUAGUCGACUUGCUAUAUUACUAUCUUUACGAGCUUUUGGAGAAUCGAAGUCGCAAUGUCAUCCAAUAGCAGGGGAUCGAGAAGCAAGAAAAACAUAUUUAGCAAAGCAUGGAACGUGUUCAAGGGGAAACGGGGUUCUUGAGAAGUCUCGUCUAGCAGGACCUAUUGAGAUGUCACCACGUCACCGGUAAGCUCAUUGGUAAAGCCUAUUAAAUUAAUGUCUCGAGUUUGAAUUUGGAUAAUGAUUUGUAAAUCGAAUUUAUUGAUAAAAAUUUUUCAAAUAAAUUUUAAAUUGGAUGAAAAAAAAUUCGUUGGAUUCUUGAAGAUUUAUGAAGGAGGAAAUAAUAGUAUAAAGGAAAAAGGGGAGCAAAGUUUUCUUUAUCUGAGGAGGAGGCCGAAUAAGGUUUGUUACAUGGGGCCAAAGUCAAGUCUUGACUUUUGGGCACACAUAUAAAUAAAAGGCAAGUCUCCGGGAAGAAAAGCUGUCCAAACCUCUCUGCACGUGGAGCCGAAAAAAGAGCUGGUGAGCCCAAGUCAGAUAUUUGAAAAAAGAAUUGGUGAGCUCAGGUCAAAUAUUUGAAAAAAAGAGUGGUGAGCCCAGGUCAAAUAUUUGACCUUUGGGCUCACGAAUUUCCCUUUUUGGUGUGCGUGAAACGGCUUAAGAAAAACCCCCCACGAAAUAAAAGGAGCCGCCGCAGUCGUACAAGUGAAAAAGGAGCCGCACGUAGGAGAAUAUAGAAGCCACGGGAAGCUGUACAUAGAGCGUUUUGUUUUGAGCUUUGAUAAUUUUAUACCGUGAGUUAUAAAAACUUUGAAUUUAAAGUUAAAUCUAGAUAUAGAAAAUAUUUGAGCAUGUAAGUGAUUGUAAACUCUGAUUCUCUAAUUAUAGUGGAUUAUUUGCUGCUGAAUCUUCCCGUAGACGUAGGUACCGAUACUCGGACUGAAUUACGUAAAUUUCGGAUAUCCUUAUUAUUUCUCGUUUAUUUCUUUGGUGAUUUCGCGUUGAUGUAAAUUGCAAAAUCAUGUUGUUUCCGCGUAUUAUAUUUCAACAGAGCCUCAACGGAACUAUCGGGAUGUUGCCACGUCUCCGGUGAGCUGGAGAUCCUCAAGCAAGUCCCAGUCCCGAGUGAGUUCUCGGAGCUCACUGAUGGAGUCUCAGCGGAGAUCCUCGAGUGUCAGCCAAAGCGACGACCAUUAUUACAAUUCUAGUGAAGACAAUCCAUGGCGAGCAAGCUACAGGCAUGGCGCUCUCGCCUAUCGUGGUGAUUACGAUCAAGUGCGAGUGAGAUCGUACCCGUGACCACUCCGGCAGGAAUAUGAUUAUUUUUAUCACACUAGUAUGGGGCAGUAUUAUUCUUGGGGUCUUGACAAUGUCAAUAGUUACGUCCAUGACGACGCGUCUGUUCCACCAUAUCUGCCCCCGCAUACUUCUUAUGGUUAUCACCGUCCAUCCGAGUCUCCCCCGAAUAAUUGUGCGGUGAUGUGAGAUGCCUAAUAUAGUGUGGCUAUAGUUGGUAUUUACUAAUAUCUGGUGAAGUACGGGAUGAGCUAGGGGCAUGGUUGAGCCAUUGGUUUGUUAGCUUUCGCUUGUGAAUCUCAGUGAAGUUUCUUGUUUUAGUUAGUGGUUUCGAACGUGAUGGAGUUUGAUUGAAAUCGCUUUGCCAGUUAACGAAGGUUAUAUACUUAUUUUAUGAAGUUUCAUCUAGUUCGUAGAUGCUAAACAUUUCUAUUAAAAUUUUACUAAAAUUAAGGGCACUUAAUUCCAUCAAUUGUCUAGGGUUCUACUUCUAUGAACAGAUGUUCCCUAACCAAUCAUUUAUCACAAAAACUAAACCAAAUGAAAAACGAUUUAUAAAAAUAGUAAAAAAAAAAAGAAAAAGAAAAAUUGGCCACGCCAUUCCUUGGAAAUUCUUCAUUCUUCAAGGAAGACCUUUAAGGAUCCAAGCUUUCUUGUGAUCCUUCGUGUUCAAACUUCAAGUAGCUUUGAAUGUGCAGAUAUACAUUGAAAUUCGUCUUUCCAGAUGCUUAUGGCAUCUCCAUUGAGAUGCAUAUACAUGGAGGAAAAACUUUUCAAGCUCAUCCAUUUAAAAAUUGGGCUUCUUGCUUGAUGAAAUUCAGUGGACAAAGACGAAAGAAAACGUUUUCAGUUAAAAAGAUCAAAACCGAAAAUAUUCUCCACUCAGUCCGUCGGAAGCAAUUGAAUUGUUGAUGUAUCGACAUAAUAAUAAAACAGGAAAGAGAUUUAUUUAUUUCAAUAUCUUCUUUAGUGAAAAAUAUAGUAAUCUAUUUAUAAAUUUUAUGAAGUGACUAUCUGAAAUAACAAAAUAUUACACAUAUCAAUGACGAUCAAUGAAAAACCAUUCAAUGAUAUGCAUAAUCAAAUGAACAUAGUGCACAAUUAUGAUAGAUAUACAAAAUCAAUGGAGAUUUAAAGAAUCUACUUUAUAUAGAGACAUAGAAGAAGUCAAUUGCAGGUUGGUGCCUUAGUGAAUAUAUUAGCAGUCUUAUCAACUGAAGAAGUGGAGACAAGAUGCGCAAUGUCACGAAGCACGUGAUACACGUGAAACGAUAGUCUCUUUCAAUAUGUUUGGUGCUUUUAAAAAAAAAAACAUUAUUAUAUGCUUUUUGGAUCCAAUUGUCCUAAUAAAUAAGUAUUCUGCCGUUAAGAUGACACUUAUAUGUCCUCUAAUAACCAUUACAAAUACAGUAAUUUUGAUGUUGUAUUAGCAAAAGCAUGAUAUUCAGCUUUCAUGCUAGAUGGAGCGACAAUGGUCUAUUUAUCGUUAUGCUAUAAGAUAAGUGAGUUACUUAGAAAGAAGCAGUAGCGUGUAGUGAAGUAAUAAUCAAGAGGGUCUCCUGCCCAAUGAGCGUUAGAUUUAGUUAAAAAGAUUGAACUGAAAAAUGAUCUCCACUCAAUCUGUUGAAAACAAGUGAAUCACUUAGUUCAAUGGAAGAAUCGCCACAUGAAUAAUGGGUAAGGGAUUUUGUCUCAGGGAAUAAACUAUGAAUCCAUUAAAGCUCCAUUCGUUUCACGAAGCACAAUUUCCAGAAAAGUACUUUUUGGAUUUUCUGACAUUCAUUUCCUAAAAAAUGAACUAAUUGUGAAAAGCAUUUUCCAUCGACAAAAAGAGUUUUCUAAAAUAGAGAAAAUGGUUUCCACUUUUCAAGAUGAAGAAAACAUUUUUUCUUACUUAGUUUCUCUUAUCUCAUACCUAUGUCAACCUUUUCAUCUUUUUUCCUUGAAAAAAAUCGAAUUUUCAAUUAUUUUUCCUUUUCUUGUUUUUCACUUUCAAGCUCGAAACUCAUUGGAAUUUGGCGAGUCUUAAGCUCGCCUUUGGCCAGUCGCUGGCCAUCACCAUGGUUGAUCAAAGAAGAAGAAUAUAAAAAGAAAGAAAAGAAAAAGAAAAAUUAAAAUAAUUUAAAAAUCGAUUUCAAGAAAAAAAAUUUAAAAAAAAUUAUUGAAAAAGAGUGCAUGGAGGAAAACAUUUUUCUUAUCGAACAACAGAAAAUAUUUUAUAAUUUAUUUUCAAAUUUCAGUUGCACACUACAAAAUAUAGCUACCUUCUUGAAAAAUGGUUUCCUAGAAAAUAACUUUUGGAAACAUCACAUUUUAUGUGAAAAGAAUAGAAUCUUAAUUGAAAAAUGAUUCGUUUGACAUAGCCUGGAGAUAGGCUUCUUUGUCCAUUGGCAACUAGGAAUACAACCCCAAAGUGCCAUUAUUAUUAUUUUGCCCCAAUUUCAAAUGCAAAUAGGCCUUCUAUUUAUUUUAGGGAAAAUUGCAAAAAAGGGCUCGAAGUGUUCUCAUCUUCUCAAGUAAGAGCUCGAAGUGGACCUUAUUUCAAAUAAGCGCCUGAAGUGCUAUCACUUUAUCAAAUAAGGGAUUGAAUUGAAUUUUCUUUUGAAUAAGGGCUUGAAAUGGUUAUGCCCGUUUCAAAUAAGAGUCUAAAGUAAUUAUAUUUAUUUUAAAUAAGGGCUUUCUCUUCUUUUUUUCCCUUCCUUUUUUAUGGUUCUUCUUCUUCCUCUUCAUCGGUGGUCAAAAGGUUGGGCGAGGAUCGUCUUCACCCAAUUCGGCGAGUGCCACCCGUAUCAACCAAAAGUGAGGAACGGGUUCACCUAGGUGAGGCCACCCUUGCGGCCAUUUGCAAGGGCUCGACAACCUCGUCGGCCACGGGUGAGGGUGGCCUCGCUCACAAUCAGCAAGGGCUUGCAGGCCAUUGUUAGCCAUUCCUAGUAGCUAGCAAGAUCGUUGACCCCUUGCAAAGAAAAAAUAAGAUAAAAGAAAAGAAAAUUUGGAUGAAAACUUCUUGGCUGGUUGGAUAAUUUAGUUGGCCGACAACCGCCGAAGUCGGACCAUUAUUUAAAACAACAAUGGCUAUAUCAAUGCCUUUAUUUAAAACAAUUGAUGCCAUUUCAAAUUCUUAUUUGAAAUAAGGUCUAUUUCGGGUUUUUAUUUGAAAAAAUGAGGCACUACAAGACUUUUUUUUGAAAUUUUCCCUUUAUUUUAUUUUAGGUUGCAAUUCAUGCCCGUGGACUGAACUAAAAUAUACUCUUUCUCUCUCUCUCUUUUUUUUUUUUUUCAACUUAAAAAAGCCGCUUGAUCAAAUAUUAUUUAUCUUUAGCAAAUGCACCUUGAAUCAAGGGGGAAAUGACUUCGCAUUUCUUCAGAAGUCUUCCAAACGCAAGUGCUCAUGUCAACAUUUGCAUCAAGAUUUCUAACCUUUCGUUUCGAAAAAGUAUAGUUGCUGCGAUUUUUCUUUUCGUAUUUUAUAAAAUAAAAAUAAAAAGUCAAAAACACACGGCGCAUCACGUUGACCAUCAACAGUCAAUGCAUGCCGAUCAGCAGGCGCUGUCCAUGUCUCGAUCUCAUCGUCACAAGCGAAGAAUGUGAACCAAGCGAUCAACCAUCGAUCUUCGAAGGAGAAGACUUCACAGAUUGCGCUUCUUCCGUCGGCGAUCGUCCUCACUUCCUCUCCAAUCGCCUCCCAGCUUCCUCCUGCAUCCUGAAAAUCCGUAUGGCGGCGGCGCUCGUCGGCGGAGCAUUUCUCUCGGCUUUCCUCCAGGUGCUCUUCGAUCGGAUGGCCUCCCGCGAGGUCGUCGACUUCUUCCGGUCGCGCAAGCUCGACCAGGGGAGGCUGCUCCAGAAGCUGGAGGCUGCGCUCCUGUCCGCGAACGCCGUGCUGGACGACGCGGAGGAGAAGCAGAUGACCAACGACUCCGUCAGGAAGUGGCUCGACGAGCUCAAGGACGCCGUGUACGACGCCGACGACCUGUUCGACGAGAUCGCCACUGAAGAUCUGAAGUGCGAAGCCGGGGUCGAGCCUCGGGCUCUCGUUUCUAAGGUCUGGAGCUUUGCUGCAGACGCUCGUAGGAGUAAAUUGGGGGAUAAGUUAGAGAGGGUUCGGGAGAGAUUGGGGGAUAAGUUAGAGAGUAAAUUGGGGGAUAAGUUAGAGAGGGUUCUGGAGAGAUUAGAGAGCGUGGUGAAGCAGAGAGAAGUGCUGGGCCUAAGGGAAGGCAUUCGCAGGAGGACGGCUAGAGCUUUGCCGACCACUUCGUUGGUCGAGGAAUUGGGAGUUUUCGGGAGGGAGAAGGACAGGGAGGCGGUGAUCGACUUGCUCUUGUCAGAUCGGGGCGAAAAUAACACCAGCGUGAUGGCCAUCGUUGGGAUGGCCGGUGUCGGUAAGACAACGCUAUCUCAGCUCGUGUUCAACGAUGUUGCGGUGAAGGGGAGUUUCGAGUUGAGGGCGUGGGUUUCCGUGUCCGACCAAUUCGACAUCUGCAAGCUGACGGCGACGGCUCUCGAGGAGUUCUCCUCCCCGUCUAAGAAGGAGACCGAAAAUCUCAACCAGCUUCAGCUCCAACUGAAGGACUUCUUGACUGGGAAGAAAUUCCUAUUGGUGUUGGAUGAUGUUUGGAAUGAGGACUCAAAUCUUUGGGAUGCGUUCCUAGUUCCAUUUAUCUAUGGAGCAAGAGGCAGCAAAAUCGUCGUGACGACACGAAAUGAAAAUGUCGCAUCGGUUGCUCGUGCCUUCUCGAAAUACUAUUUACAGAAGUUACAAGACAAGGAAUGUUGGGACUUGUUCGCAAAACAUGCAUUUGACGAGCAUAACUUCGAGGCGCGCACGAGACUUGAAGAAAUCGGGCGAAGAAUUGUAAAGAGAUGUGAUGGAUUGCCUCUUGCGCUGAAGACUAUAGGUAGCUUGUUACGCGGUGAGUCUGAUAUCAGGAAGUGGGAAAAUAUUGCAGAGAGUUAUAUUUGGAAUUUGGCACCUGGAAAGAAUGGAAUUCUCCCUGCGUUGUUGUUAAGUUAUCAUUACCUUCCUCCACAACUGAAACGAUGUUUCGCUUAUUGUUCACUCUUCCCAAAGGAUUGUAUAUAUGAGAAGGACCAGCUGAUCUUACUUUGGAUGGCUGAGGGUUUGAUAGAACAACCUAACGACAGCAGGACAUUAGAGGAGGUAGGUGAUCAAUGCUUCUGUGAUCUUGUGUCUAGAUCUUUGCUUCAUAGAGUAAGUGAUGUCGAAUCAAGCUUCUCGAUGCAUGACCUGGGAGUAAGCGAUGUGAAAUCGAGCUUUUCGAUGCAUGACCUGGUCAAUGACUUAGCAAGAUAUGUAGCUGGUCGUUCUUUUUUCAGCUUGGACGGAGGCAAUGCACACCAAGUGUCCUCAAGCACUCGCCAUUUGUCAUUUGUAAGAACUCAAUGUGAUGUCGCUUCCAGAUUCAAAGUGCUAGCCGGGGCAACGAAUUUGCGUACUUUCCUGCCGCUGAACGUGGAUCAUGUGAGAUUUCGCGAGUGCAAUUUGUUGACUGAUGAGGUACUGCAUGUUCGGUUGCCGCCCCUGAGACAGUUAAGGGUGCUAUCUUUGUCUCAUUAUUGGAAAAUCUCUACGUUGCCCAGUUCAAUUGGACGUUUGAAGCAUCUGCGCUAUUUGAAUCUCUCCCAUAAUGAUAGUCUAAUCAGAUUGCCUGAUACAAUUACAGCUCUAUACAACUUGCAAACCUUAAUUCUUGCUUACUGUUGUUCUCUCGUUGAGUUACCGAGCAACAUGGGCAGCCUAACCUGUCUGCGUCAUCUUGAUAUAAGGAAGACAUCCCUGAAGAGAAUGCCACAGGGGAUGAACAGACUGAAGAAUUUGCAGAUAUUAACUAAUUUCGUGGUGGCCAAAAACGAUGGGACUAGGGUUAGGGAGCUAGGGGAGCUAGGGGAUCUUAUGGGUACACUCUCCAUACAGGGUUUGCAGAAUGUUGAUAGUUACCGAGAUGCUGAGACAGUCAAUUUGCGGGAAAAGAGGUACUUGAAAAAGUUAGUACUGCAAUGGGGUUCUGAUAACAAUAUUAUGCAGCAAAAUUGCUUAAAUGUAUUGGACGAGCUGCAACCUCACUGGAACUUGAGAGAGCUUAUCAUUACAUCCUAUAGUGGUAGGUCAUUUUCCAAUUGGCUGGGACACAGUUCAUUCUCUAAUAUGUCUGUCGUGCGUCUUGAGACAUGCAAGCACUGUGUGUCAUUGCCUCCUUUAGGACAGCUACCAUCUCUGGAGAGGUUGAUAAUCGAAGGAUUUGAUGGAGUUACAAGUGUGGGUACUGAAUUCAAUGGUAGUAACUGUAUACCUUUUCAGUCACUAAAGUACUUGGAAUUUGCUGACAUGCACAGUUGGAAAGAGUGGGCUUCUUUUGCAAUAGAGACAAGAGGUCUUACCUUUGCACAUCUGCAGCAGCUUUGUAUUAGAAAUUGCCCGCGGUUGAGUGGAGGUUUACCCGGCCAUCUCCCUUCUCUAACAACCUUGUCCAUUGGAAAGUGCCCACAGCUAGCGUCUUCUCUACCAAUUGCACCACUUCUCCGUGAGAUCAAGUUGGAUGAUUGUGGAAAGGUUUCGGGAGUUGAGCCUCUCGUAAAUGGCACUGAGUUACGAGAUAUUGAAAUCAAGAAUCUUUCAACUCUUCCCUCGAGGUUUCUUCCUCCUACCAUGACAAGACUCCAUCUUGAAGACUGUCAUGAAAUAGAGUUGCCAAUACAUAGAUGCCAUGAAUCUCUCCAACAUCUAAACUUAUGGCGGAGCUGCGAUUCACUUGUAUCCUUUCCUCUGGAAAUUUUCCCCUCGCUUAAGAAAAUUCAGUUGCGGGAGAUUCAAAAUUUGGAACGUCUUUCAAAUUCAUACGGUUCUCCACUUCUUUCGAUGUACAUUAGUUGUUGUCCUGAAUUUAGAUCUUUCCCUGCGAAAGAAUUUUCUGCCCCAUGCCUCACUUCAUUAGAGUUGGAUCACUGCUGUCAUCUAAACUAUCUGCCAGAAAACAUGCAGGCUCUCCUUCCUUCGCUUCGGUCACUGAAAAUAUCCUCAUGUCCACAACUCGAGUCAUUUCCCGAGCGGGGUUUACCCUCCAAGUUGGUGGCGCUUUCACUCUUUGAUUGUAACAAGCUCAUCACUAGCCGCCAGGAUUGGGGUCUUAAGUCACUAUGCUCUCUUGAAACUUUUGCCAUUGGGCAAGACAAAAAUAUAGACUCAUUUCCUGAGAUAGGGCUUCUGCCAACCUCUCUUACCUUUUUGAAUAUAUUUGGCUUUGAGAAUCUGACGUCCCUGAACUCCAAAGGGCUUCAUAGCCUGAGCUCUCUUGAAAAACUUUUUAUUAACCAGUGUCCUAAGCUCCAUUCGUUCCCAAAAGAGGGACAAAUUCUGCCGCCUUCUCUUACCAGUCUGGUGAUUUUUAAUGUGGGUCUAAAAUCACUGGAUAACUUAGGGCUCCACCACCUCACUUGUCUCAAAAACUUCCGCAUAGUUGGCUGCGGAAGUCUUCGAUCCAUGCCAGCGAAGGGCUUGUCAUCCUCCCUUUCCUAUCUAUUUGUCCAUGGGUGCCCUUUGCUGGCGAAAAGAUGCCAGCGGAAGAAAGGAAAAGAUUGGCUCCUAGUUUCGCACAUUCGCUGCAUCGUGAUUGAAGGUGUGCUCGUCACAUGAUCUUAUAUCUUGUUUUACAAUCCCUCCUUUUACCAAGAUCUCACUCAGGUGUCUCCCUUGGCCCUACACUAAGUAAGCUAUUUAUUUAUUCACGACAUACUUCAGUCGCUCUGUGAUCAAGCACUAACAUCUGCCUGUAUUUGCCACAUGCUACUCUAAUAAUGCUCCACAAUGGAGAUUAUAUGUAGUUUUACCGGCUUUCCAUUGUUGUUCCUACAAUUGGGCUGCAUAAUUUAUUUAUUGGUUGACGAAUUAUUUAGCUAGAGCGCCUACUUUUCCCCUUCUCCAUUCUCUCUAUAUAAAUCGCACUGCCAUACUUCAGCUAAGCAUCUGUCACAAUCUUUAUACCCUCAUCUGGAAAUGAUUAUUUUAUUGCUACUUUAUGUUGCCAUCAGUUAACAGUAGUUAAUAGAGCAAAGAGAUUCAUGGCCAUCUAAAGAAGGCCUAGCCUUGAUUGGGCCAUCCGGAUGAAAUUAUUUUUUCUCACGUCCUCAAGUUAAAAAGAGAAUAAAUUUGCUCUUAUCAACGCAUGCUUUCUGUUGCAUAAAGCUGGAUAAUAUUUCGAGGGAGACGUAAAUUCUUAAGACUUGGCAUGACUCAUGAAUGACCUGUGCUACGCUUGCUAGAACAGUGUGGUAUCAUGGGUGGAGUGUGUUUCUGUUUGCUUUAUAUUUUUAUUUGUCAAUUUCAGCUUAACAUCACUCUAAAGUUGUACAAUUUAACAAAUAUUCCCUACCGACAUGUAGAAUUCUAAUCCAUGGAAUGUGAAAAUGAACAGUUCAAGAGAUGCGAGUGACUCGGUUUUUUGUAGUGACAUCUCCACUUUUGUCACUAAUUAUAUCAUGAUAUCCAACUAAAUCCGUCAAACAGAAGUCUAAAAAAAGUGUGAAAAAGUUAGGUUUUUAUUUGUUGAAGUUGAAAGUUUGCAUCUCAAAAUGCAAUUUGAUCAAAUUAUAUGAACCUAUUGUAAUUUACCCUAUUUUGAGAGAAUAUAGUUUCUUUUGAGGGAAUUUAAGUGGUUUUAUGUGCACUAACUGUUGAGGAGCUUCUGUGGUUGGAGAUAGAGCUGGAAAUGUAUUGCUGGCUUUUAGCUCGAUUAGAGUAUCCUUUAGUUGUUAAUACUUGUCUUUCAAUCAUUGCAGGUGGAGUGCUUCUAGAUGGGGCUAGACUAACUAAUGUUCCAAAAAUACAUUAUGCAUCCACGAUUAGCAAUACAGGCACUUGCUUUAUUGAGAUGCAUGAAUGAAUUGUGUUAGAAAAAGUCGAACAAUGUGGGAUUAGUAUUGGCAUGGAAUAGUUAAUAUAUCUUAGUUGGCCAUUGCUUUAAGCUUUUGAGUAAAAGUGGCCUAACUGGAUUAAUUGAAAGGUUUGGACUUGGUCUCUCUCUUGGUUUCCGCUACGCGCUCCCAAGCCAAUCAUUGAUUGGUGGCAACCUGUUGGCGCAAAAGAAUACUUGGAUUAAGGAGGAAGUAUACUAAACAUCGAGCUUACAUGUAAGAGGGAGAUAAGAACUGAUGUGGUGUGGACUUAAUAUAUCUUAGUUGGUCCAUGAUUCAUUGACUUAAGCUUUUGAGUAUAUGUUAGGUCCGACUAUAUUUAUUGACGAGGUCGAACUUAGGUUCUCUCUUGGUGAUCUCCCAUGUGAUGGCAUUGGGUUUUUGCUAGGCACUACCAACAUGCAGUGGUGGAUGUCGAAUUCUGCUUUGGAUGGACCUAUUCUUCUCCCACGAUAUCAAGAUAGUUUCAGUAAGAGGGUUGUGAGACAGUAAUGCUCAGUCUUCGCAAGAUGAGUGGAUUCUGAGGAUAUGGAGCAGCAUAGGCAAUGGGAUGGUGGAAAUUGGCAAGGAAAACAAAUCCAUUUUUCAUGCAGUCAGCAAGCCAAGUGAUCACUGGAAAUGACAGAAUCAAGGUCAACUAGGAGUAUCGAAAUUUCAUUGUCACUUUGCAACUUGUGAGAAAUUGUUUACCGAUGAGUGCGAGUGCAGGAGAGGCACUCCAAUGCGAUUGCAACGUUUAAUUAAACGCAACAACAUGCCAUGGGGAAGUACUUGCCUAAUGGUUUGGUUCGAUUGUUGUUUAUGCAAGCUGACACUUGUCGUAGUGGAGAAACAAGAAACCAUUCAAGGUAAAGCGGAUCCAAAGCAUGACCUGUAGUUGUACAUCCCAGGUGUCGAUGUUGUAGCAUUGGAAGCAAGGAUCAUAUCGGAAACUGAUGAUGGGCAUGAGAUGAGUGGGUUAUGGAGAGAUUGUUUGAUAUAGCUUUUCGAUGGUAGUUGUGACAGUAAAACUGGAUGCUUUUGCUUUCGCAAGGUAACAUCUCAUAAUUAUCAUAUGGAACCGGGAAGCUGUCCCGUCUAGCUUUUAGCUGUUGCUAUGUGUUACUUGUGACAUCCUGAUUUCGAGUCUGAUUUCGAUGAGAUGAAAUGGGCUUUUCAUCGACGCGCUUAUAGCCUUAUUCUCUGAGAGGGGCCCUCAUGGGUGAAAUCAUUAAUGGAUUUUAACGCAAUAAACUUGAGAAUUCGACUAAGAGUCGACUACUCGACCGUGUUGAUUUGCAAGGGUCAUUACGACAUUGCCAGAAAUCGAUCAGGGACCAGAGUGUGGGUGAUUCCACCUGAUUGCAAAAUAAUCAUCGAUCGACACUAGACCGAUUUUUCUAUCGUUUUGGUACCCGGUACCCGUAAAUGAAAUCUCGAGAUUUUCACGACAAUUGAGGGUCGCCAAUAUGUCGAAGAUAUACAAUGUGACUCGAGAUAAAUUGAUCACAGGUCAAUUGCACCAAAAAUUCCUAGAAGUUAUCCGGUCAUGCUAAAAGCGUGCCGAAUUGAAAUUAAUCGCGAACUGGAACCUGAUUUCAGAAAUCGAAAGUUCUGUCAUGUUACAAUCUAUUUUAGGAAUUUCGACUCAUCCUUCAAAGAAUUUUCGGAGAUCCUGGUAUUUUUAUGGAAAUUUGUUUCAGACGUUGCGGAAAAUUAGCGGAAAUUCGGAUGAACCAAAUUAAAAAAAAUUGGGACUUCCAAGCCGAGCCUUUGAGCGUCAGAGACUUACAGAAAAUUGUUUGGGUUGUUUCCUUGGCAAAAUUGGACCUCAAUACGGAGAUUUGAGUGAGGAAUUGAAGUUAAUAUUGGUAAAAUUCGGAUUAAGGCAUGGGGAAGCAUCUUUGGCUUCAAAAAUUGGAUAAUUGGUGGUUUAUUUUGUGGAUUAUAAGGCUGGAAAGUAUUAUGAGACAUUAGAAUAUUUGUGAGGAGUUUGAGGGGACCAAGCAAUCAAUGGAAGGGAUAGAAUUGGUGGGCUUCUUUAGCAAGUCAAGGCCGCCGCCCUCCUCCUUCUUGCGUUUCAAUCCGUCGACCCCUUCUGCUUUUGCUCUCGCUCUCAUUAUUUGCUUUCUACCUCAUCCCCAUUUUCAUUUAUUCCUCACGCCUCUUCCCAUCAUCAUCACCAAUCCAUCAUCCAACGUCCACCAAUUUCUCCACUCACUCUCUUCCUCGCAGCCAUAUAAGCCCACGAACGAAGCCUCCACUAAGUCAAACUUUCUUGGCCUAUUUUGGUUGUUGACUCCUCUUGCCGGGCGUCUUUCAAUCCACGAGACUGCAGCUCCACCACUUCCUCUCUCUCUCUCGUUGAACCCUCUGCCAUCUCACGUCCGAAGUUCCAUCCCUCUUCUCCACCGAAAUUCAACAACAGCUGAAGACCACUGAAGCCACGAAACAGCUUCCGUUCAUCCACCGAGAUCCCAUCUCUUAACGUGCUGCUGCCUGCCACUCCAUGCUAGCGCCUUUUGAAGACCGAGCAAAUCAACGCCUCCAUGAUUUCCAUUUGUCCAGCAACCGAAUCUACACGUCCCAGCUUCUUCGGUCAAAACCCCAAGUCGAAGCCCUUCCAUCAUCGACCGAAGCCGUCCCACGAAUCGUCCAGCAGCUUCGGUCUAUUUCAUCUCGUGGAUCAGCCGCAACAAAGUCUGCAGCCCAUCCAACCUGUUCUCAGCCCAGUUGAAGUCUUCAAGUCCAGCAAGUGUCUUCGGCCCAUUGGAUUUUGGCCCAAUCUAGCGAAGCCCAACAAGAUCAGAAGCCCGCAAUUUUGGGGCCCAAGCCCACAAAGUCAGCCCGCUUCAGGCCCGGUCCAAUUCAAAAACAAAUCUCAUAGUGGACUAAGAUUUGUUGGGCCCGUUUUAGACUCGACCCGAGUGUUCGCCAACGCCGCCGAAAAUUCAGAUUUCGGCCGUUGUCGCGUCGUCAUUGCGGUGAACCGGUUUCCGCAAUUAACCGGUGAGUUUAUUUACUAAACUCUUCUUAGUAGACUAAUGACGUCUAAGGGGUGUUUAGAUUUAUUUAAUUAGAAAUUAGGUGGUUAGUUAGAUUAAUUUAGUGAUUUAAUUAUGUACUUAUGCAUGUUAGGUGGUUAAAUUAGAUUAAGUGAGGCCUAGAUAAAUUGUGUUAUUUAUCUAGAAGGGUUCGGGAAUUUUCCGGGUCCGUAUUGGUAUUUAAUUUAGUGAUUUUGGCCUAGGUUGGCAUUUUAGUAUUUAAAUUGAUUUAUUUAAUUAAUUUUAGAAAUUAUUUAAUAAUUAAUUCUUUUUCGGAAAUUAGUCCUGGAUAGCUGGUGACUGGAGUUGCGUACUGAUUGCAAUGGUGUGUUCAAUUUUUGCAGUUGGAUGUUAAUUUGUGCAAAUUGAGUGCUGAUUCAAUUCCAAAAAUUAUGAAUUUCGAUAUUUAUUCAGAAAAUCCCGAGUAUUGGGUUUUAACACCAAAAAUAGUUUUAUACACUAUAUAAACCAGUGGGAUUUUAAAUUGGAGAUAUCAAUUUUUCUAGUGUAAAUUGACCGUGUACCCAUACACAACUAUUUUACCGUGUAUUUAUAAUACGAAGAAAAUAGGCCAGGUUCACUAUUUUAAUUGAGACAUUUGAGUACAAUGCACAGUGUCCUGGGUCGAGAUUGAUUGGUCGUGUGUUGGUUAAGAAAAACUGUCAUAGGCUAUUAAGCCGGACGUUACCCAUUCAUUGGGACUCGGGUCGUAGUAGAUUUUGGACCUACGCUCCUUUGGGAAAGCCGUCUAAUUGAGAGACGUCGUCGUGCUCAUGGUGGGAGACAAAGCCUGGUUAUGCCAGAAGACACCAAACUUAUGAGUAGGUUGUACUCAGGUUGCAGUAGAUUUUGGACCUACGCCCCUUCAGGGAAGUCGUCUAAUGGAGAGACGUCAUCGUGCUCAAAGGAGGUGAGACGACGCCUGGCAAUGCCAAAAGACCGCCAAUUUUGGAGUUAGCCGUACCUUUAACUGGUAUAAUUAACAAUUGGAACACAUGAUGGUUGAGUUUGAUGCACUUGAUUAUGAGAUCAAAACUGUGUGGCGUGGAACAGGUUCCUAGUGAUUAAUUGAAUUGAUGAGAUGUUCCAGUUGUUAUGUGCAUUAGUUAUAUGCAUUGCGAUAUGAAUUAUACUGACCUGCAUGAAGGAACUGAGGCGAGGUAAGUUCCUUGUUCUAAUUGUAUGGUUGUGUGGCUAGAGCGCCCUGAAGCGUAUUUCCCUCCUAAUCAGGGUUUAAUGGGUGUACUUGCUAAAACAUUGUUUCACUGGUUAUUGAAUAACCAUUUUCAGGUCCUUAGAAGGCGGUCGUGGAAGACCAAGGUCUCAAAGUCUAAGGAGGAGAAAUAUGGAGGACCAGUGGAUAUGUCCUAUCAGUAUGUCGUAGAACAGCCUCUUGUGAGAGUCGAUCAUUUUCUAGGCUUUCGACUAAACUCGUUUUGUGCCUGAAUCUCGUUGUUUAUAGAAGUGUGCUUUUAUGAAUUGAUAUCAUUCUUUUCUAUCCUGAGAUAAUUAUUGUUAGGGGAUUUAUUUUCACUUCCGCAUGUGCUUAAAAAUCAAUGGGUCGGCGACUCGUCUGGGGAAGUCACAAAAUUUUAUCGACCAGAGAGGGAUGGGCACGCGCUUAGGGUUCGAGGCGUGACAUUACCAAAUGAUCGCAACUACGAUUAUACCAAACGGGCCCCGAGUUGAGCUUCAUAGUCUAUACAAGAUCGGGAGGGUUUGAAGAAUUGGUUGGUUGAUUCUUCCCUCUCUUUGGUUGAGUGGUUCAUCUCUUCUUCAAAAGCACCUCUAAUUCUCUAGGACAGACUUAAGCAAGGAGAGGGUAUAUCUCCUCCAUUCAAGCGUGUACCCCCAUUCAAGUGUGUACUCGUUUUGCUAUAGGAGGGUAUAACAUAUAAUGAAUAAGUGAAUUUGGGGUCUUGUACGAGUCGACUUAUUUGUCAUGUUUGAGUUUGAAAUCAUCAUAUGUACAUCAAAAGUAGUGGUGUAUGUAUAUAUAAGGAUGAACAACCUGAUUUGAAUGAAUCACAUAGUUAAGAAAGAUGAAUCAAAUAACCUUCAUUUCCAAUUUCAAAAUCUGUAAAGGCGUCAUUUCUCGAUAUGGAGAACCAGUACAGAAACCUUGUGGCUAUGCAAGAUAGACAAUUAUUUUGAAACGAUGUAGUGUAUUCUACUAGUCAACGCCGGCAUAACUAGCAGUGGAUGCCGAUCCUGAUGUAACUAUUUUGAAAUGAUGUAGUGUAAUAUAUCAACUCCAGCACAACUAGUAGGUGGAUGCUGAUCCUGAUUUAACUCCCACAAAUUCGCAAGUGAGAAGGGGAGAUGAAGCAUCUAAGAAAGAGAAAAACUCUUUCGCUCGCUAAAUAACUUGGACAUAUAGACCAACAAGAAUUGUGAUCUUCCUAGCACUAGCGUUCACCCAACCAAAACACCCACAGCAACUCGAAAGUGAUCGGGAAAAAGAUAGACUGCAAGACAAGAUGCACGACGCAAGUCAUAUCUCGCAACAUAAUAUCAUCAGGGUAGUUAACAAAUAGCAUCUCCUAGUCUCAAUUCGUCCAACUGAGGAACAACAUAGCACGACCCCUGUUUUAAACUGAAAUUUAUCAAUUUCUAGCAUCGCAUUCCCGAGCAUCAACUAGGCUAGACAUGUGCAUAAGAGUGAAGUCGUGCAUGAUUGUGCAGCAAACAGAGCACAAGAAGAAAACCACCUAACUGAUCCAACCAAACCUCAAAAACAGAAAUGGUUAUGGGUACGUACAGUCGUGAGGCAAACUCCUAUUGGACAGUUCCAAAAUGACCACCUAGCUCAAUACAGUUCUCCAUAGUUUACCGUAUCACUUGAUUAAAUAUCGUUUAUCUUGGGCGAAUGCACCUUAUUUUAGAAGGGAAAUGACCCCGCAUUCUUCAAAAGCCUUCCAAACGCAAGUGCUCAUGUCGAUAUUUGCAUCAACGUUUCCAAUGUCUCAGUUUCAAAAAAUUACAGUUUUUCUUUUUUAAUAAAAAAAACAGUCGAAACCACAUGGUCCAUCACGUUGACCCAUCGUUGGUCAACGUAUAUGCCAACCAGCAAGCGCUGUCCAUGUCCACUUCGAAGGAGAAAGACUUCACAGACCGCUGCUUCUUCUUCUUCUUCCGUCGGCGAUCGUCUUCACUUCUUCUCCAAUCGGCUUCCAGCUUCCUCCUGCAUCCUGAAAUUCCCUAUGGCGGCGGCGCUCGUCAGCGGAGCAUUUCUCUCGGCUUUCCUCCAGGUGCUCUUCGACUGGAUGGCCUCCCGCGAGGUCGUCGACUUCUUCCGGUCGCGCAAGCUCAGCAAGGGGAGGCUGCUGCAGAAGCUGGAGGCUGCGCUCCUGUCUGCGAACGCCGUGCUGGACGAUGCGGAGGAGAAGCAGAUGACCAACGACUCCGUCAGGAAGUGGCUCGACGAGCUCAAGGACGCCGUGUACGACGCCGACGACCUGUUCGACGAGAUCGCCGCCAACGAUCUAAAGCGAGAAGCCGGGUACGAGCCUCGGGCCCUCGCUUGUAAGGUCUGCAGCUUCGCUUCGGACGCUUGUACGAGUGGACUAGGGGAUAAUUUAGAGAAGGUUCUGGAGAGAUUGGAGAGCGUGGUGAAGCAGAGAGAAGUGCUGGGCCUAAGGGAAGGUAUUCGCGAGAGGACGCCUAGAGCUUUGCCGACCACUUCAUUGGUCGAGGAAUCGGGCAUCUUCGGGAGGGAGAAGGACAGGAAGGCGGUGAUCGAGUUGCUCUUGUCGGAUCGGGGCGAAAAGAACACCAGCGUGAUGGCCAUAGUUGGGAUGGGCGGUGUUGGCAAGACCACGCUAUCUCAGCUCGUGUUCAACGAUGAUGUGGUGAAAAGGAGUUUCGAGUUGAGGGCGUGGGUUUCAGUGUCCGACCAAUUCGACAUCUGCAAGCUGACGGCGAUGGCUCUCGAGGAGUUCUCCUCGUCUAAGAAGGAGGCCGAAAAUCUCAACCAGCUUCAGCUCCAGCUGAAGAACUUAUUGACAGGGAAAAAGUUUCUAUUGGUCUUGGAUGAUUUUUGGAAUGAGGACUUCAAUAUUUGGAAUGCGUUCCUAGUUCCUUUUACCUAUGGAGCAAGAGGCAGCAAAAUCAUCGUGACGACACGAAAUGAAAGAGUCGCAUCGGUUGCUUGUGCCGUCUCAACAUACCCUUUACAGAAGUUGCAAGACAAGGAAUCGUGGGACUUGUUCACAAAACAUGCGUUUGACCAGCAUAACUUCGAGGUGCGCUCGAGACUUGAAGAAAUCGGGCGAAGAAUUGUAAAGAGAUGUGAUGGAUUGCCUCUUGCGCUGAAGACUAUAGGUAGCUUGUUACGCAGUGAGUUUGGUAUCAGGAAGUGGGAAAUAAUUGCAGAGAGUGACAUUUGGGAUUUUCCACCUGGAAAGAAUGAAAUUCUCCCUGCGUUGUUGUUAAGUUAUCAUUACUUUCCUCCACAACUGAAACGAUGUUUUGCCUAUUGUUCAGUCUUCCCAAAGGAUUGUAGAUAUGAGAGGGACCGGCUGAUCUUACUUUGGAUUGCUGAGGGCAUGAUAAAACAACCUAACGACAGCAGGACAUUAGAGGAAGUAGGUGAUCAGUGCUUCUGUGAUCUAGUGUCUAGAUCUUUGCUUCAUAGAGUAAGCGACGUCGAAUCAAGUUUCUGGAUGCAUGACCUGGUCAAUGACUUAGCAAGAUAUGUAGCUGGUCGAUCUUUUUUUAGCUUGGAUGGAGGCAAAGCACACCAGGUGUCCUCAAGCACUCGCCAUUUGUCAUUUGUAAGAACUGAGUAUGAUGUCGCUUCUAGAUUCAGAGUGUUAGCUGGGGCAAUGAAUUUGUGUACUUUCCUGCCGCUAAACAUGGGUCAUGUGAGAUUUUACGAGUACAAUUUGUUGACUGAUGAGGUACUGCAUGUUCUGUUGCCGACCCUGAGAUGGUUAAGGGUGCUAUCUUUGUCUCAUUAUCAGAAAAUCUCUACAUUGCCUAGUUCAAUUGGAUGUUUGAAGCAUCUGCGCUAUUUGAAUCUCUCCAAUAAUGCUAGUCUAAUCAGAUUGCCUGAUUCAAUUACAUCUCUAUACAACUUGCAAACCUUAAUUCUUGCUUACUGUUGGUGUCUCGUUAAGUUAUCGAGAAACAUGGGCAGCCUAACCUGUCUAUGUCAUCUUGAUAUAAGGUGGACAUCCCUAGAGAGAAUGCCGUGGGGGAUGAACAGACUGAAGAAUUUGCAUAUAUUAACUAAUUUGGUGGUGGCCAAAAACGGUGGGACCAGGUUUAGGGAGCUAGGGGGGCUAGAGAAUCUUAUGGGUACACUCUCCAUACAGGGUUUGCAUAAUGUUGAUAGUUACCGAGAUGCCGAGAUAGUCAAUUUGCAGGGAAAGAGCUACUUGAAAAAGUUAGUACUGGAAUGGGGUUAUGAUGACAAUAUUACGAAGCAAACUAGCUUAAAUGUAUUGAACAAGCUGCAACCUCAUUGGAACUUGAGAGAGCUUAUCAUUAUAUCCUAUGGUGGUAGGUCAUUUUCCACUUGGCUGGGACACGGUUCAUUCUCUAAUAUGUCAGUCGUGCGUCUUGAAUCUUGCAAGCACUGUGUGUCAUUGCCUCCUUUAGGACAGCUACCAUCUCUGGAGAAGUUGAUAAUCGAAGGAUUCGAUGGAGUUACAAGUGUGGGUACUGAAUUCAAUGGUAGUAACUGUAUACCUUUUCAGUCACUUCAGUACUUGGAAUUUGGUGGCAUGUGCAGCUGGAAAGAGUGGGCUUCUUUGGCAAUAGAAACAGGAGGUCUUGCCUUUGCACAUCUGCAGGAGCUUUGUAUUACAAAUUGCCCCCAGUUGAGUGGAGGUUUACCCAGCCAUCUCCCUUCUCUAACAGCCUUGUCCAUUGAAGGGUGCUCACAGCUAACGUCUUCNNNNNNNNNNNNNNNNNNNNNNNNNNNNNNNNNNNNNNNNNNNNNNNNNNNNNNNNNNNNNNNNNNNNNNNNNNNNNNNNNNNNNNNNNNNNNNNNNNNNNNNNNNNNNNNNNNNNNNNNNNNNNNNNNNNNNNNNNNNNNNNNNNNNNNNNNNNNNNNUAAUCUCGAGGGCAGUCAUGAAAUAGAAGUGCCAUACACAGAUGCCAUGAUCUCUCCAAUAUCUAAACUUGAAAAGGAGCUGCGAUUCACUUAUAUCAUUUCCUCUGGAAAUUUUCCCCUCACUUAAGAAUAUUCAGUUAAGGAAGAUUAAAAAAUUGGAACAUCUUAAAAUUCUGACAGUUCUCCACUUCUUCUCCAUUCGAUGGACAUUGCUGAUUGCCCUAAAUUUAGAUCUUUCCCUGCGGGAGGAUUGGCUGCCCCAUGCCUCACUUCAUUAGAUUUGAAUGACUGUCGUCGUCUAAAGUAUCUGCCAGAAAACAUGCAAGCUCUCCUUCCCUCGCUUCGGUCACUAACAAUAUCCUCAUGUCCACAACUCGAGUCAUUUCCCGAGAGGGGUUUACCCUCCAAGUUGGUCACGCUUUCACUCUCUAAUUGUGACAAGCUCAUCAUUGGCUACAAGGAUUGGGGCCUUCAAUCACUAUGUUCUCUUAAAACUUUUGUCAUUGGGCAAGAGAAAAAUAUAGUCAUUUCCUGAGAUAGGGCUUCUCCCAACCUCUCUUACCUCUCUGCAUAUCUCUGGCUUUGAGAAUCUGACAUCCCUAAACUCCAAAGGGCUUCAUAGCCUGAGCUCCCUUGAAUACCUGACCAUUGGCAAAUGUCCGAAGCUCCAUUCCUUCCCAAAAGAGGGACAAAUUUUGCCCGCUUCUCUUACCACUCUGUCAAUUUAUGGAGUGGGUCUAAAAUCACUGGAUAACUUAGGGCUCCACCACCUCACUUGUCUCAAAGAAUUUCGCAUAGAUAGCUGCCGAUGUCUUCGAUCCUUGCCAGCGGAGGGCUUGUCAUCCUUCAUUUCCAAUCUAUUUAUCCAUCGGUGCCCUUUGCUGAUGAAAAGAUGCCAUUGGAAGAAAUGGAAAGAUUGGCCCCUAGUUUCGCACAUUCGCUGCAUCGUGAUUGAACGUGUGCUCGUCACACGAUCAUAUAUCUUGCUUUACAAUCCUCCUUUUACCAAGAUCUCACUCAGGUAUCUCCCCUGGCCCUACACUAAGUAAGUCAUUUAUUUAUUCAGGACAUACUUCAGUCGCUUUGUGGUCAAGCACUAACAUCUGACUGUAUUUGCCGCAUGCUACUCUAAUAACACUUCACAAUGGAGAUUAUUUGUAGUUUCACCGGCUUUCCAUUGUUGUUCUACGAUUGGGCUGCAUAAUUUCUUUAUUGGUUGCCGAGUUAUUUAGCUGGAGCGUCUGCUUUUCCCCUUCUCCAUUCUCUCUAUAUAAAUCACACUACCAUACUUCAGCUAAGUGUCUGUCAUGGUCUUUAUAGUCUCACCUGGGAAUGAUUAUUUCAUUGCUACUUUAUGUCGCCAUCAGAUUAUUUCAGCUUUAAGAUCUCACUAUUGUCCACACCUACAAAUGCCAACUUAUAGAACCGUUUGUGCGUGAGCUGACAAUAGUAAAUAGAGCAAAGAGAUUCAUGGUCAUCUAAAGAAGGCCUAGCCUUGAUUAGGCUAUCUAGAUGAAAUUAUUUUUUCUCGAACUCUGGCACGUCCUCAAGUUAAAAAGAGAGUAAAUUUGUUCUUAUCAACAAAUGCUUUAUGUUGUGUAAAGCUGUAUAAUAUUACGAGGGAGACGUAAAUUCUUAAGACCAGGCAUGACUCAUGAUUGACUUGUAUUACGCUUGCCAGUGUUGGCAAAAUAUGCAUCGAAAUUGGGUAGUACAAUGAAAUCGGAUCGAGUAAAACAACUCGGACUUUGAGGCGUGAUAUCACUUUCUUUAAGAAUUUAUUUGCCCCCACAACGUUGCUAAUGGUCACCGACAAAAAUCCUCCAGGAUACAACAAAAUCUCGGAUGAGAAUACUAAAUAGCAAUUCUAGUAUUUCUCCAGGGUCUCUCUAAGAAAACAAUCGAAAAUUUGGCUACAGUUUUUCAGAAAGAAGACUCGAAAAAUGACCACACUUUUCUUUCCAAAAAAUGACAAGUAUAUAUAUGAAACAGUCUUGCAACUCUUCGUGAAAAUUGCGAACAAACAUUUUUUAAAUAGCAAGGGAUUAAGUGCUAAGUGCUAAGUACGCCAAAAUCGCGCAAUUAUUCGCGCACCCACUGCGGGUAUGGUGGGGUCUAGCCCUACCUAAUCACUCCUUUAACUACAAAAGGGAAAUCCCACUUUUUUAAACUGACCCUCCUACUCCCACUUUUUCUAUGUGGGACAAAGUAAAAAGCACUCAUUUUGUUUUAACAAACAAAAUUCCAACAGCCAGAACAGUGUGGUAUCAUAGGUGGAGCAUAUUUCUAUUUGCUUUGUAUGUUUAUUUGUCAAUUUCAGCUAAACAUCACUCUAAGGUUGUACAGUUUAACAAUUUCCCUCACUGCAUGCAGAAUCUUGAUCCAUGGAAUGUGAAAAUGAAACAGUUUAAGAGAUACGAGUGACCCAGCAUUUUGUAGUGGCAUAUCCACUUUUUUCACUAAUUAUAUCAUGACGUCAACUAAAUUCAUCAAACUGAAGGUCUAAAAAGAGUGAAAAAGUUAGGUUUUUAUUUGUUGAAGUUGAAAAUUUGCAUCUCAAAAUGCAAUUCAAUCAAAAUAUAUGGACUUAUUGUAAUUUACCCUAUUUUGAGAGAAUCUAGUUUCUUUUGAGGGAAUUUAAGCGAUUUUAUGUCCAUUGACUUUUGAGGAGCUUCUGUGGAUGGAGAUAGAGCUGGAAAUGUAUUGCUAACUUUUAGCUCGAUUAGAGUAUCCUUUAGUUGUUAAUACUUGUCUUUCAAUCAUUGCAGGUGGAGUGCUUCUAGAUGGGGUAAGACUAACUAAUGUUCCAAAAAAUAAAUGAUGCAUCCAUGAUUAGCAAUACAUGCACAUGCUGUGUUGAGAUGGACGUGUGAAUUGUGUUAGAAAAAGUCCAACAACGUGGGANNNNNNNNNNNNNNNNNNNNNNNNNNNNNNNNNNNNNNNNNNNNNNNNNNNNNNNNNNNNNNNNNNNNNNNNNNNNNNNNNNNNNNNNNNNNNNNNNNNNUGGCCAACUAGAUAUGUUGAAAGUUUUGGACUUGGGCUCUCUCUUGGCUUCCACUACGCGCUCCCAAGCCAAAUUGGUGGCAACCUGUUGUUGCAAAAGAAUGCUUGGAUUAAGGGAGAAGUAUACAUAACAUUGAGCUUACAUGUAAGAGGGAGAUAAGAAUUGAUGUGGUAUGGAGUAAGAGGGAGAUAAAAAUUGAUGUGGUGUAGAGUACUUAUUAUCUCCUAGUUGACCCAUGAUUCAUUGACCGAAGCUUUUGAGUAUAUGUUAGGUCCAACUAUAUUUGUUGAUAGGGUCGAACUUGGGUUGUUCCUUGGCGAUCUCCCAUGUGAUGGCAUCGAAUUUCUGCUAGACACUACCAACAUGCCACGGUGGAUGUCGGAUGCUACUUUGGAUGGACUUAUUCUUCUCCCACGAUAUCAAAAUAGUUUCAGUAAGAGGGUUGUGGUGAGAAAACAAAAUGUUGCUCAGACUUCACAAGACGAGUGAAUUAUGAGGAUCAGGAGCAACAUAGACAAUGGGAUGGUGGAAAUCGGCUAGGAAAACAAAUCCAUUUUUCAUGCAAUCAGCAAGCCAAGUGAUCGACUCUGGAAAUGUCAUAAUCGAGCUCAAUUAGGAGAAUCAAAAUUUCACUGUCGGUUUGCAGCUUGUGAGAAAUUGUUUACCAAUGAGUGCGAGUGCAGGAGAGGCACUCCAAUGCAAUUGCAACGUUUAGUUGAAU
rnacentral:lncRNA from 1 species